AUACAUUCACAGAUUUUCAUUCUCUGCUACUGUUAUAUAUGAUUGCAUUGCAGGGACAUAGCAAUGGAGUACGUAGAGCCUGUUGUCGGCAUUGCAAAUUGUCUCGGAACUCCUGUUUGUAAAUAUUUGCAAUAUCACAGAAAGCUGAACGAUUAUGUGAGAAACUUCAAGAGGAUCAGAGAUGAAUUGAAUUGCAAAAUGGAAGAUAUAGAGCUGCAAUUGAAAGCAGAGCUUCUUCGUCCUCUGGGGAAGAUACCGAAGAAGGGAGUUGAAAAUUGGUUGAAGGAUGUGAAAGAGAUGAUUAGGGAAGCACAAGUUGUUGAAAACAAAGUCAGUAAUGGGAGAUAUCUUUUUCGUGCUUGCAACGGGAAGCUGAUUGAUGAAAAGUCUCGAGAAAUGCAAGAAUAUCUCGAUAAAGCUCCUAAAGCCUCUGAAGGUCUUGCCAUGGAUGGUCCAAGUGCUGGGUUGCCACUGGCCACAUCAGAACUAGUUGGAGAGGAAGCUGUCAGAAAUGAGAUUUGGGCAUGUUUGAUGCAGGAGGAGGUGAGCAAGAUUGGGGUUUGGGGGAUGGGCGGUGUGGGUAAAUCGACCAUCAUGAAGCACAUCCACAAUGAUCUAUUGAAAGAACAACGAUUUGAAAGGGUGGUCUGGGUUACUAUAUCAAAGGAGUUCAAUAUUGUGAAGUUACAAAAUGAUAUUGCAAGUGCAUUGAAUGGAAAGAUGCCCGAAGAAGCAAACAAGGUCAGACGAGCAGCAAUCUUGUCCGAACUUGUCAGAAAUGCUGAAGAACGCAGGAAAGCAUGUUCUAAUCCUAGAUGAUGUGUGGGAUAAAGUUUCUCUAGAGGAAGUUGGGAUCCCCGAGCCGAGUGACAGCAAUGGCUGCAAGUUGGUGUUGACAACCCGUUCGGAGCAUGUCGGUAAGUAUAUGGGUUGCACGGUGAUAAAAGUGAAGCCCCUUUCUGCACAACAGGCACUGACACUAUUCUUGAGUAAAGUUGGGCCUAACAUAGUGCAAAAUCAAACUUUAAUGCCAAUUUUGAGGCUCGUUGUCGAAGAAUGUGCGGGUCUGCCUCUUACAAUUGUCGUCGUAGCUAGUACAUUGAAAGGAGAAGAGGACCUUCUUAUUUGGAAAAACGCAUUCAAGGAAUUGAAAGAGAGAAUAGAAAAAGUGGAAGGAGUGGAAGCUAAAGUGAUAGAGCGUUUGAAAUUUAGCUUCGAUCACUUACAGGACGAGAAAGUGAAAUAUUGUUUCUUACAUUGCGCAUUAUUUCCUGAAGAUUUUGAAAUUUGGAAGGAUGUGUUAAUUGAGUGCUGGAUUGAAGAGGGAUUCAUAGAUGAUAUGGGUACAAGACAAGAAAUGAAAGGCAAGGGCCAUGUUAUUUUGAAGAAGUUGGAAGACAAUUGCUUGCUCGAAAAUGGCUCGAGUGGAAAAAUGAAAAUGCAUGAUGCAGUGAGAGACAUGGCAUUGUCGAUCACAAGAAUGAAUCCUCGAUAUAUGAUACAAGCAGGUUUGCAAUUAGAGGAGUUACCAAAAAAGGAGCAAUGGAGUCCGGAUAUUGAGAAAGUGUCACUUAUGUAUAACUCCAUAUCAGAAGUUUCCAUAGAUGUGCUGCCUACAAAAUGCCAACUGCUCACAACCUUGUUAUUGCAGAACAACCCUAUAAAGAAGAUCUCAAUUUCUUUCUUCACAAACAUGCCUUGUCUGAGUGUUCUCAAUUUGUCUUUUACAAAGAUCGAGAGUUUACCAAAUUCCAUCUCUGAAUUAAAGAACCUCACAACAUUGUUGCUUCGUGGUUGUUAUCAAUUAAGAGAUCUGCCAUGUCUUUCGAUGCUUCAAGAAUUGAAGAAGUUAGAUCUUUGUUGGACAAAAAUUGAGGAAGUCCCUGAAGGCAUGGAUAUGCUGAUAAAGCUAAGAUAUCUUGAUCUUGAAGUGUUCACUCUGAAAGAGAUACCCGCUGGACUUUUACCAAAACUCGUUCACCUUCAGCACUUGAGUUUUGCUGGGAACAAUGAAAAAACAAGUCUAAAAGCAAAGGAGAUGGAACCAUUGAAGAAGUUGGAGUGCUUAACCGGACAUUUCGAAGACAUCAAUGAAUUCAAUAAGUUCAUCUCCUCAAUGCAACAAAGUAAGAAAAAUCUCAUCAAGUACUAUUUACAAGUGGGCUCAUCUUAUAUGCAUGAUACAAGGGAUAAAACAGUAACAAUUGGAGGAGUCCAGAAUUGGGAAGGUGAUUUAAUUAUGCACCCAAUUGAAAUUCAAGAGUUGAAUAUUGUAAAGUGCCACUAUUUGAGAUGCUUAGUCGAUGAUAACUCUUCCUUCAAAAAUGCAAUUGACUUGAGGAUUUAUGAUUGUAAAGGGAUAGAGUGUGUUGUUUCCUUGUCCUCUUUUGCCUCUUCUUCCAUUCAUCCAUUUCAGAGCCUCGAGAUGUUGGAUCUUCAACAUCUGCCAAAGUUGAGUGCCCUUAUUAUGAAUGAUGCAGGAAUUGGUUCAGCAACUACAUCAACAUUGGCUCCGUCUACCACCUUUUCCCAUCUUAAGGAAAUUACGAUAAACAGCUGCUCAAGUAUGAAGAUGUUGCUUCCACAUUGGUUGCUUCCAAACCUCCAAAACUUGGAAAAAAUACACGUGGAGGCUUGUAGUCAGCUAGUAGAAAUAUUGGGAGCAGCAACAUCAGAAGUUAAAGAAAAAGGGAGUGAUGCAUUAAUCAAAUUCCAUCUUCCCAAAUUGAGAGAGUUGGAAUUGUGGAGAUUACCAAAUGUGAAGAGCAUAUGCAGCAAAAGUGGAGUGAUGGUUUGUGAUUCUCUCCAACUUAUCCAAGUGUUUGGAGAUUGUGAUAAACUGAAGAGGAUUCCUCCAUUUGUUCCCCUUGUUGGCAAUGGGCAGCCAUUUGCAUAUGCUCCACCUUCUCUUAUCAUCAGGUCAAGCACAGAAUGGUGGGAAUGGUUAGAGUGGGAUGACGAUCCAAACUUUAAAAAUGUUCUUCAACCCCUUUGGAAGGAUGAAAGGUAUGAACCAUUUAUAGUUUAGUUUAUUUUUUAUUUUUAUAAAUCUAAUUUCUCCAUAUUAAUAAAAUUUGAUGUAUAUUUUGUGAUGUUGAAGAGAAAGAUAAAGGCGUGGGUGGGAAAGAAGUCUUGAGUGGGUACAACUCGAAUUCAAUUUAAAUAAUAUAAAAUAUUUUUUUAAAAUUAAAUUUAAUAAGUAUUUUUAAAAUAUUUUUGCACAGUAAAGUAGAAUUUUGGGAUCAACCAAGUUAUCCCGAAAACGGGCCUGGGCUUGAAAAAGUAUUAAAACUUAAAUAGUAUUAAAAAAUAUUUUACACGAAAUGAUAAUGUGCGUUAAUUAAAAUAUAUUUUAUUUUUAUUAAUAUUUAAAUAAAAUAUAAACAUAUAUUAAUCAAAAUGAUUUAAGGUGAGGCAAAACUAUGAUCUUGGUUUAGGAAAGUAUUGUAAAAAGACAUUAUAUUCUUUAAUUUUCAAUACAUACAAUGUAGAGAAAUUUUGGAGGGUUUAAAAACAAUUAUCCCUCAUUUUCUCUCACUUUAUUUANNNNNNNNNNNNNNNNNNNNNNNNNNNNNNNNNNNNNNNNNNNNNNNNNNNNNNNNNNNNNNNNNNNNNNNNNNNNNNNNNNNNNNNNNNNNNNNNNNNNUUUUCUAAAAUUUUAAAAAUAAUUUCAAAUUUUUACCAUUUUAUAUAUUAUGAAGAUUAAAUUGACUGAAAGUAGAAAAUUUGAGGGCUAAAAUUGUUAUUAUACUAAUUAAAAAACUGUCACUUAAUAGUCUAGUGAUAAAAAAAAAUACAAUUUUGAAGACAUUAAUAUCGAAUUUACGUUACCUUUGUGGAACUUAAAAACGAAAGUUGCCCCAAAGACCAUAAAAAUUGACUCAUAAUAUUGUUUGUUUUAUUUGAUUGUUGUUUCCAUAACUGUUACUGUGCGGAGAUAAAAAUAAAUUUAUGAGAAUUUAAAAAAGGUUCCAAGGUGUGUAUCAAUGUCACUAUUUUAAAGUUUUAUUUGUCCCCACCUUUUUAUUGUUUCUGUGCAAAAGAGUUAUCUGCAAAUUGACCUCGAGGAUAUAAUGAAUCCUAAUGAUUGUCGACAUUUUGCACUGACAGAAACAAUUCACUGAGCAUUGAAUGGACCAUAGCAAGAAUACCCAAUUCUAUAAAGAACUUCUGCAAUAAUUUUUUAUAAAACAAUAUAGGAAUAUUAGAAGAUGGAGAAUAGAAUUCAAUAACAAAUUAAAAAUAGAACAAAACUAAAAAAAAAAAAAAAGAUUAGAUCAUUACACGUUUCCUCAAUAUUUCUUGAAAUCAAAUCAUUACUAUUAUCAAGUUGAGUUUCAUGCUCUUAAACAACAUCUAUAACUGGUAUUAUAGAGUGUUAUAAAAUUGACCCUAAUCCCAUUUUUUUAGUUAGAAGAAUACAAAAUAUACCACAAAAUUUUUUCAAACUCAGCUCAAAAUUUCUUUACCGAUAAAUUAUUUUUCAAAACCCAAAUUGUAAAAAUAUAUUAUAUUCAGAAUUUUAUCUUUUCUUAUAAUGUGAAAGUUAUGUCAAGAAACAAAAGAGGUAAAAAAACGGAGUUCAAAUAAUUUUACUUAAUUUUUUUCUUUUCUAUGUUUUUUUAAAAGAAUGGGUAUUGAAUAUUUUGAUACAGAUAAUAUGGAGAAAUUUUGGAGGGUUUAAAAAUAAUUACCCCUCAUUUUCUCUCACUGUAUUUAUUUUUGAAUUUUUUAUCUACUUUUAAUUUUAUAUUGUUUUAAAAUUUUUAAUAUUAUCAAGAUCAAACUGUUUGAGAGUAUAAAAAUUGAGGACCAAAAUUGUAAUUGUGAACACAACAAAAAAUUUCUAUAAUUUAGUGACUAAUGUAAAAUUUUUUUUUGGUACAAUGAUCAUUCCAACUCCAUCUAUUUCUAAAGAAGGCAAACACUCGACCAAUAAACCACAACUUGUCCAGAUAUGUAGCUUACCCAAGAAUUUAUAUAUAUUUAUUUUAACUUGAAUAGAUUUAUUUAUAUAUAUAAAAAAUUGAAUAGAUUCAUUCACAUCUUACAAAUCCAUAUGUAAAGAAUUGUCCUGAGUUGAAUCCAAAAUUGAAUACCAACAAGAACAACACCAAUAACUAUACCCUGCUUUUCCCAUACUCUCUCAUUAGUUAUUAUUAUCUGUUACAAUUGAGCACCAAGAUCACUGCAAUACUUGUUGGUGUUGUCCAGAAUUAAUGCGAAGGACAUUUCCAUGGAUUUUAGACAAUCAUAUCUAUCUUUGAAAAUUUGAGAGCAGAUCAAAGGUUUUAUAACCAACUGAUAGAUACAACUGUUGAGAAAAUUCAGUAUCAAAAAGCCAACUAAUAAUGGCAGACACCAAAGAGAAAAGCUAAAAGAAAAAAGAUGGGAUUUCUUACUAAUAAUUUUGCCUUUUUUUAUCUUCACUUCUUCUUUUGACUAUUGUACCCACAACGUUCUUUCUUCUUCACUGUUUUUAAUUUCUUUUGAUGUCCAUCACUAAUUUUCAAGCAUCCAAUCAAGUUAAUUUUCUUUCAUUUGCUUAAUCCAUGACAUGCUUUUCAUUGCUUAAUUCAUGAUUAUGCAAUGAUUGUUUUUUAUUAACUGCUUCAGGUAUAGCAGCUUGCUUUGUAAGAUAGUCAAGGGAGUGAACUUCACUGCUUUAUUUUCAGUUCUAAUCUCUCAACACUUUUCAGCCAGUUGGUCAGGUAAUUUUCUGCUUCCCAUUUUUUGAUCCUCAAAUAUGCAAUUCAGCUCAUUUGAAAAUUUGUUUGCUUAUUAUCAACUCAUGACAUGAUUUCCUUUGCUUUUACAUAACAAGAAAGAUGAAUAAUUGUAGUAAGAGCUGAAGCUAUGAUUUCCUCUACUGAUUAUCAACAGUUUUAGAUUUCAAGACUGAAUGAUCAGCAGACAUAAUCUACUUUAGAUACAAACUAAUACCAAAAGAGCUACCCAGAAGCAAUAUAAUUUUGAAAUCUCAAACUGUUGAACAUUUUACCUCUUAAUAUUCUGUUGCACACUUGAAUCUAGCAUUUUCUAUACAUUGAGAAAUUAAUUUUGGAUAUACAAAUUUCAUCAUGUUUCUAUCUGCCACCCAUCCAUAGCUCCAUCUAAUAAAUGCCAUUGCUUGAAACUUGCAUUCAUGUUUCCUUUUCAUGCUUACACUGACAUUCACAGAUUUCCAUUAUCUGCUACUGUUAUAUAUGAUUGCGUUGCAGGAACAUAGCAAUGGAGUACGUAGAGCCUAUUCUUGGCAUUGCAAAGUGUCUUGGACCUCCUGUUUGUAAAUACUUGAAAUAUCACAGUAAGCUGAAUGAUUAUGUGAGAAACUUCAAGAGGAUCAGAGAUGAAUUGAAUUGUAAUAUGGAAGACAUAGAUGUUAAAAUGAGGCAACAUAGCAGCAACAUGCAAGCAACCAAGCAGCACAACAUCAGCAUGCAAGUAACCGAGCAACUCAGCAGCAGCAGGCUAAUGUCCAUGGUGUAAUUCGACUGUAGAGCUUUUGCAUAGUUGACUUUUUGCUAGUUUGGUUGAAAUCAUUUUUUGUUUGAUCAGCUAAGGUUUAAUCAUGUGUUUAGCUGAUUUAGUAGUCAUUUAGGUUGUCAUUAAGUUGAUUUAACAGCUUAGAUACUUGCACAAGCUAGCUUUGUCUUUAACCAAUGUAAUUUGAACUACUUAUGUAUGUGGUUUUGUUACUUAUUCAAGUAAUGAAGUUAAUCUUCAUCAUCCGGUAUUCGUUUUUGCUUCUGUUUUUUAUAUUUCAAACACAAAAACUUUGUUUUUGAUACUUAGUUAUUGAUCUAAAACUCAACAAUAGAGAUGCAAUUGAAAGCAGAGCUUCUUUCUCCUAGGGGGAAGAUACCAAAGCAGGGAGUUGAAAAUUGGUUGAAAGAUGCGAAAGAGAUGAUUGCGGAAGCACAGGAUGUGGAAAAUAAAGUCAGAAAUGGGAGAUAUCUCUGUCGUGCUUGGAACGGAAAGCUGGUUGAUGAAAAGACUCGAGAAAUGAAGGAAUUUCUUGAUAAAGCUCCUAAUGCCUCUGAAGCUCUUGCCAUGGAUGGUCCAAGUGGUGGGUUGCCACUGCCAACAUCAGAACUAGUUGGGGAGGGAGCUGCCAGAAAAGAGAUUUGGGCAUGCUUGAUGCAAGAGGAGGUAAAAAAGAUUGGGGUUUGGGGGAUGGGCGAUGUGGGUAAAACCACUAUCAUGAAGCACAUCCACAAUGAUCUUUUGAAAGAACAAAGAUUCGAAAGAGUAAUCUGGGUUACCAUAUCAAAGGAGUUCAAUGUAAUGAAGGUACAAGAUGAUAUUGCAAGUGCUUUGAAGUUGAAGGAAGAUUUGGCCAUAGAAGGAGUGUUGGUGUUAAGAGGAAACAGCAAGCUGAUUUGAGCUUGCUUGGGCAGCAAGUGUCGAGCCUUGCUGAAGAAACAAUCGAAGAGGAAAGAAAAAUAUGCAAUGGAAAACAGAAAAGAAAGAGAUAAAUUUGAAUGAAAAAUGAGCUGAAACUUUCAUUAACAACAAAAUGAGGUAUUAAACCAUUACAUAUAUUAGUCAACUUGGAAAGUAAAACUUGCAAACAAGUAAACACCUAAUCAGCCACCUAACUCCACUAAUUUACAUUGAAACUUGCAAGAUUAACUUGCUUACAUAGCUUUGUUGAUUUUCAGUCAAUCAACAUCAAAACAUUUACCUACUAAGUUCAAAAUGAACUAGAUUACAAAAGAAUUACAUGAGAACUAAAUGUAGUAAGUAAACUAGAAACUUCUAGCUUCAGUUGCUGCACAGCAAGGCUCGAAUGCCUGCUACGUUUUCUUCUUGCAUGGCCACCUUUGCAUGGGAAGCUGAUUGCAUGGGAACUAACUUUAACACUCCUCCUUAGUUUCUAUGCUGNNNNNNNNNNNNNNNNNNNNNNNNNNNNNNNNNNNNNNNNNNNNNNNNNNNNNNNNNNNNNNNNNNNNNNNNNNNNNNNNNNNNNNNNNNNNNNNNNNNNUAACACCUAGCUUUCCUUUUAAUUUUAUAAACCUUGACACAUUGAGUGCCUUGGUAAAGAUGUCUGCAAUUUGCUCCUCCGAAUUGCAAUGAACCAGCUCGAUUUCAUGAGCUUGUUCCAUCUCCCUUAUAACAUGUAGCUUGAUAUUGAAGUGCUUGGUUCUACCAUGGAAGAUGGGAUUCUUUGCAAUUGCAACAGCAGAUUUGUUGUCACAGUAAAUCUCUGUUGCUUCUUCUUGGUUUUGGUUUAAAUCAGCCAAGAUUUUUCUAAGCCAUAUGGCUUGAUUCACAGCAGAUGCAGCAGCAACAUAUUCAGCUUCUGCUGUUGAUUGUGCCACCAAACUCUGUUUCUUAGAACUCUAGCAAAAUAUGCCUGAGCCAAGGCUAAAUGCAUAUCCAGAUGUGCUCCUCAUGUCAUCACUCGAUCCAGCCCAAUCACUAUCGACAUAGCCUAUUAACUUCAUGUUUUCAGCUCUUUUGAGCAUCACACCAUGGUUAAUGGUGCCUUUGAUGUACCUAAGUACUCGUUUAGCUGCUUGAAAAUGCAGAUUGUUGCAGCAAUUCAUGUAUCUGGAUAGCACACUAACUGCAAACAUAAUGUCGGGCCUUGUUGCAGUCAAAUACAAUAGACUACCAAUGAGACUCUUGUACAUAGUCUCACAAACUGGUUCACCAGUUUCCUGCCUUGAUAGCUUCAUUCCAACAGCCAUUGGUGUGCUUGUUGGCUUGUAGUUCUUCAUUGAGAACUUGUUUAAGACUUUCAUAGCAAAGGAACUCUGGCUGAGAAAGAUUCCAUUUGCUGUUUGCUUUACUUCCAUCCCUAGGAAGUAAUUCAUUCUGCCUAGAUCAGACAUUUCAAACAUCUUCAUCAUUUUCCUCUUAAAAUCAUGCAGCAUGUUCUUGUCUCCUCCAGUUACCAACAAAUCAUCAACAUAAAGUGACAGGAUAAGCUUAGUUUCAGCUUGAUUUUUCUUCACGUACAAUGUUGGUUCACUAGGGCUUCUCUCGAACUCCAAACUGAGCAAGUAAGAAUCAAUUCGAGCGUACCAGGCUCGAGGAGCCUGCUUCAGGCCAUACAAGCCCUUUUUCAGCCUAUACACCAUGUGUUCCUUGCUAGUGACUACAAAUCCUUGAGGCUGUUCGAUGUAGAUCUCUUCUUCUAGGAAACCAUUGAGAAAUGCAGACUUCACAUCAAGUUGAUGAAUGGUCCACUGAUGUUGAGCAGCCAAGGCAACUAUCAUUCUGACUGUGUCAAGCCUGGCUACUGGUGCAAAAGUCUCCAGGUAGUCCAAACCAUACCUUUGGCUAAAUCCUUUGACAACAAGCCUAGCUUUUAGCUUGUUCAAACUGCCAUCUGCAUUCUGUUUUGCUCGAUAGACCCAUUUUACUCUAAUGAUCUUCUUUCCAGCAGGUUUAUCAACUAGCUCCCAUGUCUGGUUCUUCUCAAUCAUGUUGAUUUCAUCAGCCAUAGCCAGUUUCCAACCUUCAUCUGCUUCAGCCUCUUCAAAACUACUAGGUUCAGCUAUAGCAACCUGUGCCAAUUCAUAAAUUUCAUCCAAAGACCUUGUGCCUCUUACAGGCACAUCAUCAACAUCCAUCUCAAGACCAAACUGCUCGAGUUCAGCUUGAUCAGGCACCAGGUCUUCUGAAGCAACUUCUGGUUCACUCUUUUCCCAAUUCCAGCAAGCUUUUUCAUCAAAGAUGACAUCUCUGCUCACCUGGACUUUGCUUGUCAAGGGAUCAAGAACCCUGUAGCCCUUCUUAACUGAGCUAUAGCCUAUUAGGACACCUGGUUGAGCCCUUUCAGAGAGCUUGUCUCUUCUUGCUGCUGGUAUUUGUGCAUAACAUAGACAACCAAACACUUUUAGGUGUGCCAAGGAAGGCUUGAAUCCAAACCAAGCCUCGAAAGGUGUCUUGGAUGUAAGAGCUUUGGUAGGAAGCCUAUUCUGAAGGUAGACAGCAGUGUUUACUGCCUCAGCCCACAUGGUCUUGGGCAGUUUCUUCUCAAACAGGAGACAUCUGGCCAUAUCCAUCAGACUUCUGUUCUUUCUUUCAGAUACUCCAUUUUGCUGAGGUGUGUAGACAUUUGUAAGCUGGUGUUUGAUGCCAGAAUCAUUGCAAAUGGCUUGGAACUGAGCUGAAGUGUACUCAGUGCCAUUGUCUGACCUUAUUGAUUUCAGCUUGCAACCUGUUUCUGUUUCUACAGCAGUUUUAAACUUCACAAACACUUGAGCUACCUCAGACUUGUGUUUCAAGAGGAAAAUCCAGCAAAACCUUGUAAAAUCAUCAAUGAAGAGGAUGAAAUACCUGUUAUUGCUAAGUGAUUCAGUCCUCAUAGGUCCACAUACAUCAGAGUGCACCAGCUACAAUCUUUCAGUGGCUCUCCAUGCUGAGUUUGUUGGGAAUGGUAGUCUUGUCUGUUUUCCUAUCUGGCACACUUCACACACAUCAUCAUGCUCCUCUGAGUUGGUGAAGUUAUCUGCCAAGCCUUCUUUGGCCAAUCGAGCCAUUGACCUGAAGUUGGCAUGCCCAAGCCUUUGAUGCCAGAGCUUGGAAUCAUCUGUGGAGGCUGUGUAUGCUGACUUUGAGUCAUUUGGCCAAUGAACCUCAAAGCAUUUAUCAGUCAUUGUGACUGUCAUAAGGCUUGAUCCACUGGGAUCAGCAAUGUGGCAAUGUUUGUCUUUAAACACAACUGAAUAACCCUUCUCAAGCAGUUGAGCUAUGCUGAGAAGGUUUCUGUCAAUCUCAGGUACCAAUAGGACAUUCGAGAUGACUUUGUUGCCUGUAGAGGUGCAUAUCAGCACUUUUCCUCUUCCUUCAGCUUUUAUAAACUGACCAUUUCCAACCUUAACCUUGGUUUUACAGCUUCUGUCCAAGGUUUUGAACAAAGAUGCAUCUGGUGACAUGUGGUUGGUGCAGCCACUGUCCAAUAGCCACCCUUUUAAGCAUUUCUUCUCAGCAGCUAAGCAUGACACAGCAAAGACCUGCUCUUCUUGGUCACUACUGUCUUCAGCCACUCGAGCUUCAACCUUUGGCUGCUGAAAUUGGUUCUGCCUUGGCUUGGUUCUGUUUUUGCAAACUCUUUCAACAUGGCCUUUCUUCUUGCAGUGUUGACAUAUUGCAUCUGGCCUAAACCAGCAUCUAUCCUCUGGAUGUCCAGGUUUCUUACAAUGUCUGCAGGGCUGAUCAUUGCUCCUUGCAGCAUCAGGCUUAGGCCUGCUUUUCUAAGUUUUUUUGCCUCUUUGAGCAUUGGUGCUCGAGGUCUCUCUUGUCUUGGCUUGAAAUGCACCUUCCUGGUGGUCUUCAGCUCUGCUAGCUCUCCUUUGUUCCUGAGCAUAAAAGGUGUUGAUAAGCUCAGUCAAAGAGGUGCUAGCAAGGUCUCUUGAGUCCUCUAAGGAGGAUAUCUUUGCCUCAUAUCUCUCAGGCAAAGUGGAGAGGACUUUCUCCACUAUUCUUGCCUCAUCAAAGUGCUCACCUAGGAGCCUUAUGCUGUUAACCACUGCCAUGAUUCUAUCUGCAUACUGCUUCACUGUUUCUUCUUCCCUCAUCUUCAGAUUCUCGAAAUCCCUUCUCAAAUUCAACAGCUGCUGUUGCCUUGUCCUCUCUGUACCUUGAAACUCCUCUUUGAGCUUAUCCCAAGCCUGUUUUGGAGUCUCAUAGGCCAUAAUUCUGGUGAAGAUGACAUCUGACACACAAUUCUGAAUGCAUGACAUAGCUUUAUGCCUUUUGGUCCUCUCAUCAGCAUGUUGCCUAAUCUGAGCUACUGUGGGAUUAGCCCUCAGUGGUGCUGGCUCAGCAUUUGUGUUGACAACUUCCCACAGAUCAAAGGCCUGCAGGUAAGUCUUCAUCUUUACCAACCAUAUGUGGAAGCCUUCUCCAUUGAAGACUGGUGGGGCUGCUGGUGAAAAUCCUGAAGAAGCCAUUCAGAUUCCUUGGUUUAAAGCAACAGGUCCACUAAGACAAAAGCUCUAGAUACCAAUUGUUGGUGUUAAGAGGAAACAGCAAGCUGAUUUGAGCUUGCUUGGGCAGCAAGUGUCGAGCCUUGCUGAAGAAACAAUCGAAGAGGAAAGAAAAAUAUGCAAUGGAAAACAGAAAAGAAAGAGAUAAAUUUGAAUGAAAAAUGAGCUGAAACUUUCAUUAACAACAAAAUGAGGUAUUAAACCAUUACAUAUAUUAGUCAACUUGGAAAGUAAAACUUGCAAACAAGUAAACACCUAAUCAGCCACCUAACUCCACUAAUUUACAUUGAAACUUGCAAGAUUAACUUGCUUACAUAGCUUUGUUGAUUUUCAGUCAAUCAACAUCAAAACAUUUACCUACUAAGUUCAAAAUGAACUAGAUUACAAAAGAAUUACAUGAGAACUAAAUGUAGUAAGUAAACUAGAAACUUCUAGCUUCAGUUGCUGCACAGCAAGGCUCGAAUGCCUGCUACGUUUUCUUCUUGCAUGGCCACCUUUGCAUGGGAAGCUGAUUGCAUGGGAACUAACUUUAACAAGGAGACAAGCUCAGACGAGCUGCAAUCUUGUCAGAAAUGCUGAAGAAAGUAGGAAAGCAUGUUCUAAACCUAGAUGAUGUGUGGGAUGAAGCCUCUCUAGAAGAAUUUGGGAUCCCUGACCCGAGUGAUAGCAAUGGCUGCAAGUUGGUGUUGACAACCCGUUCGGAGCAUGUCUGUAAGUAUAAGGGUUGCACGGUGAUAAAAGUGAAGCCCCUUUCAGCACAACAGGCAUUGACACUGUUCUUGAGUAAAGUUGGGCCUAACAUAGUGCAAAAUCAAACUUCAAUGCCAAUUUUGAGGCUCGUUGUCGAAGAAUGUGCGGGUCUGCCUCUCACAAUUAUCGUCGUGGCUAGUACAUUGAAAGGAGAAGAGGACCCUCUUAUUUGGAAAAAUGCACUCAGGGAAUUGAAAGAGAGAAUAGAAAAAGUGGAAGGAGUGGAAACUAAAGUGAUAGAGCGUUUGAAAUUUAGCUUCGAUCACUUAAAGGACGAGAAAGUGAAAUAUUGUUUCUUACAUUGCGCAUUAUUUCCUGAAGAUUUUGAAAUUUGGAAGGAUGUGUUAAUUGAGUGCUGGAUUGAAGAGGGAUUCAUAGAUGAUAUGGUACAAGACAAGAAAUGAAAGGCUAGGGCCAUGUUAUUUUGAAGAAGUUGGAAGAUAAUUGCUUGUUGGAAAAUGUCUCGAGUUGGAAAAUGAAGAUGCAUGAUGCAGUGAGAGAGAUGGCAUUGUCGAUCACAAGAAUGAAUCCUCGAUAUAUGAUACAAGCAGGUUUGCAAUUAGAAGAGUUACCAGAAAAGGAGCAAUGGAGUCCGGAUAUUGAGAAAGUGUCACUUAUGUAUAACUCCAUAUCAAAAGUUUCCAUAGAUGUGCUGCCUACAAAAUACCAACUGUCACAACCUUGUUAUUGCGGGACAACCCUAUAAAGAAGAUCUCAAUUUCUUACUUCACAAACAUGCCUUGUCCUAGUGUUCUCAAUUUGUCUUUUACAAAGGUUGAGAGUUUACCAAAUUCCAACUAAAGAACCUCACAACAUUGUUGCUUUAAAUAUUAUUUAAAAACUAAUGUAUCAUCCAUAACGAAUCAUACAUCAUUAACACAUAUUAGGGCAUGGGAAAGCUUUUAAAAAAAUGAACUCAAAUUAUACUGCUCUACANNNNNNNNNNNNNNNNNNNNNNNNNNNNNNNNNNNNNNNNNNNNNNNNNNNNNNNNNNNNNNNNNNNNNNNNNNNNNNNNNNNNNNNNNNNNNNNNNNNNNNNNNNNNNNNNNNNNNNNNNNNNNNNNNNNNNNNNNNNNNNNNNNNNNNNNNNNNNNNNNNNNNNNNNNNNNNNNNNNNNNNNNNNNNNNNNNNNNNNNNNNNNNNNNNNNNNNNNNNNNNNNNNNNNNNNNNNNNNNNNNNNNNNNNNNNNNNNNNNNNNNNNNNNNNNNNNNNNNNNNNNNNNNNNNNNNNNNNNNNNNNNNNNNNNNNNNNNNNNNNNNNNNNNNNNNNNNNNNNNNNNNNNNNNNNNNNNNNNNNNNNNNNNNNNNNNNNNNNNNNNNNNNNNNNNNNNNNNNNNNNNNNNNNNNNNNNNNNNNNNNNNNNNNNNNNNNNNNNNNNNNNNNNNNNNNNNNNNNNNNNNNNNNNNNNNNNNNNNNNNNNNNNNNNNNNNNNNNNNNNNNNNNNNNNNNNNNNNNNNNNNNNNNNNNNNNNNNNNNNNNNNNNNNNNNNNNNNNNNNNNNNNNNNNNNNNNNNNNNNNNNNNNNNNNNNNNNNNNNNNNNNNNNNNNNNNNNNNNNNNNNNNNNNNNNNNNNNNNNNNNNNNNNNNNNNNNNNNNNNNNNNNNNNNNNNNNNNNNNNNNNNNNNNNNNNNNNNNNNNNNNNNNNNNNNNNNNNNNNNNNNNNNNNNNNNAGCAUUCGCGGAGGUUUUUGAAAAACGCCGCUAAAGCCCCGAAGACUAAAAGUACUAAUAAUUACCGUCUGUCUAUUAUUUAAACGACAAAUUGGAGUGAUUGAUUAAAGCUAAAAUUAACUAAAUUAAUUAACUAAAGAACACAACAAAGAACAUAUUAGAAAAAUAAAUCCAAAUCACACAAUUUCUUCACUUUGUAUCUUAAUACGGAGAAAUCCCUAAAUUAUGCUAAUAUCUCUCUUCAAGACUAAGAGCAACUGAUUCUAGAUUGAUUAAUUGAAAUUUCUUUCUAAUUAAAACCCCUAUUAUCACAUUAACUCAAUCUAUAGAUCCUUCUAUUAGAUUUGACUCUAAUCCGGUAGAUNNNNNNNNNNNNNNNNNNNNNNNNNNNNNNNNNNNNNNNNNNNNNNNNNNNNNNNNNNNNNNNNNNNNNNNNNNNNNNNNNNNNNNNNNNNNNNNNNNNNAUACUAUAUAUAUAUAUAUAUAUAUAUAUAUAUAUAUAUAUAUAUAUAUAUAUAUUUAUUUAUUUAUACCUAAUACAUGCCAUUUACUAGUAUAUUAGACAUUCUUAUACCCUGCUUUCCCAUACAUUCCCAUUAUUAUGAUGAUGAUGACGAUGUUACAAUUAAGCACCAAGAUGACUGCAAAACUUGUUAGUAUUGUCCAGGAUGCAUGGAAAGGACAUUUCCAUGGAUUUUAGACCUCAUAUCUAUCUUUCAAAUUUUGAGAGCAGAUUCAAGGUUUUAUCAAGUAGAAAUGUCGGUAUCAAAUACCCAAAAUGCCAACUAAUAAUGGCAGACAGCAAAGCAAAAAGCUAAAAGAAAAUGUGGGAUUUCUUACUAAUAAUCCCGCCUUUGUGGAACCCACCACAGAAGUGAAGGCCUCAUUAUUUUGCCUGCUUUUAUCUUCACUUUCUUCCCUUUUUUGCUAUUCUAUCCACAACAUUCUUUCUUCUUCACUGUUUUUAUCAAGCAUCCAGUCAAGGUAAUUUUCUUUCAUUUGCUUAAUCCAUGACAUGCUUUUCAUUGCUUAGUUCAUGACUAUGCAAUGAUUGUUUUUUAUUAUCUCUGCUUCAGUUAUAGCAGUUUGCUUUGUAAGAUAGUCAAGGGAGUGAACUUCACUGCUUCAUUUUCAGUUCUAACCUCUCAACACCUUUCAGCCAGUAGGUCAGGCAAUUUCUGCUUCCCAUUCUUUGAUCCUUAAAUAUGCAAUUCAGCUCAUUUGAAAAUUGGUUUGCUUAUUAUCAANNNNNNNNNNNNNNNNNNNNNNNNNNNNNNNNNNNNNNNNNNNNNNNNNNNNNNNNNNNNNNNNNNNNNNNNNNNNNNNNNNNNNNNNNNNNNNNNNNNNCCUCUAAUUUAAGCACAUAAAACAUGGAUCAAUAGUCUAGAAAUAUUAAACCAUGAAUUAAGAACACAUAAUUGAGAACAAGAUUUAAGUAUUUAUUGCAUAAAAAUAGAAAUCAAAUAAUAGAAUUCAUCCUAAGGUUCAUCUCCCUAGGUAUUUGGAAAAAAUUAGUUCAUAUAGUAAAUAAAAGCAUCUCAAAGAUAGUAUAACUAUAAGAAAUAAAGAAACUCAUAACAAACUUCAAAGAAAUCAAAAGGAGAACUUCAGUUUUGAUGGAAAUAUGCUUCAAAGUCGGCUUCAAUGGUAUUUUUCGAGUUGUUUUCUUCAAUAUUAUAUGACGACUCACUCCCCUCUUCUUAUCUUUUUCAUAUAUGUCUUAGAAUGCUCGAAAAAUUUAAAAAUUACGAUUUUCUGUGUGUUUAGAGUGCAAUUUGUGCUUUCCACACGGUUUGGCACAUUGUUGUGUGGCAACUCGUAUGGCUCACUUGGCUGUGGAAUGGCUCAGCCCGUGUGGCUCAUGAAACUUAAAAAUUAAAAAUUAAAAAUAAAAAAGUUAGAUCAUUACAUGCUUCAUCAAUGGUUCUCGAAACCAAAUUAGUAAUAUUAUUGAGUUUCAUGUCCUUAAAGAACAUCUAAAAUUGAUAUUGCAGAGGCUUAUGAAAUUGACCUUGAUGCCAUUUUUUUUUUAGCCUAAAGCUAUUAUGUUUCAAACUCAAUUCAAUUUUUCAUUACAUUUAAAUUAUAUUUUGAAACUCAAAUUGUAAAAAGAAAUCAUAUUCAGAAUUUUAUCUUUUCUUGUAAGGUAAAAAUUAUGUCAAGAAACAGAAGAGGUAAAAAACAGAAAACAAAUAAAUCAGCUUAAUGUUUGUUUUCUAUAUUUGUUUUUAAAGAACGAGUAUUGGAUAUUUCGAUAUACAUAAUAUAGAGAAUUUCUGUAGGGUUUAAAAAUAAUUAUCCCUCAUUUUCUCUCACUUUAUUUAUUUUUGAAAUUUUUAUUAAUUUUUAUUUUAUUUUUAAUUUUAUAAUGUUCUAAAAUUUUAAAAAUAAUUUAUUUUUUUACCAUUUUAUAUAUUAUCAAAAUUAAAUUGAGUAAAAAUAUAAACCUUAAAAAAGACUAAAAUAACAAUUAUAUUAAUUAAAAGAAUGGUAACAAUGGAGUAUGUAAGAAAUUGUCCAAGAGUUAAAUCCAAAAUGUAAAUUCAACAACACAAGUUAUUUACUACAACACCAAUAACUAUANNNNNNNNNNNNNNNNNNNNNNNNNNNNNNNNNNNNNNNNNNNNNNNNNNNNNNNNNNNNNNNNNNNNNNNNNNNNNNNNNNNNNNNNNNNNNNNNNNNNGCUCCUAAUGCCUCUGAAGGUCUUGCCAUGGAUGGUCCAAGUGCUGGGUUGCUACUGCCAACAUCAGAACUAGUUGGAGAAGAAGCUGUCAGAAAUGAGAUUUGGGAAUGUUUGAUGCAGGAGGAGGUAAGCAAGAUUGGGGUUCGGGGGAUGGGCAUAAAAAAUUAUUAAAAUAGAUCAUUGCUAAUUCUCUCUUUUCUUAAUCGGUAAGUUUCUCUCUUCAAAUCCUUUUAUUUCUUUAUUGAAUCCAUCGCAUAUCAUUUGCAAACCGAUUUCUGUACAGUUUGUUUGUUCAAUUUUUCUUUUUCCAGUUUUUUUCUUGAUUUAGAUGGAAGAUUCUUUUGUCGCAUUUGAAGAGUUUCUAAAAAUUUUAGGGUUUUCCUAAAUCUAACUUUCUUGACACCACGUGCGCGUAUAAAUUUCUUUCGUGGAGAUUAUUUAUCAUGUUUGUGUGUUUGGUCUCUUGAGGUUGAGCUGUUUUUAUUUUCAAAAAUAAAUAUUUAUUUUCUUUUGCAUUUAUUUCUAAUAUCACCAUAAAUUGUCUAGGGUUGUGGAUUUUGGGGAUUUUGGGUUUUGGGUGAUCUAAUUUGGGGAUUUUGAGUAAGGGUUUUGAUUUUGGGGAUUUUGAUUUUAGGAAUUUUUAUUUAGGGUUUUUAAUUUUGAAGAUUUUGGGGAUUUCUCACACCGCCCUCCUCAUCAGCUUCAAAGCCAACAAAUCUACAUCUAAGCUCAUGCAAAAAGUCACCAGAACCCAUGCUUGAAACCUCAGGUCACUUCCGCCAUGCGGAUUGCAUCAAACUGAUCGAUGACUCUAUCAAAGAGCUCCAAAAAUCUAUAUGUAAAUUUUUUUCAUAUCAGAUGCUCCAACUUUGUGCCCAUGAGUCAUGAGUGAUCUUCAAACCUAGGUUAAUGCUGCCCUAACGGAUGAAGAUACUUGCAUGGAUGGAUUCUCAAGCAGGGCCAUGAAUGGGUAUGCAAAGAUGAUGGUGAGGAAACGAAUUAUUAAGAUCACACGUUUGACGAGCAAUGUUUUGGCUCUCAUUAAUAACUAUGCUUCAUCUCAGAUCCUUCAUUGAUUUUCUUGAGAAAACUUUGAUGGCAAGGAAAGUAUUGUGUUUCAUGGAUUUAUGUUCAAUAUAGGAUUUUAUGUUUUGGCUCUCAUUAAUAACUAUGGUUCAUCUCAACUCUAUGUUUGUGGUUCUUGAUUUUUGCAAUUGUAUCAAUUUGAAUAUGAAAUUUGUGUUCGUGUAUGUUUAGGGUUUUUAUUAUUUUUUUAAUAAUUUUAAAAUCAUUUGCUGACGUGGUAUAUAAAAGAAAAUAAUGUUAUGUUAGUAUUUAAAUUCAUUUGGACUGUCAUGUCAGAGGUUAAUGUUGACCAUUAGACAACUAACGGCCACAUCAGCCUCUAUGUUAAAAAUAAACCAAUUUGUUAGAAAUUUAAAUUUUGCACUAUAAAAUUAAUUUUUAAAAUUAACUAUUCAAUUUGUAAUUGAUUUUAUUAAAUUAAAAUAUUCACUAAUGUUUGAAAAUGUUCUCCAUGUUAAUUAUACACUUGAUUGUUUUUUUUUUAAAUUAUUUAAGAAUUCAGUUAAAUGGUAAUCAAUUUAUAUUAAAAUAUCAGUUUUAUUGGUUGUAUUAUUUCAUUAGUGUUCUUAUAAUAUUAUUUCAUUUUUAUUUAUAGACACCAACUUCAAAAUCAAAAGAGGAUUAAUUCACUAGAAGAUAUGGCUCAUACUGUAAACAAUAAAUAAGAUAUUAUAAAUUGAUAUCAUUAAAAUUUAAAUAAUAUACAAAGAGUAGCAAAAUAAAUUGAAAACAUAUUAUAUGAUCUAAAUGAACUAUAAUAAAAGGAUUAUAUAUUUCCUAUCAAUCCUACUAUAUUGUCUUUUAUAAAUAAUUUCCUAUCAAGCAAGUUGACAGCUAAAGGGUGCAAAUUUGACUUUGCUAAAUUCUCUAGCAUCAAAGAGGCAAGAUAUAUUGCAAACAAGACAUAAACCAAUAUCAACAUGGUGAUUCCAAAAUUCAAAACACACUAAACCCCUACUUUUGUAUGAUAGAGAAAAUAUGAUGUACAAAUUUAUAGUCAUGGAAUGUAUUAGGUGCAUUGAAGAUAAUUCAGUGUUAGAAUCAAAGAAAUUUAUCGUUAUUUUUGUGAAUUGUAAAAUUGUGCAUCAACUGGGAAAAAUGUUUGUCUUCCAUUACAAGAAUUUCUUUAAAGUUAAUAGUUUGAGAGAUAAUUUUAAGGAGGAAUUGGAAGGCAUUGCUAUAAAGAGAAUCUGAAGAAAGUAAUUUCGUUUUGAGUUUCAAGUGAAAGGAAUGAAAGAAAGGUUGCUUAAAUAAAUACAGGAUUGGAUAUUGAGUUGUUUUGAAUAGUUGGAGCGAAGGACACAUGGACCAUAUGAAAUUCAAGUCUACCAAAGUAAUGCAAAUCAGAUUCCUCUUUGGAAAUGACAACUUUUCAAAACAUUGUCAAUCUACCUUGAAAGGUGGCAUCUGUGAAAGAAUCAAUCAUGAAAUAUUAAAAUUAUACUAAAACGACUACAAAGAUUUAUUUCCCCUAUAAAUAAAUGUUUUCUUUUCUUCCUUAAAAAUUAACAUGAUUUUAUCUUAAUAUACAUAUAUAUAUAUAUAUAUAUAUAUAUAUAUAUUUACGUCUCAAAAUAGCCUUCUAAAAUAUUUAUUUUAAAAAAUAAUUUAUAUAAUACAUAUAACAAUUAAUUAUAAACUUAUUUUGAUAUGAUGUCAAAAUUAAAUAUUAUAAUGGUCCUUUAUCACAUUCAACACUAACUUUUAUUUUAUAAUUUUUAAAAAAAGUUAAACUAAUAACAUAAAAAAUUUAAACUAAAGUUUUUAAAAGAAUUUAGGUUAAACUACACCAUUAGUCACUCAAAAAAGGUCCAAUUUUCAUUUUGGUCACUUAACUAAAAUAAGAUACAAUUUGGUCACUAAUGUUUCUAGAAAAAUAUUUUGGUCACCUGACUGUUAAGUUGCGCUUACUUUGGCUGGUAUGAUAACAAUUUUUGUCACAUCCCAGAAACCAAGUUAGUAGAAAUUGGGUUAGUGAAACCAAGAGUGGUCACGUUCUGUUUUUGAGUUAAGAUUGUGAAAAUUAUGUUAAGUAAAUUUAUUUGGUUUAGUGGUUAAGUGCUUUGGAUGUGUCUAAGGUCUUGCGUUCAAUUUUUUUCCCUUAAAUUUUCAUUAUUUUUGUCCUAACUUCCAUCUCUGAACAUCUAGCUUAUAUAUUAUUUUUUCUCAAUUGAUGAUAAGAAUGAGUUUACUAGUUUAGUGGUAAGGCUUUAGUUUACUUAGAGGUCUUGUGUUUGAAUCUUAUGUAUGUAAAGUUGAAUUAUUUUUGUUUUUAAACUCUGAGAAAUUUUUUUUAUAAGGAUAACUAAUCAAAUUGAGUGGGGAAAAUUUCCCCAAAAUUCUCCUCAUUCUGUUGCUCACUUCUUCCCACAUUGUUCACUUUUUCUUGUCCCUUUUCUUUUUACAUUUGAUUUCUUCCUCUUUUUUUUUUUUUUGCUUUAGUAGUUUUGCUACCUUCCUUUCUCAUCUUUGCUCUACUAUUUUUCUUUUGUGUUAUUCUAUUGGUACGCUGUUGAAUCUCUGUUAUUCCUUCGGGUAAGUGUUGGUUACUUGUUUUAUAUAAAUGUGGUGUUGGGUUAAUCUUUCAAGUGAUUGAUGGUUUCAAUUUUGAUCUUUGCAAUGUGUUGUUAGGAGAAGAUCGACAGACUCUUGAAUUGUCUCUAGCGAUUUAAGUGCGGGAAAGGGCUGUUGUUUUUGCAAGGGUAAGUGAUUAAAGUUUUCAAUUGGAGGUUGAUUCGGUUGCUUAGGCUAACUGUUUAGCAUUUGCGAUUGAAUUAGUGACUUGGAUUUAGCAUAUUACUAAUAAUUCUUACGUUAUAAAAUGUCAGUUUAGGUACUGAAAUCCUCGUAGUGGUGUUAGCAUCGAAAAUCAACUAGGUGUGUAACGAAAAUAUCAAAAAUAACAAACGACACGAUGUUGAAAAACCCACUAUCGACGUCACACAACCAUGUGCCAGGUUAUGUGGGUCAUACGGGCUGGGUUAUUUGGGCCGUGUGGGCUACAUGGGUGUGUGUUAGGCUAUGUGCUAGGCCAUGUAGGCCACACGGGUUGGGCAGUUACGUCAUGUGGGCCCAUUUUUUGUAAAAUUCUGUCAAGGUUGUAUUUGAAGUGCGAUUUGAAAUUAGUCACUUUGUAGGUUCCGAAAUGUGUUAUGUAUGCAUUCUGGAUACGAAAUUUGAUAUUUUGUUUCUAUUAAUGUGGUUUUUCAAGCAUAUUAUUCAAUAUUGACAUUGUACAUGUAACAUUCAAGAGCAUGUCUGUGGUAUAGUUUAUGCUUCUGAUCUGUAAUUUGAGAAUCUAUUUAAGCAUGAUCCAUUUAUGUGCAUCUGAGUAUGUAAAAUGUUUUGACAUGUGCAUUGGGGUGGAAUGAUGAUGUGGUGGAGGAAGUGUUUUGGCAGUUUAACUGCAUGCUGAUAUUUAUAAGCCAUCGUUGUUGGGCAACUCGGGAUAACUUAAUUUGUGGUUUAACCACAUAUCUAAUAUGGGUGGCUUAACUAGACUUAUUGAUUUUGGCAGAAUACCGUAUUAUUUUUGGCAGCAUGAUUGCCUAUUCUAAAAAGUGAUAUAUGCUCACUUAUUGGUGUGACGGAUGGAUGGGCUCCUUAUAACACCCCUUACCCGAGACCAUUGUUGGAAUCGAGCACGAAGCGUUACCUAACUUAACUUACUAAUUCAGAGCAUAAAAAUUUUCUUUUAAAAUUAAUUCAAUCACAUUUAAUCAAUAUGUUCCUAAAAAGGAUCCUCGAGACCCUAAAACAUGCAAUGAAAUCGAUUCGGGUCCAAACCAGGAACAUUUAAAAUUUUUCGAUUACUUAAACAAGUCAAAAUGAUUUAUUUCACUAUCCACAAUAAAAUGUCCACCUGCAUAAUAGUCACUAAAUUUUUUAUAACUCGAGUUACGAAACUCGAAUUUAGAUCCGUCAAUUUUCCCUGAAACUAGACUCAUAUAUCUUCUUUACUUACUCUCUUACUCGUUUACUUACUUGCCUGCUUAAACAAUUCAUGUUUAUAACUUACUCAUUCCUUGCUGAAAUUUCUUUUCUCAACUGAUAACUGAGAUACUCUUAAUCUUAUUAACUCACCUGAACUUGUCUAUUAGGCUUUUACCUGAACUUUCAUGUAACAUCGUCUAUUUACUAGCCCGUUGAAUCACUUGGAAUACUAAGGAUACUCGGGUCUCCUGUCUGAAUAUUAUAGCCAAAGCUAUGUCCCAGACAUAGUCUUCCAUGAGAUGUUUCUUGUAUUGCCAAUGCCAUAUCCCAGAUAUGGUCUUACAUGAGAGUUCUCAUAUAGGUGCCAUUGACAUCUCCCAGACAUGGUCUUAUGGGGGACCUCUCAUCUUAGUGCCAAUGCAAUGUCCCAUCAAGGUCUUAAAUGGGACCUCUCAUCUUGGUGCCAACGCCAUGUCCCAGACAUGGUCUUACAUGGGAUCUCAUUCCCCAAAUGUCAUGACAUUUGUAUCCAUUACAUUCCCAAUGUUUCAACGGGGCUUUUAUCACUAAUUCUCUGUCAUCUAAUACUUGAGUCAACAUUAGAUAUUUUCAUGAAAUAAAUACAUAAUUGCUGAAAAAUAACAGCAUUAAUAAUUAUUAUUAAAAUAUUGCAUUUAUUUACCGUAAACUUACAUCGGUACAAAAUAUGAUCAAAUCUAGCACUUUAGUCCUCAACAUUUUUCUUUCCCCGAUCUAACUCCAAAUUUAGUUCUUCUUGAUCUAUAAUAGCAAAUUUAGCUUAUUUAAUACUCACAUUCAUCAAAACAGUCCUUGACUUGAACUUUAACAAAAUUAAGUUUUUCCUUAAACUUUUGCAUAUUUACACUUUUGUCCCAAAGCUCGGAAAUUAAACUUCAUCCCUUAUUCUUAUGUUUUAUGACAUGCUGAACAUUUUUCCCUUCUAUGGAAAUAUCAAAUUCUCAAUCUAACACUUACUUAUGAACAUUAGGUAUUUUUACCGAUUAUGUCAAUUUACUCGUUUUUACUUAAAAUCGGCUAGCAAAAGUUGUUUAACAUAGUUCCAAGCUUCAUACUCUACCAUAAAACAUCAACAUAAACAAAUUUCACCUAUGGUUAUUUUUCCAAAUAUGAACCCUAGGUUAAAUUAUUGCUAGAAUAAGCUAAAUCAAGUUACCGGAACUCUAAAAACGUAAAGAACAUUAAAAACGGGGCUAGAACGAACUUACAAGCGAGCUUGGAAGCUUGAAAAAAACCCUAUUCAUGGUUUCCCCUUGUGAAAUUCGGCCAUGGGGUUGAAGAUGGACAAAAAAUUGGCUUUUAAUUUUGUUUUUAAUUCAUUUUAAUAACAAAAUGACCAAAAUGCCCUUAAUGAAAAACUUUGGAAACAUGUCUAACCAUGUCCAUUUUUGUCCACCAACUUAACCAAUGGUCUAAUUACCAUAUAAGGACCUCCAAUUGAAAAUUUCAUAACAAUUGGACACCUCUAACAUGUAGAACUCAACUUUUGCACUUUUUACAAUUUAGUCUUUUUGAAUAAAUUGGGUGCCCAAAUGUCAAACUUUUCAAACGAAAUUUUCACAAAAUCAUUUCGUGAAAUCGUAGACCAUAAAAAUAUAAUAAAAAUAAAUUUUCUCAUGUUAAAUUUGUGGUCCCGAAAUCACUAUUUCGACUAGGCCCAAAAUCGGGAUGUUACACUCUUAUAGUCCUAUUUGGUGUGUAUUAGUGGGACAGAAAUGGUGUGUAGUGGAUGGAGGUAGGAUCUAUUUCUAUGUCUGUAUUUGCAUCUGUAUUUGUAUAUGCAUCUGAUUUUGUAUAUGAGAUUGCAUCUCUAUCUAAAACUGAAAUUAUUUAUGUAAUUGAAUUGUAUCUAUUUCUGUAACUAUUACUGUAUUUGAGUCUAUUCUGCCUGUUUGGGUUGAGUUACACACUAAGCCUAUAAGCUCACCCAAGUUCUUUGUGUAACACCCCUAGCCCGUAUCCGUCACCGAAUUAGGGUUAUGAGGCAUUACUGUACGAAUCACAAUUCAGAACAGAGUUUUGCUACAUUUAUUGCUUCUUAAUUUAAACUCAUCAGAACACUUAUUCCAUUCGAUUUUAAACUUAAAAUUUCUAUACUAAUAUCAUAAUUAUAUUUAAGAUUAUUCGAUUAUAUAUAUACAUGUGUCAUUACGCAACAUAUACCAACAUACAUGAUAACAAAUUUUUCAUAAGCUAAUCCUCAAACAUAACCUUUUUAUAGUCUAAGCAUAUUCACAUAUUAAAAUCGAUCAUCAUCCAUACAAAAAUACAACUUUGAUUAACCAUUAUGGCCGAAUAUACUAAUGAUUAGCAUCAACCAUGAUGUGCAUUUAAGUUCAAACAAUAUGAACCAUAUCACAUAAUUAAGUAUCACUCAUUUAAGUAGCAUUGCACACAUUUAAAAUAACAUGAUUUAAAAUUGAACAUAUUUCUCCAUCAAUUAUAAAACCAUGCGCAUAUGACCUUGUUAUCUUAAGUAAAUUUGGGCACAAAUAACAAUUAAGAUUACACAUCAUUCGCAUGCCAAUAUAUAUGCAUUAGAUCGUGCCAAAAAUUUCAUUCAUACCACAAGCUAAGUUAUUCCACAAUUAGACAAUCAUUAUAACCUAUAAUACAUAAUAUAUUUAUUUAAAUGUUAUAAAUCAAAUAUCAUGCUUAUCAUUUUAGCAUCAUAUCCUUAGCCUUAUAAACAUAUUCAUUUUAAUUAUCAACUAAAACAAUCAUAUGACAUAUUCAUAUUUAUCUUUUACCAACCAUACCUAAUUAACCAAUCAUUCAAGCAUGAUAUAUAUGCAUACAUUACCAAUACAAACCGAAUCAAAAUAACCUAUACACAUUCGAACUAUAAUCAUCCUUUUACCCCACUACUAAGCCGAAUUAUAAAUAUACAUCAAACAUUACAAACAUUUAUAUAUUCGGUAUUAAUCUUGCUAAUUUAAUCUAUAAGCAUAUACUAAGUGCACACACAUAUAUGACAUGCAUAAUACUUAAUUCAUAUAUUAAAAUUUUAUAUAUAUCAUUUCUCAUUUUCCAACUCAAAUUCAUGUACUCAUUUAUAGCAUAAAAUACACUUCAAAAACAGACCUAAAUCAUGACUGAAAAUAUAUAUAUUACUUUUGGUACAAGCUUAAUCCAUGACUUAGUUCAAUCGAUCAUUAACAAAACAUAUUAAACAAGUCACACAUAAUCAUACCAUGACCGAAUCUAAAUAACUUAAGAAUCAAAGAAUCUAUUAUAAUCAUAGGCAUAGAAACUAAGCUUAAUCAAAAGAAAUAAGCCAUUUUUGCAUGGCUUAAUAUUAUAACCCAAAAAUCUAGCAUUUCAGCUAUGCUAUACAUGCCAUAAGAUCGAAUUUAAUCUUAACAAAAUACCAAAAGGAGUCGAUAGUGUGAUAGCCUUCUUCGGUGAUCCCUGAGCUCGUAACAAACUUCCAAAAUCUAUAAAACGAAGAGUAAACAUGCACACAGUAAGCUUCCACAGCUUAGUAAGUCAUAAACGAACAUUAAUCAUAUGAACAUUAACACUAAAUCAAAUAGCCAAGUCAAUCCAAACCUUAGUUAAAUAUACAUAUAUCACACUCACAAGUUUAUAUGUUACCCAAAAUAAAUUGGCAGUUAUCAUCAUAUAACUAAAUGCACAAAUACUCAUAAACAUAUAUAAUUAUCACUUUUAAAUAUUGCAACGAUAUCAUUAUGCCAAAUCACUUAUAAUAUUACAAAUACACCAAUAGACCGAAUCACUUAUAUGCUCAAUUAUGCUAACACAUAAUUCAUAUCUUACAUAGCUAUAAAUCAUCAAUUCAAAUAUACAACUUACCUUAAUUUCAUAACAUAGUAUGAAUACAUACUUGAACCUUUUAAUUUGAUUUCACAUUCUAUCUUUACUUCACAUUGCCCCAUGAACCAUUUGGAACAAAAAGGAUACGCGGAUAUUCAGAAGGCUCGCACAAUGCCAACGUCCUAGACAUGGUCUUACAUGUAAUCACAUACCGAUGCAACUGUCCCAGACGUCGUCUUACAUGUAAACACAAGUCGAUGCCAACGUCCCAGACGUGGUCUUACACGAAAACACAUAUCGAAAAUCCUAUGUCAUGACAUAAGUAUCCUAUCUAUUCCUAGGGUUCGUACGGGACUUCCAGACAUUGAUUAUCGAUCAAAUCAAACUCAAAAUAAAUCCCUCUUCCAAGAUCAUAUUCGGCCAAUCAUUUAAUAAACCAAAUAAUUAAUUUAUCACAUAUUAUUUACAUAUUCAUUAAUUUAACAACAUUUAAAAGCUUAUUGACUUACCUCGGAUGUUGUCGUACGAUAUAAUUGACUAUUCGAUUACUUUCGAUUACCCCCGAUCUAAUUUCAUUUUCUUUCGUUCUUGAUCUAAAUAAAUUCAAAUUUAACUAAUUUAAUUACACAUUCAUUCAAUUUAAUCCAAAAACACAUAAAUGAGAAAAUUACCAUUUUGCCCCUGACAUUUUACACUUUUUUGUAAUUUAGUCCCUAUUGCAUAAAACACAAAAUACACAAAAUUUGCAUAUACCAUAGCUAGGCCGAAUCUUCUUAUAGUCCCUCUAAGUCCACACAUUUUAUUCAUUUCACAUUUUAAUCUCUAAAAAUAUUGUUUUUGCAAUUUAGCCCUAAUUACUCAAUUUCAUCAAAAAUUCCAAUACAAAACAUAUUAAUCUAAAACAUAUCUUUCAUUAUUCAUCAUCAAAUAUCACAUAACACAAAUGUUCAUCAAUGGCACAACUCAAAAUAUUCAUCAAAAUAAAAAAAAUCAAACAUGGACCGGAAAGUAUUCGAAGCAACGAUCUUAAAAACGUAAAAAUUAUCAAAAACCAAACAGAGAACUAACCUUAAUCAAGCUUCAAAAUGGCCGAAUAUUGCUUGGCUUCUUUUCUUUUUCUUUUGCAUGAAUUCGGCUAAGGAAGAUGAUAAUAACCUUAAUUUUUUUUAUGUUUUUAUCUAACAUAUAUUAUAAUAUAUUUUUAAUUUACUAAUAUAACCUUAUAUAAAUAAAUAUAACUUAUAUAUAUUUUAAGGUUAACAUUGUCCUUAGCUGUCCACUAAUACUAGCUAUGGCAUAAUUUCAACAUAAGUGCGUCAUAUUAUAAAGACAAGUUCAAUUAGGCAAUCACACAUUUAACUAUCAAAUUUUUAUUUUACGCGAUUAAGCCAUUUUCUUUAAUCAAUCAUUCAAACAAUAAAAUUUAAACACGAAAAUUUCACACAAUCAAAUUCACACAUUAUAAACGCACAAAAUAAUAUUAAAAUAUUUUUUGACUCAGAUUUGUGGUUCCAAAACUACUAUUCCGAUUAGGGUCAAAAUCGGGCUGUUACACUUUGACUUCUCAGGUAAUCAGCAUACUUAGGACCAAACGACGUGCAGAAGCUCAUAUUGGAUUCUCAGUUAUUUAAUUAUGAUGGUUCAUGUUUUUAAAUUAUUCUGGACUUUCUAGAUUUUUUGGACGGUUGUAAAUCUGUUUCUGUAUUUUGCUUUACAUUUUGGUUUGCUUAGUUAAAUUUAGUAAUUAUUACUUAAAACUACAAAGUUUUGUGUUUUGCAAAUUAAGUCACGAUUUUCGAAAUUUAAUACUCUGAAAUUUCCGCUGCAAAAUAAAGUAAUCAUUUAAGUGUUUUUCUAUAAUAAAUUAAAUAGUUUCAAUGAGUGUUUUCUUAAAAACUGCAAAGUGAUUUGUCAGAAUUAAUAUUGUCAAAACAUACGAUUUCAAAUUCAAUUUCUAGGUUUUUUAAAUAAGCUAAUGUAAUUCCUCCAAAUUUGGCCAUAACAUCUAGGUCUUGUUUGGGAUGUUACAAUUUUAGUCCUUAAUUUUUAUAUUUUUAUCAAAUUGACCCUUAUUUUAUAUAAAAAAUUAUAAAAAAAACUCAAAAUCAUUUAUAAAAUAGAAAAUGUAUAUAAAAUUCUAGAAAAAUAAAAUCUUGAAUAUGUUGUUGAAGAACUAAAUUGUAUGAGAAAUAAAGAAAAGUAUCAUUCAAUAGAAUCCAAUAACAAACUUGGCACAUAACAAAAUAAAAAGUUAGAUCAUUACAUACUUCCUCAAUGUGUCUCGAAACCAAAUUAGUAGAAUUAUCUAGUUGAGUUUCAUGCUCUUGAAGAACAUUUAGAACCAGUAUUACAGAGGCUUAUGAAAUCAACCCGGAAGUCAUUUUUUUAGUCAAAAGAUUAAAAAAUAUCCCACAAAUUUUUUUUCAAACUCAAUUCAAGAUUUAAUUAUAUUUAAAUUAUUUUCCAUAACCCAAAUUGUAAAAACAAAUUAUGUUUCUUCUUCCAUGGUCGAGUUGGGCUUGGACAAGGUUUUUAUGUCUUGAGCCGUUACAACUUGACUUCAAUUUAAAUAAUAAAAGUUAUUUUUAAAAUUCAAAUUUAAUUAAUAAUAUAAAAAUGUUUUUUUAAUAUUUUAUUAUUUUCUAAACUCGCAAAUGGACUUUUUGGAUUGACCAAGCAAAGCUAGAAAUGGGUUAGGCUAGAAAAAAUAUUAGAUUAUUUAUAAGAGUAUAUCAAGGAGUCUAAUAAUUACAAUUUUUUUGGAAGGUCUUAAUAACACUAGAAAUCUUAUCACAUGCGUAUGCAUGUAGAAAUCACGUAUGUAUAACACAGACUGUGUUUAAAAAUAACAUACAAUGAAUACUGAAAAGUAUAAUUUGGAACUAAUUAAUAAUAACACGUGAAAUAUGUAUGAUAUUAAAAUAAAAUUAGAUUAAAUUGAGAGUAAAACAAAAUCUAAACACAAAAACACAUCAUAUUAAUAAUACUAAAUAAAUACAAAUGUUUAUCAUUGUUUUGUCUUCAAUCCCGAGUUGGUGAUGCUAAAUCAAUAACAUUAUUUACAUACACAAAUAUAUAAAAACUUAGAACACAAAUGUUUAUCUGUUAUAAAGCAUGUAUGACAUGGACAUUUCUGACAUUUGUUAAUUUUGCAAGUGCAUUAGGAUGAGAUUUGUGUUUACGGAGGAUGUGUGGGAGUUUAAUUCAUUUGCCAUAUUUAGUGGCUCAACCGCACGUAUUUUUGCAUUUGGCGAUGAAUCACCUAAUGAUUUGGCAGUUAGACUGCGAAUAUUUUGAAAUGUUUCAUACUGGCACUAAGCGGUGUGUAGGGUCUGAUAGGUAUUUAAUACCCUAUAUGGUGUGUAGAAAUGGUCGAAGAUGGUGUGUAACGGAUCGGUUUAGGAUUGUAAUCUACACCUGAUAUGUUCUGAUUCUGUUUCUGUAUACGAUAUAUGUCUAAUUGACUUCCGAAAGCAUGUUUGAAAAUUAUAUCUUAUAUUUUUACUCUUAUAAGUUACACAUUGAGUUUGUAAGCUCACUCUCAAUUUCUCUUAUUCUUAGGUAAUCCUUAGACUUAGAUGGGUCGAUGCAACUGGAGUUCGAUUAAUUAUCUACUUGUUAUAUUUGUUAUUUUAAUAUGGUUUAUUCUGUUUUUGUUUUGGACUAUUUUUAAGUUUAGGUUUAGUUUCGUUUUAUUUAUUUAAACAUUUUUAAUUGGUUUAAAUUUGAUCUACAAAAUGUUAAAUUAUAUAGCAACAAAUCGUGUUUUCAAAAUCGGACUCAACUAAGAAUUUUCGCUGCAAACGUAAGUGUUUUAUGAAUAAAUAAUCGACAAAUUUAUCGAAAUGGUUAAGAACGAUAUUUUCCUCAAAUAAAAUCAAAUUUUACUUAAUAAGAGCUAGCAUUGUUUUAUAAGUUGAACAGAUUCUGGGUUUUUAAAUAAAUUGUAGUAAUAUCUCCAGAUCUGGCUAUAACGUCUAGGCCAGGUUUGGGGUGUUACAGAGCCUAUAAGCUCACCCAAUGUUUCUAACUUCUCAAUUAAUCAACAUAUUUAGGACCAGACGACGUGCAAGAGAUCAGAUUGAGUUCUCAAUUAUUUAAGUAUGAUGGUUCAUGUUUUUAAAUUAUUCUGGACAUUCUGAUUUUUUGGGGGGGGUUUGUAAAUCUUUUUUCAGAUUUUGCUUUGCUUAGUUGGAUUUAGUAAUUAUUACUUAAAACUGCAAGAUUUUGUGUUUUACAAAUUAAGUCAUGGUUUUCAAAUUUUAGUACUCUAAAAUUUCCACUACAAAAUAAAGUAAUCACUUAAAUGUUUUUCUAUAACAAAAUAAAUAGUUUUAAUGAUUGUUUUCUUAAAAACUGAAAAGUGAUUUUCUAGAAUUAAUAUUAUCAAAACACACAAUUUCAAAUUUAUUUUCUGGGUUUUUAAACAAGUUAAUCUAAUUUCUCCAGAUUUGACCAUAACGUAUAAACCAAGUUUGUGGCGUUACAAUUUUUGUCCUCAAUUUAUAUAUAUAUUUAUCAAUCUAACCCUGAUUUUAUAUAAAAAAAUUAAAAUCAUUUAUAAAAUAGAAAAAUGUGUAUAAAAUUCUAGAAAAAUAAAAUCUUGAAUAUGUUGUUGAAGAACUAAAAUGUAUGAGAAAUAAAGAAAAUAUCAUUCAAUAGAAUCCAAUAACAAUAAAGAAACAAAACGAAAUAAAAAAGUUCAGUUUCAUGCUCUUGAAGAACGUCUAGGACUAAUAUUAUAGAGACUUAUAAAAUCGACCCGGCUGUCAUUUUUUUGGUCAAAAGAUUACAAAAUAUACCACAAAUUUUUUUUCAAACUCAGUUCAAAUUUUAAUUACAUUUAAAUUAUUUUUCAAAACCGAAAUUGUAAGAACAAAAUGUGUUUCUUCUUCCAUGGUUGGUUGAGUUGAGCUUAGACAAGGUUUUUAUGUCACGAGCUGUUCGAACUCCAAUUCAAUUUAAAUAAUAAAAAUCUUUUUAAAUAUUAAAUUUAAUUAAGAGUAUAAAAAUAUUUUUGAACAUUUUAUUAUUUUUUGAACUCUCAAAUGGACUUUUCAAAGUAGACGGAUUUCUUAUUCGUCUUUUUAUACAUGUAAUUAUUAAUUAUUUUCUCUUUCUUCUUCUCCUUCACACACUUUCCCAUUAAUUCCUAUCACAAUUUUGCUUAUUUCUAUUUUCACCUUUUUCUUCACUCUUUUUAUUUUCUUUUCAUCUCCAAGGUCUAUCACUAAUUUUCAAGCAUCCAGUCAAGGUAAUUUCCUUUCAUUUGCUUCAUUCAUGACUAUACAAUGAUUGUUUUUUUAUUAUCAGCUACUGUUAUAGCAGCUUGCUUUGUAAGAUGGUCAAGAUAAUAAGAUCUGCGGCAAUGGUUUCCUCUAGUGAUUAUCAACAGUUUUAGAUUUUAAGACAGGAUGAUCAGCAGACAUAAUCUACUAUAGAUACAGAUUAAUACGAAAAGAGCUAUGCUUUGUAAGAUAGUCAAGGUAAUAAGAUCUGAAGCAAUGAUUUCCUCUACUGAUUAUCAAUUUUAAGACAGGAUGAUCAGCAGACAUAGUAUACUAUAGAUACAAAUUAACUCGAAAAGAGCUACCCAGAAGCAAUAUAAUGUUGAAAUCUCAUGCUGAUGAACAUUUUACCUCUUCAUAUUCUGUAAUGAACUCUUGCACACUUGAAUCUAGCAUGUUGUAUAGUUUGAGGGGUUGAUUCUGGAUAUACAAUGGUGACCAGGAUUUCAUCAUGUUUCUGUCUGCCACCCAUCCAUAGCUCCAUCUAAUAGACGCCAUUGCUUGAAACUUGCAUUCAUAAUUUCCUUUUCACGCUUACACCGACAUAUCAAUACUUCAUAAAAUAUCCAACUCAUUCACAGAUUUUCAUUCUCUGCUACUGUUAUAUAUGAUUGCAUUACAGGGACAUAGCAAUGGAGUACGUAGAGCCUGUUGUAGGCAUUGCAAAUUGUCUCGGAACUCCUGUUUGUAAAUAUUUGCAAUAUCACAGAAAGCUGAACGAUUAUGUGAGAAACUUCAAGAGGAUCAGAGAUGAAUUGAAUUGCAAAAUGGAAGAUAUAGAGCUGCAAUUGAAAGCAGAGCUUCUUCGUCCUUUGGGGAAGAUACCAAAGAAGGGAGUUGAAAAUUGGUUGAAAGAUGUGAAAGAGAUGAUUGCGGAAGCACAGGAUGUGGAAAAUAAAGUCAGGAACGGAAGAUAUCUCUGUCGUGCUUGCAACGGGAAGCUGGUUGAUGAAAAGACUCUAGAAAUGAAGGGAUUUCUUGAUAAAGCUCCUAAUGCCUCUGAAGGUCUUGCCAUGGAUGGUCCAAGAGCUGGGUUGCCACUGCCAACAUCAGAACUAGUUGGAGAGGAAGCUCUCAGAAAUUUGAUUUGGGGAUGUUUGAUGCAGGAGGAGGUGAGCAAGAUUGGGGUUUGGGGGAUGGGCGGUGUGGGUAAAACCACUAUCAUGAAGCACAUCCACAAUGAUCUUUUGAAACAACAAAGAUUCGAAAGGGUAAUCUGGGUUACCAUAUCAAAGGAGUUCAAUGUAAUGAAGGUACAAGAUAAUAUUGCAAGUGCGUUGGAGUCGAAGGAAUAUUUAGACAAAGAAGAGGACAAGCUCAGACGAGCUGCAAUCUUGUCAGAAAUGCUGAAGAACGCAGGAAAGCAUGUUCUAAUCCUAGAUGAUGUGUGGGAUAAAGUCUCUCUAGAGGAAGUUGGGAUCCCCGAGCCAAGUGGCAGCAAUGGCUGCAAGUUGGUGUUGACAAGCCGUUCGGAGCAUGUCUGUAAGUAUAUGGGUUGUAAGGUGAUAAAAGUGAAGCCCCUUUCAGAAGAAGAGGCAUUGAUACUAUUCUUGAAUAAAGUUGGACCUAACAUAGUUCAAAGUCCAACUAUAAUGCCUACUUUGAAGCUUGUUGUCCUCGAAUGUGCGGGUCUACCUCUUACAAUUGUCGUGGUAGCCGGUACCAUGAAAGGAGAAGAUAACCCUCUUAUUUGGAAAAAUGCACUCGGGGAAUUAAAAGAGAGAAUAGGGAAAGUUGAAGGAGUGGAAGCUGAGGUAAUCGAGCGCUUGAAAUUUAGCUUCGACCACUUAAAGGACGAGAAUGUGAAAUAUUGUUUCUUACAUUGCGCAUUAUAUCCCGAAGAUUUUGAAAUUGAAAAGGAUGAACUAAUUGAGUGUUGGAUUGAAGAGGGAUUCAUAGAUGAUAUGCGUACAAGACAAGAAAUGAAAGGCAAGGGCCAUGUUAUUUUGAAGAAGUUAGAAGAUAAUUGCUUGUUGGAAAAUGUCUCGAGUGGAAAAAUAAAAAUGCAUGAUGCAGUGAGAGACUUGGCAUUGUCGAUCACAAGAAUGAGUCCUCGAUAUAUGAUACAAGCAGGUUUGCAAUUAGAAGAGUUACCAGAAAAGGAGCAAUGGAGUCCGGAUAUUGAGAAAGUGUCACUUAUGUAUAACUCCAUAUCAGAAAUUUCCAUAGAUGUGCUGCCCACAAAAUGUCAACUGCUCACAACUUUGUUAUCGCAGCGUAACCCUAUAAAGAAGAUCUCAUAUUCUUUCUUCAUAAACAUGCCUUGUCUUAGUGUUCUCAAUUUGUCCUCUACGAAGAUCAAAAGUUUACCAAAUUCCAUCUCUGAACUAAAGAACCUCACAACAUUGUUGCUUCGUGGCUGUUAUGAAUUAAGAGAUCUGCCAUGUCUUUCGAUGCUUCAAGAAUUGAAGAAGUUGGAUCUUUCUGCGACUAAAAUUGAGGAAGUCCCUGAAGGAAUGGAUAUGCUAAUAAAGCUAAGAUAUCUUGAUCUUGAAGUGCUCACUCUGAAAGAGAUACCCGCUGGACUUUUACCAAAACUCGUUCACCUUCAGCACUUGGGUUUUCAUGUGAACAAUGAAAAAACAAGUCUAAAAGCAGAGGAGAUGGAACCAUUGAAGAAGUUGGGGUGCUUAACCGGAUGUUUCGAAGACAUCAAUGAAUUGAAUAAGUUCAUCUCCUCAAUGCAACAAAGUAAGAAAAAUCUCAUCAAGUACUCUUUACAGGUGGGCUUAGCUAAGUUCCUUCAUAGAAGAGAUAAAAGAGUAACAAUUGCAGGAAUCCAGAAUUGGGAAGGUGAGUUAAUUAUGCACCCAAUUGAAAUUCAAGAGUUGAAUAUUGUUAAGUGCGACUAUUUGAGAAGCUUAGUCGAUGACAAUUCUUCCUUCAAAAAUGCGAUUGACUUGAGGGUUUGUAGGAUUUGGGGGUGUGAAGGGAUAGAGUGUGUUGUUUCCCUGUCCUCUUUUGCCUCUUCUUCCGCUCAUCCAUUUCAGAGCCUGGAGAUGUUGGAUCUUAAACAUCUGCCAAAGUUGAGUGCCCUUAUUAUGAAAGAUGCAGGAAUUGGUUCAGCAACAACAUCAACAUUGGCUCCGUCUGCCUGCUUUUCCCAUCUUAAGAAAUUUUAUGUAGUGAGAUGCUCAAGUAUGAAGACGUUGCUUCCACAUUGGUUGCUUCCAAACAUCCAAAACCUGGAAGAAAUUUGGGUGUCAGAAUGUGAUGAGAUAGUAGAAAUAUUGGGAGCAGCAACAUCAGAAGUUGAAGAAGAAGGGAGUGAUGCAUUAAUCAAAUUCCAUCUUCCCAAAUUGAUAAAGUUGGAAUUGUGGAGAUUACCAAAUUUGAAGAGCAUUUGCAGCAAAAGUAGAGUGAUGGUUUGUGACUCUCUCCAACUUAUCCGGGUUUUAGGAUAUUGUACUAAACUGAAGAGAAUUCCUCCAUUUGUUCCCCUUGUUGGCAAUGGGCAGCCAUUUGCAUAUGCUCCACCUUCUCUUACCAUCAGGUCAUGGAAAGAAUGGUGGGAAUUGUUGGAGUGGGAUGACCAUCCAAACUUUAAAAAUGUUCUUCAACCCCUUUGGAAGGAAGAAAGGUAUGAACCAUUUAUAGUUUAGUUUAUUUAUUUUUAUUUUUAUAAAUCUAAUUUCUCCAUAUUAAUAAAAUUUCAGGGGUAUUUGGAGACGUCGAAGAAGAGAAAGAUGAAAGGGUUGGUGGGAAAAAAGGAGGGGGGAGGAUAGUGCAAAAGAGAGGAGAAAAGGAAUGAUGGAAGGAAGAGGUAAAAACCAAAUAAAUUAGCUUCAUAUUUUUUCUAUGUUUGUUUUGAAAGAAUGAGUAUUGAAUAUGGAUAAAAUAGAGAAAUUUGGUAGGGUUUAAAAAUAUAAUAUAUAAUUUAAAUAUCAAUUAUUCAAAAUAAUGGUAUUUUAGAUAGCAAAGGUAUUGAAAAUUUAAAGUGAUUAAUUACCUUUUUAUCAUUAUAAAUAAAUACCAUAAUUUCUUGUUAAAUAAAAUAAAAAAAUAUCAUUACUUCUUCUUUCAACAAUCAUUCUAUUCUAAAAAUAAAAAUUACCUUUUUUAUCAAUAUAAAUAAAUACCAUAAUUUCUUUUUAUUCUGGAAAAAAAUUUGAAAAUUUAUGUUGUUUUCUUGAAAAUUUAUCAAUUUAUAUUGUUUUUUACAAAUAGAAAGGAAAACGCGUCUUAUAGUUCUGAUCGUCCAUAGAAAACAUGAGACGCGUUUUAUUCUCUUUCCUAAAAAGCGCUUUGUAGGAGCAACUAAGGACAAUGAACCACGACGUUCAUGUCUUUUGUCAAUUGUGCAUAAUUUUGAUUGGUACAAUAACACAUUUAGCCCUUGAUGUUUACAUACUUUUUUAGUUUGGUCUUGAUUCUAAAAAAAAGCAACAAAUUCAGUCUCAUCAUUUACACAUUUACAAAAAUAUAACGGGCUAAAUUUGUUAUCAUAUCAAUCAAAUUUAUGUAAAAUUGAUGAAAAAUAUUAAUAUUGUGAUUAAUUGCUCACUUUCGAAAUUAGUAGGGAUUAAAUUGCUUCGAUUUGUUUAGAGGGACCAAGUUGCCGAAUAUCAUAAUUGAAAGGGAUUAGAGAGGUUAUUUUACCUAGUUUAAUAAUUAAAUGGCAUGUUAAAUAUUAUGUGACAUAAUUUAAAAUAAAAAUUUGAAAAAAAAAAAGGAAGAUUGUAAAAAUAGUUGUUUUAAAAAUCAUGGUUUUGAAGUUUUUACAAAUUUUUUAUUCAUUUUUUUAAAUUUCAGUUUUAUUUAAUUUUAGUUUCUUUAAAAUUUUCAUUUUAAAAUUAGUAGUAAAAUUUAACGUGUCAUUUAAUGAUUUUAAUAGUAAAAUGACAUGAUUAAUAUAACAUCAAUAGUUUAUAAAUGUAAUUAGAUAAGUUUGAAGUUCGAAAAUAGAUUUAAAAUAAUGGUCAUAAUUUAGGGGUGGUUGAUGUAAUUAACUCAUUUCUAAUGGUACUUAUAAUUAAGUCUGUCUGCCACCAAUCCAUAGCUCCAUCUAAUAAACGCCAUUGCUUGAAACUUGCAUUCAUGUUUCACUUUCAAUCAUUUUCGUGUCCACCUUCAACCAUCAGCCAUCACUCACCAUUGCUUAAGCUAUUUUGCAUUUUAGACCAUAAAUUACUGAGUUGAAAACUCUAGUGUCCUUCUGCAGCCUUUUUUGGUCCAGGCUGGGCUCAAAAAUUUGGGUCGACCUUGAAUAAAACAUUUAAUCCCAUAUUUCAUAUUAGGCCAAGCUUGAGCAAAAAUAACAGUUAGCAAUAUCUUGUCUAAGCCUGAGCCAAAUCCGGCCCAUGAGAUAAAGCAUUCAGAUUGAACUACCGGUAACAUUAUGAGUUUUUGGUCCAUCCUUCAUGGGGAUGCAAAGAACAAAAUUAACUAACUUUUGCCACUAUAGAAUGUUUGUUCAACUAAAUAAAAUAAAGAUUGCCCUAUAACUCUAGUUCCAUUCAAGUUAAAACUUCUUCAGGCAAGAUAAUAGUAACAUAAUGCUAAAAGAACCAGCACAACCACCCCAGCAGGAGCUGCCCAUAUCCAGUAGUUCAUCGACUCGGUUCUUUUGGUUCGAUUCCUGUACCUACUAGUAUUCUCCUUUGGUACUUUACCCUUCAUUGAAACGGUAGCAGAAACAGGUGCAUCAGUAUUAACAUCGACCUUCUCGGGUUCUGAAUCUUGUGCCACAGCUUCAAUCAGUUCCUCGGGAUUCACAGCAUUUGUCGAUCCUGCCACCUUCUUCUUAGCUCUCUUUUCACGCUCCUGAAAAAAAGAUCGAAAGAGUUUCAGUUUCAACCCACAAACUAAUAACCGAUAAAGCGAAACCAGAUAAGGAAGCAAAUGAUUUCCUUGAGCUUCUUUUCAGCUUCCAUUUGAGCUCUUCUAGCUGCUUUGGCUGCUGCUUUUUCAGCCAACUUCUUUUUUCUUUCCAUGGCUUGCUUUGCUUUCGCUAUUUCCUCUUCUCUCCAGUUCUUUCAGUUUUGCUGCAUCGACUUCCUUGUUCUUUUGCAAUUUUCCGGAUACCAAAAUUUCCUCUGCUACAACACUAAUAUCUGACAAAGGAUUCGACUCCAUUGCUAUAGUCUCGGCAUCUUUUGGGGCCUUUUUGGCUAGUUUAGUAUCUGGUUGGGGACCUGAUUUGGCCUCUUCCUUUGGUUGUCUUACACUAGGUCUCAGAAUUGUUUCGGUUUCAGAAUCCACUGGUUUCUCGGUGCAACCAGUGGUUUCUCAUCAGGAUUCCUUAUCCGACCAUCCCGACUCAAUAGCCGAUUGUCCAGGGAUGGCAGAAUUCUUUUCUCAUAAUCAUCCCUGAAGAAUUUAUUGCCAUUCCAGAGAGCCAUAAACUUCUCAACCUAAAAGGAAUAUAAAAGAUAAGUGAGCGGCUAAAUAUAAAGCAAAUGAGAUACAUUGGAAGUAACAUUAACAAGCAGUCUCAACAAACCUCCACAAUUGAUAACUCCUCAAGAGCCUUUAUAUCUUUCUGUGCAGCAAGCAGUUUGGCGUUGUGUACAAUGGUACGGCUCUGGUAAAAGUGAGAAUUCUGAAAUUUUGAGAAAGAAAGCAAUUAAAACGAAUCAUUAGUAACAUCAUGCACAGGAAUAUUGGAAGUAGACAUAAUAUGUAUCAUUUAAUAUCUUAAGUGAUACUAGUUAUUCAUGCAUAAAUGAAAAUGUUCCGACAUGGUCAAGUAUUAUACGAAACAGAUAUCUGAAGCAAAGAAAAGGCGAUACCCCCUGAUCACUUUGUUUCCUCAGCUCCUGAAUGUUUUCAAAAGCUUUGUCCCUCUUCAGGGUCACAGCUUUCAGCUCAUUUUGUAAAGACUAGAUUUUAGUCUCAGUUUCAUCCAAUUUAUCUUUAAUUUGCUUUUUUUUUUUUUGGACCAGACUGCAUGCUGCUCCUUCCUUACUCCAUUCAAAUCAACACCCAUAAGCUACAAUAAACAAAUAUAGCAUUUUUUUUUAGUGUAACACAAUGGUGCUCGAUAUUCACAGAAAAAAAGAGGAGCAAACCCCGAUGGAUAAAGCAGAAAAUAGAAUUAUGUUACUUUAACUUGAUCUUGAAUGUCUUCUUUCUGGCCUAAUGAAUCUUGAAUCUUUGAUCUCAUUGCAGCAUUAGCAAUAACUUUCUCGCGGGUUCCCUCCAGGUGUUUGAUUUCUUCAAGGAUUCGCUUCUCCUCGCUCAACGAGAUGCUUUCAUGCUGAAUGCGAUAUGGCAAGCUAUGGAUCUGCAAUUCAUAAAUUCCAUUGAAGUGACUAAAGGAGAAAAAGAAAAGCAUUAACUGCGGCAGAAAACAAUGAAUAAAUCUAAAUGCAGUCAAAGUUUAUAGAAGUAUCAUACAAUAAAAUCGAGCUCUUCCUCAGAUGCACAUAAACUAAGUCGAUUAUCAACAUCUUUAUUAUUGCGAAGCUUGCCUAAAGCCUGCUGCAGUGGUUCUAUUUCCCUUUUUUUCUCAUCUAAAAUCGUCUUAAAUUGCUCAAAAUCAACAUUCAGCGCUCUCACUUGCGAAAGCCUCUCUGAUCGUUCUGCCUGCAUUAGCAUAAAGAUAAUCACAAUUUAGCCAACUGACAGCGCCAUUAUUUUUUACUUCUUUCACAUUUUUUCUCAAAUUCUGAAGGCAAACACAACAAUAAUGAAUCAUUAUACCAAUAGCAUAUCUGUAAGUCUCAUUACAUUUCAAGGACAUAAAUUUCAAACAUUCAAAUAAAUGCUUCCGGGUUUAAUUCCCCUACAUUCAUCAUAUUACAAUAAGCACACCGUAAUGACAUAAUGAUAGGGCUAAUAAUUAUCUUAAAAGUAUGACAAUUAAUGGCUACCAUGCUAUACAUCUAAUUGAAAUUAAUAACUUUUCACUCACCCUUUUUGCUUUUAAUUCAUCGGUAAGCUUAAACCUGGCUUUAUUCCACUUUUGUAUCUCUUUAUCAGCCUGAUCAAGUUUGGCUUUUAUAGCCGGAUCUUCGUAGAAGCGAUACCUAAUAAAAUGAAAAGAGCGGAUCUGCUUAGGUGCAGGCCACUCGUCGACCGCAUCCUUCAGAAAGUCGGGAUCGGAUGCACCAUUCUCUUCUUCCUUAUCUGGUUCCUCACUAUGUGAAUCAACUUGAAUGGGGUUAUUAUAAACUGGAUCCUUAUCCAGUUUCCCAUUUUCAUGAAGAAAUGAUUUGUCUACUUCAGUCACUUUAUCAAUAGACAAUUGUGCCAGGUCUGAAUCAACAUCCUUUACACCCAUUAAACACAAAUUUGAGCUACCUGAAAACAUGCAAAAACAAAGAUUAUGAUACCAUAUAACAACAAAUAUAAAUAUAAAAUAUUAUUUCAUUCAUAAAAUAAAAAUUUUAAAACCAGACACCUGAUAGACAUGUAUAAAACAAUAUAUAUUAAAUAAAUAAAUUUUAAAGAACAAUUAAUGUAGCCAAUACAAUUUGAAAGUCAUUCCUUUAGCUAAUUUUCUCAUUAAUCAGAUCAAAAGAGUGAACAAACAGUAGAAUUGCAAAAAUAUAUGUAUAUAUUCUAAAUAAAUGAUAAACUAUAUUGGAGAAAAACAAUAAUCAGAUAAAAUCUAGAUCAAAAACUAAAUUAUAAGUACAUUAGCUCAUGCUAUAACAAAAGAUCAAGCCUUUAUCCGUCAAGAAAAUUAACAUGCAAAAUCAUAUGACACUAAUGGAAAAGAAGGGAAAAAAAACCCAGAAAUUUACAAACAUGAGAUAAAAUGAAAAACAAAAAAAAAACCCUAGAAAUAAAAACACGAGAAAUAAUUAUGUAGUUUGUAAGGCCAGAAAGCUUACAUUUUUAAAAUGAAAAUGUCAAAAUAGGAUGUUUUUGUUGUCGAGAGAGGCAUAGAUACAAAGGUUCUGAGGUUCUGGAUAAAAAAAAAAACUUCAACUUUUUUUAUUUUACAUUGGCGUAAUGCCCAAAUUUUAUGAAUUCUAGUUGUUAAACAGGUAUGAUGGUUAAGUGCCUUGAAUGUUUGCUUUAGGUCUUGGAUUCAAUGCUUUUUUUUUUGUUAAAUUUUCCCUAUUUAUUAUGGUAUUAUGUUCAACUUGAGCUUUAGGGCUUCUCUUAUUUUCAAUGAUGAAUCUACUGAUUCAGUGGUAAGAUUUUAGCUUAUCACCAAUUAAAUUUUAUAAAAUUUGGUAAGUGGAAUUUAGAUUAACAUAAAUAUUUUUAUUUAUUUAUUUUAAUUUAAUUUUACUAAAUCUCUAUUUUCACUCAUUGUUUCAACCGUUCACACUCUCACCCCACUUCGUACGCUAAUUUCUUUAUUUCCCUAUUCUGCAGUUUUAUCUUCUUUUCUCUUCCUUCUUUCUUCUCUUUGAUUGUUCCUGAAUACUACCGUUUAUUUUGUGAGUUCUAUCACUUGGAUCGUAUUCUGUUUGAAGUGUAAGUUUCAUUUGGUUACUUUUGUUCUUUUCCCAUUAAUAGUUUAGUUUUAUUUCGUUUCUUGAACAAGUUGAGUUUGCGUUGGUGUUUUAUGUUCAUUAUCAUGAUUAGUAUUUUUGUGGUUCUCGAUUAGGCAAAAGGUGUGAGAAUCCUAACCCUCCAGCAAAGUAGUCACAAUUUCCGACGUUGUUUUGGAGAAUUAAGUAUUCAAAUUCUAUUUUAGGGGCUGAAAUUUUGAUUCAACGAUGUUAUUUUGGAUAAGUAUUGUUAGUUAAUCUGUGUGGUUUGAUGAAUUUAUAGGAUUCGUGAGUUCCAAUUGAGCGGUUGAUCAAAUCAUCAAUAGGUGUAUGAAAUUAACCUGAAAACUCAAUCGAAACUCGAGAAAAUUAAGGGCCACACGACUUUGUGGGUAUUUUGGCCAAUUUUAAGCCCCAAUUAGGGGCCAAUUAAAGGACUCAAAUAUUGGGUCCAUAGCCAUCAUAUAAGCCCAAAAAAAUGUAAGUUUUAGUACGUAUAUAUACAUGGCUAAGCUUAGGAGGUAUGUUAAGUAGGUUGUAUAUAAAUCAUAUGCUAUGUUUUGUUCCUUAUAAAAAUAUGUGUAUGCAUGUCAUACGACUUAUGAUAUAUGUAUUUAUGAUAUUAUAAUUAUGAUUAUGCCUAUGUUUUGGGAUGGGUUAUGAUAUGAUGGAGGAAGUGUUAUAUGAUAGUUUUUAUCGCAAUUAUUGCUGCUAGACUAUAAAAUUUCUAUCUAACAGCUCAGUUGCAUAUUUAUGAGUGACAUACCGCCACAUAUUGGUGUGAUUGGAUGGACGGACUCUUGUAGUCCUAAUUGGUGAUAUUGCUUGGACGGAGAUGGUAUGUAGCAAUUGGGGGUAUGAUAUGAUAUGAUAUGGGAUAUGAUACAAUAAGAUAAGAUAUGAAACAUGCUAUAACAUGAUAUAAAAACCGAUAUGAUAUAAGAUAUGCUUUGAUAUGUUAUGAUACAUUCUGAUUUAUAUAUAUACUACAAUGUGUGGGUCAAAUCACACACUGGAUGUUAAGCUCACACGUUUGUUUAUUUUGUUUCAGGUGAUCUUCAGACCUAGGAGUGGACAAUGACUCUAGAGCUCGUAUUUCACUCUUUCGAUUUAAGUAUGCAUUGGACUCUCUUUUGUUUAUAUGGACCUUUUGAACUUUUGGAUAUUUUAAAUUUAUUUGGGACGCUAAAAAUUAUUUUGGCAUUUAUUUUUCAAAAGUUUUAACUUUUACCGAUACUUAAAUCAAGAUAACUAAAAAUAAACCAUAGUUAUAAGGUAAAUUUGCAAUAAUGCAUUCUGCUGCAAGUUUUAAGGUCAAUUUGCUAUAAUGUUGUCCACUGCAAGUUUAAUUGAAAUUUGCUAAGAUGUUUUAUCUCACAAACAGAGUAAGUAAAUUGAAUACAUUUUGGUAAAAUUAACAAAUAUGGCUUUCUUCAAUGUACUCACGGGUUUUCAAAAAUGGUACAUCUUCAACGGGUUAAUCAAACUUUUUUUCUUUUGACUUAAAUAGUUUUUACCAAAAUAAAGUAAUAUUGUUUUCACACGUAAUGUAAUCUCCACAAUCUGACUGUAACAUCUAGGCCAUGUUUGGGAUGUUAGAAUUAGAGUUUUAAAAAAACAAUUACUUUUUCUCUUAGAAGUUAAUGUCAUUGUAGGGUUUGAUGAGUUAUCUUCAACUUUAAUAGUUAAGCUUCCAAAGUCUAUGAUCCUAUUUAAAUAUAUAAAAAAAUUCUUUAUAUUUAAAAGAUGUUCUUAUAAGGAAACAAAGAUGUUAUAUAUGAUUGUUGCAUGCAAUUAUAUUAUUUUAUGAUUCAGGUUAUAUAUGAUUGUUGUCAUGACAUAUAAGCAUUUAAUUAAUAUUUUAAAGUUUUAAAAAUAAUAAUAAAUAAUUUUAAAUUUUAAAAAAUAAGUUAUAUAUUUUUAAAACCUUAAAAAUUAUUUAAAAACUAAUGUAUCAUCCAUAACAAAUCAUACAUCAUUAACACAUAUUGGGGCAUGGGAAGCUUUUAAAAAAUUGAACUCAAAGAGUGCUGGUUCAUCAAGGCAUGGCAAGUAAGUGAUAGUUGAAGCAAUUUGUGUCAUGAUUACCUGUAUUUCUUUCAUAAUUUCUUUAUCACUCUGUUCCCCUGACACACUGCAAAAUCUCUUACAUUUCAAAUUAACUGAUGUGAAGUAAAACAUUAAAGCAGAAGAGGAUCAACUAUUACCCUCACUAUCUAUUUCAAUUCUAAAAUUCCACCUCUCCUCUCCAACACCUCAUUGGUAGCCUUACUCAUCAUAACCAACACAACCCUAAACUUGAGUUGUCAUAUUCAAAUAUUUAUUUGCACCCUAAGCAAUAGUUUUAGAACAAUUAAAUUUGCAUAAAAUAACAAGUUUUUUACUUGACGUUAAGACUGAGUUAUUAUUCAUUGACACUGCUUUAGAACACUUAUGGUAAUAGUUUUAGUCUUUCAACUUCAUCAAUUAAUCUUUUAAAGUUAUGUGUUGCGAUUGCAGUCAAAGACCAGCUAAAAUUUUAAUUACGGUAAGUGUAUUUAUUAAUUAAAGGUAUAGUUACGGUGAACAAAGAUAUCGUUCCCACAAAGACUAAAAGUAUUAGUAAUUAUUGUCUUUCUAUUAUUUAACUGACAAAUUGGAGUGAUUGAUUAAAGCUAAAAUUAACUAAAGAACACAACAAAGAGCAUAUCAGAACAAUAAAGUAUUAACAACCAAUAAGUGAGACAAUACCUAGGAAAGAAUCCACCUAAACUUCAUCUGUCAUGAUCGAUCUAAAUUACACAAUUUCUUUGUAUCUUAAUACGGGGAAAUCCCUAAAUUAUGCUAAAAAUUUUAGCUUUUCUCUCCCAAAAGCAUUAUUGGUGCUUAAUUACUUUUUCACCCCUCCAAUAACAUAGUAUUUUCCUUUUUUUUUCUUGGUGCUUAAUUACAAAUGUGUUAAAAUCAUUAAUUAAAAAUAAAAAUAUUUUUUAAAAUACUAAUUACAAAUAUUUAAUGGUUAUAUUUAAAUAUUUAAAAUAUAAUUUAUAUAUUCUAAUUAAAUUUUAUAAAUAAUUAAUAUUUAUUGCUUAAAAAUAUUUAAAAUUUAUAUUUCAUAUAUUAAAAUAUUAACAAGUUAUAAUAUUUUUUAUAUUAUUACUAAAAUAUAAUAAUAUUAAUUAAUUUAAAUAUUAUUUAAAUGCAUAUUUGUUACUUGAUAAUAAAUGUCUAAAAUGGAUAUUUUAUUUAUCAAAAACACGUUUAGACAGUAAUGCUAAACACUCAAAUUUUAAACCAAACUUUUCAAAAGCACUUCUCAAAAACACUUUUCAAAAACACUUUUCUACAGCACUUUUCAAAAGCAAUGAAGAACUGGCCCUUAAACUGAUGAAGUUAAAUAUCAUUUAAAGAAAUGGCGCCGUUUAGAGAAAUUUUAAGACAGUUGCAACGUUUUGCAUACAAACGCCGCUAUUAAUGCCACAUUUGCGGCUUUUUAAGAAAAAACGCCACUAAAAAUUAAAGUACUAAAGAGAAACGACAUCGUUUUAUUAAACUUUAAUGCAUAGUUCUGACGUUUUCUGAAAAACGCCACUAAAAAUUAAUUACCUGAAGCGAAACGUUGAUGUUUUGAGAAACAUUAAUACAUCAUUGCGGCGUUUUCCAGAAAAAAGCCACUAAAAGAUUACAUUCAUGUUUUGAAACGGCGCCGUUUUGAAAAUUUUAAUUCAUAUUUACAGCGUUUUCAUGAAAAACGCCACAACGAAAAUUUAAUCCCUAAACUGAAACGACGCCGUAUCGAAAAAUUUUAAUACAUAUUUGCGGCGUUUUUUAUCCAAAAGCCGGUAAUGUCUACCUUUUGCGGCGUUUUUUCUGAAAACGCCACUAAGAAAUUAAAUUCUUCUAUUAAUUUGGUAGGGUUUAAAAAUAUAAUAUAAUUUAAAUAUUAAUUAUUCAAAAUAAUGGUAUUUUAGAUAGCCAAGGUAUUGAAAUUUUAAAGUGAUAAAUUACCUUUUUAUCAUUAUAAAUAAAUACCAUAAUUUCUUUUUAUGCUGAAUUUUUUUUUGAAAAUUUAUCAAUUUAUAUUUUUUGUACAAAUAGAAAGGAAAACGCGUCUUAUAGGACAUGUUUUCUCUGAUCUUCCAGAGAAAACAUGAGACGCGUUUUAUUCUCUUUCCUAAAAAGCGCUUUGUAGGAGUAACUAAGGACAAUUAAUCACGACAUUUAUGUCUUUGGCAAUUGUGCAUAAUUUUGAUUGGUACAAUAACACAUUUAGUCCUUGAUGUUUGUAUAUUUUGUUAGUUUGGUCUUGAUUCAAAAAAAAAUUAACAAAUUCAGUCUCAACAUUUACACAUUUACAAAAAUAUGACGGGCUCAAUUUGUUAUCAUAUCAAUCAAAUUUAUGUAAAAUUGAUGAAAAACAUUAAUAUUGUAAUUAAUGGCUCACUUUCGAAAUUGGUAGGGAUUAAAUUGAUUCGAUUUGUUUAGAGGGACCAAGUUGCCGAAUAUCAAAAUUGAAAGGGACUAGAGAGGUCGUUUUACCUAGUUUAAUAAUUAAAUGAUAUGUUAAAUCUUAUGUGACAUAAUUUAAAAUGAAAAUUAAAAAAAAUUGUAAAAAUAGUUGUUUUAAAAAUCAUGGUUUUGAAGUUUUUACAAAAAUUUUAUUGUUCGUUUUUUUUUAAAUUUCAGUUUUAUUUAAUUUUAGUUUCUGUAAAAUUUUCAUUUUAAAAUUAGCUAUAUAAAAUUUAACGUGUCAUUUAAUUAUAAUAUCAAUAGUUUAGAAAUGUAAUUAGAUCAGUUUGAAGUUUGAAAAUAGAUUUAAAAUAAUGGUCAUAAUUUAGGGGUGGUUGAUGCAAUUAACUCAUUUCUAAUGGUCAUAAUUUAGGACAAAGUGAGAGUGGAAAGCAGAGUUAAAAUAUGACCCAAAGACUAACCUUUUUCUAAGUCGUCUCCUAUCAUAAUUGCAUAAUAAAUGGAUGGGGCCAUUACCAAACGAUGAAGCAAAAGAAAUGGCCUUCAUGUCCACCUUCAACCAUCAGCCAUCACUCACCAUUGCUUAAGCUAUUUUGCAGUUUAGACCAUAAAUUACUGAGUUGAAAACUGUAGUGUCGUUCUGCAGCCUUUAUUGGUCCAGGCAGGGCAGGCUGGGCUCAAAAAUUUGGGUCGACCUUGAAUAAAACAUUUAAACCCAUAUUUCAUAUUAGGCCGAGCUUGAGCAAAAAUAACAAUUAGCAAUACCUUGUCUAAGCCUGGGCCAAAUCCGGCCUAUCAGAUAAAGCAUUCAGACUGAACUACCGGUAACAUUAUGAGUUUCUGGUCCAUCCUUCAUGGGGAUGCAAAGAACAAAAUUAACUAACUUUUGCCACUAUAGAAUGUUUGUUCAACUAAAUAAAAUAAAGAUUGUCCUAUAACUCUAGUUCCAUUCAAGUUAAAACUUCUUCAGGCAAGAUAAUAGUAACAUAAUGCUAAAAGAACCAGCACAACCACCACAGCAGGAGCUGCCCGUAUCCAAUAGUUCAUCGACUUCUUACGUUUCAGGAUGGCUUUUGGGAGGGACUCAGUUCUUUUGGUUCGAUUCCUGUACCUACUAGUAUUCUCCUUUGGUACUUUACCCUUCAUUGAAACGGUAGCAGGAACAGGUGCAUCAGUAUUAACAUCGACCUUCUCGGGUUCUGAAUCUUGUGCCUCAAUCAGUUCCUCGGGAUUUACAGCAUUUGUUGAUCCUGCCACCUUCUUCUUAGCUCUCUUUUCACGCUCCUGAAAAAAAGGAUUGAAAGAGUUUCAGUUUCAACCCACAAACUAAUAACCGAUAAAGUGAAACCAGAUAAGGAAGCAAAUGAUUCCUUGAGCUUCUUUUCAGCUUCCAUUUGAGCUCUUUUAGCUGCUUUGGCUGCUUCUUUUUCAGCCAACUUCUUUUUUCUUUCCAUGGCUUGCUUUGCUUUCGCUAUUUCCUCUUCUCUCUUCAAUUCUUUCAGUUUUGCUACAUCGACUUCCUUGUUCUUUUGCAAUUUUCCGGAUACCAAAAUUUCCUCUGCUACAACACUAAUGUCUGACAAAGGAUUCGACUCCAGUGCUAUAGUCUCGGGCUCUCGGCAUCUUUUGGGGCCUUUUUGGCUAGUUUAGUAUCUGUUUGGGGACCUGAUUUGGCCUCUUCCUUUGGUUGUCUUACACUAGGUCUCAGAAUUGUUUCGGUUUCAGAAUCCACUGGUUUCUCGGGUGCAACCAGUGGUUUCUCAUCAGGAUUCCUUAUCCGACCAUCCCGACUCAAUAGCCGACUGUCCAGGGAUGGCAGAAUUCUUUUCUCAAAAUCAUCCCUGAAGGCUUUAUUGCCAUUCCAGAGAGCCAUAAACUUCUCAACCUAAAAGGAAUAUAAAAGAUAAGUGAGCGGUUAAUUAUAAAGCAAAUGAGAUACAUUGGAAGUAACAUGAACAAGCAGUCUCAACAAACCUCCACAAUUGAUAACUCCUCAAGAGCCUUUAUAUCUUUCUGUGCAGCAAGUAGUUUGGCGUUGUGUACAGUGGUACGGCUCUGGUAAAAGUGAGAAUUCUGAAAUUUUGAGAAAGAAAGUGAUUAAAACGAUUCAUUAGUAACAUCAUGCACAGGAAUAUUGGAAGUAGAAAUAAUAUAUAUCAUUUAAUAUCUUAAGUGACACUAGUUAUUCAUGCAUAAAUGAAAAUGUUCCGACAUGGUCAAGUAUAUAUAUGAAACAAAUAUCUUAAGAGUUGAAGCAAAUAAAAGGCGAUACCCCCUGAUCACUUUGUUUCCUCAGCUCCUGAAUGUUUUCAAAAGCUUUGUCCCUCUUCAGGGUCACAGCUUUCAGCUCAUUUUGCAAAGACUCGAUUUUAGUCUCAGUUUCAUCCAAUUUAUCUUUAAUUUGGUUUUUUUUUGGACCAGACUGCAUGCUGCUCCUUCCUUACUCCAUUCAAAUCAACACCCAUAAGCACAAUGGUGCUCUAUAUUCACAGAUAAGAAGAGAAACAAACUCCGAUGGAUAAAGGCAGAAAAUAGAAUUAUCUUACUUUAACUUGAUCAUCAAUGUCUUCUUUCUGGCCUAAUGAAUCUUGAAUCUUUGAUCUCAUUGCAACAUUAGCAAUAACUUUCUCACGGGUUCCCUCAAAGUGUUUGAUUUCUUUAAGGAUUCGCUUCUCAUCACUCAACGAGAUGCUUUCAUGCUGAAUGCGAUAUUGCAAGCUAUGGAUCUGCAAUUCAUAAAUUCCAUUGAAGUGACUAAAGGAGAAAAAGAAAAGCAUUAACUGCGGCAGAAAACAAUGAAUAAAUCUAAAUGCAGUCAAAGUUUAUAGAAGUAUCAUACAAUAAAAUCGAGCUCUUCCUCAGAUGCACAGAAACUAAGUCGAUUAUCAACAUCUUUAUUAUUGCGAAGCUUGCCUAAAAUUAAGGGUCACACGACUAUAUGGGUAUUUUGGCCAAUUUUAAGCCUCAAUUAGGGGCCGAUUAAAGGACUCAAAUAUUGGGUCCAUAGCCAUCAUAUAAGCCCAAAAAAAUGUAAGUUUUAGUACGUAUAUAUACAUGGCUAAGCUUAGGAGGUAUGUUAAGUAGGUUGUAUAUAAAUCAUAUGCUAUGUUAUGUUCCUUAUAGAAAUAUGUGUAUGCAUGUCAUACGACUUAUGAUAUAUGUAUUUAUGAUAUUAUAAUUAUGAUUAUGCCUAUGUUUUGGGAUGGGUUAUGAUAUGAUGGAGGAAGUAUUAUAUGGUAGUUUUUACUACAACUAUGGCGAUUAGACCAUAAAAUGUCUAUCUGACAACUUAGUUGCAUAUUUAUGAGUGGCAUAUCGUCACAUAUUGGUGUGAUUGGAUGGAUGGACUCUUAUAGUCCUAGUUGGUGAUAUUGCUUGGACAGAGAUGGCAUGUAACAGUUGGAGGUAUGAUAUCAUAUGAUAUGAGAUAUGAUAGGAUAAUAUAAGAUAUAAAACAUGUUAUAGCAUGAUAUGAAAAUCGAUAUGAUAUAAGAUAUGCUCCGAUAUGCUAUGAUACAUUCUGAUUUUUAUAUAUACUACGAUGUGUGGUUCAAAUCACAUACUGGAUGUUAAGCUCACACCUUUGUUAAUUCUGUUUUAGGUGAUCUUCAAAGUUAGGAUUGGACGAUGACUAUAGAGCUCGUAUGUCACUCUUUCGGUUUAAGUAUGCACUGGACUCUCUUUUGUUUAUAUGGACUUUUUGGACUUUUGGACAUUUUAAAUUUGUUUGGGAUGCUAAAAAUUAUUUUGGCAUUUAUUUUUCAAAAGUUUUAACUUUUACCGAUACUUAAAUCAAGGCAAUUAAAAAUAAACCACAAUUAUAAGGUCAAUUUGCUAUAAUGCUUUCCGCUACAAGUUUUAAGGUCAAUUUGCUAUAAUGCUGUCCGCUGCAAGUUUUAUUGAAAUUUUCUAAGAUAGUUUAUCUCACAAACAAAGUAAGUAAAUUAAAUACAUUUUGGUAAAAUUAACAAAUAUGGCUUUCUUCAAUGUACUCAUGGGUUUUCAAAAAUGGUACAUCUUCAACGGGUUAAUCAAACUUGUUUUCUUUUGAGUUAAAUAGUUUUUUCCAAAAUGAAGUAAUAUUGUUUUAAAAAAUAAUUACUUUUUCUUUUACAAGUUAAUGUCAUUGUAGGGUUUGAUGGGUUAUCUUCAACUUUAACAGUUAAGCUUCCAAAGUCAAUGAUCCUAUUUAAAUAUAUAAAAAAUCUUUAUAUUUAAAAGAUGUUCUUAUAAGAAAACAAAGAUGUUAUAUAUGAUUGUUGCAUGCAAUUAUAUUAUUUUAUGAUUCGGGUUAUAUCUGAUUGUUGUCAUGACAUAUAAGCAUUUAGUUAAUAUUUUAAAAUUUUAAAAAAUAAUAAUAAAUAUUUUUAAUAAUUUUAAAUUUUUAAAAAUAAGUUAUAUAUAUUUAAAACCUUAAAAAUUAUUUAAAAACUAAUGUAUCAUCCAUAACAAAUCAUACAUCAUUAACACAUAUUGGGGCAUUAGAAAGCUUUUAAAAAAUUGAACUCAAGUAGUGCUCUACAUGGUUCAUCAAGGCAUGGCAAGUAAGUGAUAGUUGAAGCAAUUUGUAUCAUGAUUGCCUGUAUUUCUCUCAUAAUUUCUUUGUCACUCUGUACCCAUGAUGUAACACCCCUAUACCAUGUUCGACUUAAGGACCCUGAUAUAGGAAUAUUACAUUUGGUGCCAAAUUAAUUCUUGGCUAAUUACUAAUAUAAUUGAACACAAAACUAAUACUUAGAACAUACCUAAUAUAUUUCAUGAAUUUCAUCAAUAAUCAUUUCAUAAAAUCAUUAUUUCAUAUAUUUCAUUUAUACAUCUCAAUUCAAUAACUUAUCCUAUUUCAUAAAAUUUAUCCUUAUCUAUUUCUUGAACCAUAAUUCUUACCCUUUCACAUAUGUCAUAUCAUUCAGAUUUAGUUUUAUCAGUAACUUUAUUUUAUGUGCCCCUAUUAACUUGACUCGGACUUGGCGGGUACACGGAUUCCAACCAAACACAUCAGUAAACAGUAAUCAGUAACGGUAGCAGUAACAGUAACAAUAUUCAACACACAAAGUGCUGAAUCUGUAACAGUAACAGUAACAGUAUUCGACACACAAAGUGCCGAAUCGAUAACAGUAACAGUAACAGUAACAGUAUUCGACACAUAAAGUGUCGAAUCAGUAAUCAGUAACAGUAACAGUAGUCGGCACAUAAGUACCUAAUCAGUAAGCCGGCAAAUACCCUGUACUCUUCCAUAUCCUAUUGCAUGCCAACUAUAUCUGACUAGCCCGACUACUUAAUAGGGCAUUUAAUUUACUUUUCAGUACUAUUUCCAUCUUAGUUCAGUAUCAAUUAUAAUUCCUUAUUUCAAUAAGUUUCACAGUAUUGCAGUAAUUCAUUACUUCAGGAUUUUCACAGUUCAAUGCAGUACACAUAACAGUAUUCAGUAUUCUAUAAUUCAGUUCAGUAUUAGUCUCACAUAUAAAUUUCCACUUUCUCAAUUUCAAUUCCAAUAAAAUCCAUAUCACUCACCAAUUUCAAUAUUCCAGUUCAAUUCAAUAAUUCAAUUCAAACCAUUUCACUUUCUAUUCAAUAAUCACAUUUCAAUUCAAAUUCACUUUCCACUUUCUAAUCUACCAAUACAUAUUCCAGAUAUUCACAUGUAAUCAUACUUCGAUUCAAUUCAAACCACUUUUCAGUCGAUACUCAAUUCACGUAUUCACACUUAUUCAUACUUUAAUUCACUUUUAUUCAAUUCUGUACAAUUAGAUAAUUCAUUUUUAGUGAAGAGUGGUCGGAACUGUCAGACAGCGAAACAGGGGAAAUUUUAAAGAAUAAAAUGUACUAUUUGGCUAAACAAAAAAUUUUGGAAUUUUUAUGGUAAGAAGAUAUGUGAGUCUAGUUUCAGAAAAAAUUAACAGAUCUUAAUUUGGACUUCUGUAGCUCCGGAUAAAAAUAAUUUAGUGACCCUGACUCGGAUAAACAGUUUUGAAUAUACAUGUGAGUGAAUAGUGAAAUUAUAGUUAAUAUUGUUUAAGUGUGUUAUACACAUUAAGGAUGUGGAAUGGAGAGGAGGAGGAGGAAAAUUGGAAAAUAUAUGAAUGAUUUGUGUAUAAUUGGUCAUGUGUUUGAUUAUAAUUGAUAAACGAUGAAAUAGAAAUGAUGCUUAUAUUUGUGCAUCAUUGGUCAUGGUUUAAGCUCAUGUGUGAAAAUAAAGUUUCAUAGUAUGUGUGUAUGGUAUAUUCGGUAUAUGAUUUGGCAAGAAAUAAUGUCAUGAAUGGUUUAUCAUGUGGUUAGUUCCAAAAAGAGUUAUGUUUAAAUACACUAGCUUGUAACUAUGGUUGAAUGAUAUGUUUAUAUCUUGUGUGAUGCGCAUAGGAAACAAGUGUGGAAAGAUAAUGAAAUAGUAAGUUCAUAUGGCUGAAAUUUAAUGGUUAAAUGUUAAUUUCAUGAAUUAUAUGAUGCAUGAUGAGAUAUAUUUAUUGUUGAAAUAUGAGAAUCUUUGAAAUGUAUAUGGACUGAAAAGUAAUUAGUGAUUUGAAAUUUGAUUGGAAAAUGAAUAAAUAAAUAUAUAUAUAUAUGUAUAUAAAUAAAGUGUGGAAACAUUCACUUUCUAUUCAAUUCUUUCAAUAAAAUCAGCAUAUGAACAAUUUAAAACUCUAAUGCCAAGAUAAAUCAUCAUAUACUUCCAGCAUGUAUUCAUAGCAACUUUCAACUUCUUACAUAGAAUCAAAAACCAAUGAAUUUAACAAGUGGGCCUAGUUGUAAAAGUCACAAAAACAUAAAAAUUUCAAGAAAUAAUCAAGAAUUGAACUUACUUGCAGUAAAAAUAUGAAGAACCAGCUUGAAGAAACCCUUCUAUGGUGUUUUAGCUGAUGAGAAUGCAGAAAAAUGAAGAGAAAUCUAGAUAAUUCCACUUUGGUCCUAACUUUAUUAAGCAAAUUUUGCCCUUAAUUCUCCUUACUUUCUUGCUAAUUUCAUUCCUUUACCGUCCAGCCCAAAUAGAACUUGGGUCCAUUUUCCUUUUAAGUCAUCUUCCUUUUAUCAUUUAAGCUAUUUAAUCAUUUCCUAAAAUUUUGCAUUUGUUACAAUUUAGUCCUUUUUAUUCAAUUAAUUAUCAGAACUUUAAAAUUUCUUGACGAAACUUUAAUACUAACUUUUUAACACUCCAUAAAUAUUUAUAAAAAUAUUUAUGGCUCGGUUUAAAAUCUCCGAGGUCUCAAUACCUCGUUUUUUAUUCUAAUUAUUUUAAUAUUUAUUUCUAGUGCACUAUUCACUAUUUCAAAAUUUUUCCUAACUUCACAUUUAACUUAUAUUCACUAAAUUAAUAAUAUUUUCUACUCAUUUGUCGAAUUUAGUGAUCUCGAAUCACCGUUUCGACACCUUUGAAAAUUCAGGCCAUUACAUUUUUCCUCGUCGGAUUUGUGGUCUCGAAACCACUAUUUCGACUAGACCCAAAAUCAGGUUGUUACACGUGACACCCUGCAAAAUCUCCUACAUUUCAAAUUAAUUGAUGUCAGGUAAAACAUUAAAGCAUAAGAGGAUAAACUAUUACCCUCACUAUCUGUUUCAACGCUAUAAUUCCACCUCUCCUCUCCAACACCUCAUUGGUAGCCUUACUCAUCAUAACCAACACAGCCCUUUCUUUUAUCUCGCCACAUAAAAUAAAUUCAAAAUAAUUUUUAAAUUUUAAAAUAUUUAUAAAAUUUCAAAAUUUAUAUUUAAAAAAUUAUAAAUAUUUAAAAAUUCUAAAAAUAUAUAAAUAAAGUUGAAAUUUUAAAAUAUUCUAAAAUAAUAAUUUUAGCACUUAAGUAAGUUAAUUAAUGAUUCAAAUUUAUCAAUAUUUAUUUAAGUUUUUAAAUAUAUAUGGUUUUAAAUCUAGAUGAAAGAUUUUAAUUUGACAUGUUUAAUUUUUUAAGUUAACUCAAACAAUUUCACUUUAUUUGAAUUUCAUUUCAUUCGAUUUGAUUUGAAAAAAUUUCAUAUCAAGUUAAGAUGAUAAAAUAAAACCUGUAAACUCGAUUAACUCAAAAUGUUUUCACUGAAUUGUGAGGUAAUUGAUCAUUUUCUUAGUAAAAACUGUAAUAUAUAUGCUGAACAAAGUAAGGGUGCCUGAACUUGAGUUGUCAUAUUUAAAUAUUUAUUUGCUCAACAUUUACUUGAUUGUAUACAUUAUAUUUGCACCCUAAGCAAUAGUUUUAGAACAAUUAAAUUUGCAUAAAAUAACAACUUUUUUAUUUGACGUUAAGACUGAGUUGUUAUUCAUUGACACCGUUUUAGAACACUUAUAGUAAUAGUUUUAGUCUUUCAACUUCAUCAAUUAAUCUAUUAAAGUUAUGUGUUGCAAUUGCAGUUGUAAACCAAUUAAAAUUUUAAUUACGGUAAGUGCAUUUAUUAAUUAAUGGUAUAGUUACGCUGAGCAAAGAUAUCAUUUCCACGAAGAUUAAAAGUAUUAGUAAUUACCGUCUUUUUAUUAUUUAACCGACAAAUUGGAGUAAUUGAUUAAAGCUAAAAUUAACUAAAUUAAUUAAUUAAAGAACACAACAAAGGACAUAUCAGAAAAAUAAACUAUUAAUGACCAAUAAGCGAGAUAAUACCUAGGAAAGAAUCCACCUAAACUUCAUCUGUCAUUAUCAAUCUAAAUCACACAAUUUCUUCACUUUGUAUCUUAAUACGGAGAAAUCCCUAAAUUAUGCUAAUAUCUCUCUUCAAGACUAAGAGCAACUGAUUCUAGAUUAAUUAAUUGGAAUUUCUUUCUAAUUAAAACCCCUAUUAUCACAUUAACUCGAUCUAUAGAUCCUUCUAUUAGAUUUGACUCUAAUCCGGUAGAUUUAUGUCAUCUUAUUUUUAGGAUUACAUGUAACUCCACUUACCUAUGUUAGAUAUACUCUUAAACAAUGUCUAUUCCUCCUAUGAUUUAAGCACAUAAAACAUGGACCAAUAGUCUAGAAAUAUUAAACCAUGAAUUAAGCACACAUAAUUGAGAACAAGAUUUAAGUAUUUGUUGCAUAAAAAUAGAAAUCAAAUAAUAGAAUUCAUCCUAAGGUUCAGCUCCCUAGGUAUUUGGAAAAAAAUAGUUCAUAUAGUAAAUAAAAACAUCUCAAAGAUAGAAUAACUAUAAGGAAUAAAGAAACUCAUAAUAAACUUCAAAGAAAUCAAAAGGAGAAUUUCAAUUUUGAUGGAAAUAUGCUUCAAAGUCGGCUUCAAUGGUAUUUUUCGAGUUGUUUUCUUCAAUAUUAUAUGACGACUCACUCCCCUCUUCUUAUCUUUUUCAUAUAUGUCUUAGAAUGCUCGAAAAACUUACAAAUUAUGCUCGAAAAACUUACAAAUUACGAUUUUUUGCGUCUUUAGAGUGCAAUUGUUCUUUCCACACGGUUUGACACAUUGUUGUGUAGCAACUCAUAUGGUUCACUCGGCCGUAUGGAAUGGCCUAGCCCGUGUGGCUCCUGAAACUUGUUCUAAUUUUCUAAUUUUCGCUCUUUUUUCUUCUAAAUGCUCUCCUAAGUAUAGAGACGUGAAUUUAAAGGAUUGGAAGCAUAAAAUUCACCAUUAACAUCGAAUAAUCACCCAAAAACACAUUAAGAAUGAGAUUAAAACAUGUUACUUUUAGAACAUAUAAUGUAUAUAUAUGCAUGUCUUCUUAGAUCAUUUGCUAUUAAAAAAAAAAUUAGAACAAAUCUUCGGUGAGGAAAAUUUUGAACACACGAAUGAAACUCGCAUAGAAAAUGAAAAAAUGUGACAAGGCUUUAAGACGUGUAUCAAACCACUAUCUUUAAAGUUAUAUCCGCUGUCACCUAUAUUCAGCGUUCAAAAGAAUUUCAAGCAAAUUAACCUUGAGAAUACAAUGAAGCCGAUGACUAUUUGUGUUUUGUACUAAUGUAAAUAAUUUACUAAACACUGAGCAAUGUAUAACAAGAAAGUCAAUUUUUACAAAGAAUUUUUGCAGUAGCUCUUUAUAAAAAAAAUCUAAUAAUCUGGAAAAUGAGGAAGAAUAGGAUGAAUAUUAAAACUUGUUGGUGUGAUUUCCAAAUGAAAUACAAUUCCUAUUUAUAGGAAUUUUUAUGUCUUUCAUAGAGACAUUUUGGUCAAUCACUUUAAUAGCUUUUGGGGUGAUAAAAAUUCUAAUUUCACUUUGCACCUAAAAUGAUUUUUUUGGUAAUUUUCUUACCGAGUUGGGACUCAAUUGAUGGUUGACGCCAACUCAGUAAAAAGCUUUAACACAAUAUAGAUAAAAAAAGUUUUAAACUAAAAUUUUUAAAAGAAUUUAGGGUAAACUACAACAAUCAUUCAACUAUAGGUAAGUUUUUGUUUUAAUCACUUAACUAAAAAAAUUACAAUUUGAUCACUAAUGCUUUCGAAAUUGUUUUUCUUUUUUGUCACCCAAUUGUUAACUCAUACUUGUUUUAGUUGAUAUAAUAACAAUUUUAGUCCUCAAUUUUUAUAUUUUCUAUCAAUUUUACUCUGAUUUUGUAUAAAAUCAUAAUAAAACUCACAAUUAUUUAUAAAUAAAAAAAUGUAUAUAAAAAUUCUAGAAAAGUAAAAUCUUGAAUGUAUUGUUUCAUAACUAAAUUGGAUGAGAAAUAAAGAAAAUCAUCAUUCAAUAACAUCUGAUAACAAAUUAAAAUAAAAACAAAACAAAACAAAAAAGUUAGAUUAUUAUAUGUUUCCUUAAUAUUUCUCGAAACCAAAUUAGUAGUAUUAUCAAGUUGAGUUUCAUGCCCUUGAAGAACAUCUAGAACUGAUAUUACAAACACUUAUGAAAUUGACAUUGAUGCCAUAUUUUUAAUUAAAAGAGUACAAAAUAUACCAUGAUUUUUCUUUUUCAAAUUCAAUUCAAAAUUUCAUUACAUUUUUUUUUCAAAACUCAAAUUGUAAAAUGAAAAUAUAUUCAGAAAUUUAUCUUUUCUUAUAAUGUAAAAGCUAUAUCAAGUAAUUGAUGAGAUAAAAAAGCAUAGAACAAAUAAAUUUGCUUAAUAGUUUUUUCUAUGUUUGUUUUUAAAAUAAUGAGUAUUGAAUAUUUCAAUAUAGAUAAUAUAGAGAAAUUUUGUAAGGUUUAAAAAUAAUUAUCCCUAAUUUUCUCACUUUAUUUAUUUUUAAAAUUUUUAUUUUACUUUUAUUUAUUUUUUAAUUUUAUAAUGUUCUAAAAUUUUAAAAAUAAUUUCAACUUUUAAAUAACAUCCGAUAACAAAUUAAAAUCAAAUCAAAACAAAACAAAAAACGUUAAAUUAUUAUAUGUUUCCUGAAUAUUUCUCGAAACCAAAUUAGUAGUAUUAUCAAGUUGAGUUUCAUGCCCUUGAAAAACAUCUAGAACUGAUAUUACAAAUACUUAUGAAAUUGACCUUGAUGCCAUAUUUUUAGUCAAAAGAAUACAAAAUAUACCAUAAUUUUUCUUUUCCAAACUCAAUUCCAAAUUUCAUUACAUUAGAAAUUAUAUUCAGAAUUUUAUCUUUUCUUAUAAUAUUUGCUUAAUAUUUUUUCUAUGUUUGUUUUUAAAGAAUGAGUAUUGAAUAUAGAUAAUGUAGAGAAAUUUUGUAGGGUUUAAAAAUAAUUAUCCUGAAUUUUCUCACUUUAUUUUUUUUAAUUUUAUAAUGUUUUAAAAUUUUAAAAAUAAUUUUUAACUUUUUACCAUUUUAUAUAUUAUCAAAAUCAAAUUUACUAAAAGUAUACAAAUUAAGGACUAAAACUGUCAUUAAAUCAAUUAAAAGUUCCAUGCCAACAAUGUCCAUGUCAAUUAAACCAAGACUUAAUCCACAAUAACUACAUAUAUUUUUUGUUAUACCUAUUAAUACAAGUCAUUUACUAGUAUAUUAGACAUUCUUAUACCCUGCUUUCCCAUACUUUCCUAUUAUUUUCAUCAUGAUGAUGAUGAUUGUUGACACCAUUUUUUUGAUAAAACAGGGUCGACUUGGGUUUUGUAAAAUGAAAACAAAAAUGAGAGUCGCCACCAAUCUUUUUUGAUGAGGUGUGAUCGGGUCACCGAACUUUUAAUAAACGAUUUAAUUUUUAUUAAAACAAUGAUUUUGGUCCACGUAAUUCAGAAAAAUGGGUUCGGGGGUCGGUUACGCACGAGGAAGGAUUAGCACCCUCGAUAUGCCCAAAAUUGGUACCUAAUUGAUUACUUAGUGUCCUAGUGUCGAAAAUUGAAAACUUUGAAGAGUUUUAAAAAUACGAUCCUUAAAAGAAACUCUGAUAACAUGAAUUGAAAUAUAAGAUUCUCUUGUUCCGAAGGAAUAUCACAUCCAGCACGUUAGGACACGAUACUUUAAACCAUCGAAACCAAGAUCACCUUAUAGUUUAAUGAAACCAUACUUCGAAGUUUUAAGAGGAUAUUUGGCUAUUUAGUCGAACGAGAAAUUGAAACCCAGCACGUUAGGGCACGUUUUCUCGAGUUUCCAAACACAAAAUAUCGCCUUAUUUAGAAAAUCUUAAAAGGAUAUUUGGCUAUUUGGUCGAACGAGAAAUCGAAACCCAGCGCGUUAGGGCACAUUUUCUCGAUUUUCCAAACAUGAAAUAUUGCCUUAUUUAGAAAAACCUUCCUUUUAAUGUUUGGUGUUAAUAUGCAUGACAAAACAAUAAUGAAUACGACAAGAUAAGCAUAGUAAUGGAGUACGUAGAACCUGUUGUUGGCAUUGCAAAUUGUCUCGGCACUCCUGUUUGUAAAUAUUUGCGAUAUCGCAGAAAGCUGAACGAUUAUGUGAGAAACUUCAAGAGGACCAGAGAUGAAUUGAAUUGCAAAAUGGAAGAUAUAGAGCUGCAAUUGAAAGCAGAGCUUCUUCGUCCUCUGGGGAAGAUACCGAAGAAGGGAGUUGAAAAUUGGUUGAAAGCUGUGAAAGAGAUGAUUAGGGUAGCACAAGUUGUUGAAAACAACGUCAGUAACGGGAGAUAUUUCUGUCGUGCUUGCAACGGGAAGCUGGUUGAUGAAAAGACUCGAGAAAUGAAGGAAUUUCUUGAUAACGCUCCUAAUGCCUCUGAAGGUCUUGCCAUGGAUGGUCCAAGUGCUGGGUUGCCACUGUCAACAUCAGAACUAGUUGGAGAAGAAGCUGUCAGAAAUGAGAUUUGGGCAUGUUUGAUGCAGGAGGAGGUGAGCAAGAUUGGAUUUUGGGGGAUGGGCGGUGUAGGUAAAACCAUUAUCAUGAAGCACAUCCACAAUGAUCUUUUGGAACAACAAAGAUUCGAAAGGGUAAUCUGGGUUACCAUAUCAAAGGAGUUCAAUGUAAUGAAGGUACAAGAUAAUAUUGCAAGUGAGUUGGAGGCGAAGGAAUUUUUAGACAAAGAAGAGGACAAGCUCAGACGAGCAGCAAUCUUGUCAGAAAAGCUGAAGAAGGCAGGAAAGCAUGUUCUAAUCCUAGAUGAUGUGUGGGAUAAAGUUUCUCUAGAGGAAGUUGGGAUCCUCGAGCCGAGUGGCAGCAAUGGCUGCAAGUUGGUGUUAACAACCCGUUCGGAGCAUGUCUGUAUAUUGGUUGUAAGGUGAUAAAAGUGAAGCCCCUUUUAGAAGAAGAGGCAUUGAUACUAUUCUUGAAUAAAGUUGGACCUAACAUAGUUCCAAAAUACUUCUAGCAGCGCUUGUAAGCCUUAAAAAAUAUCGCUAAAAGUCUGUUUUGCAGUAGUGCAGUGACCAAAACUAAAAUACUCAUAGUUUAGUAACUAAUAGUUAAUAGUGUAACUUUUUUUAAUAAAAUAAAAAAUUUACCUUAAUUUUGUAUUAAAAAACUUAAAAUUAUUUAUAAAAUAGAAAAUGUAUAUUAUUCAACAUAGGGAUUCUUUUCCAAAUCAUACAGAAAAUAAUUAAUUACGGAAAUAGUAUGAAAAAUAAAUUAAUUACAAAAAUAAGACAUUUGUUACGAUGUUCUGCUGGUGUCACCUGGCAUAUUGGCAACAUCAGACUAAAAUGUGAGAACAAAAAAUAUUCAAAGACUUGAUAUGUAAAUUUCUCAUUUUGAUUGACCGUUGAAAAUAAGCUCUAAGGUUGUUGUGUGGCAGUGUGGCGGCACAAAAUCUUAAAUAGGGUUAAUUUUUUUGUAAACUCUCAUUGUUUAUUAUUUUGUUUUUAUUCCUCUUUAACACCAAAACUAAAAAGUUUUCUUACCCAUUGGUCCAGUUUAAAUUAUGUCUGGCAUAACAGUUAACAUUAUUGAUAGUAAUUUCCCUUUUUAAACAUUUUCCUUCUAAAAGACUUCAUUUCUUUUAAAAUAUAUAUGUAGUUCCCAAAAUAACCUUAUAUUCAUAUUUAUAAUUAAAACAUUUAAGUUAUAAACUUAUUUUGAUAUGAUAUAGAAUCAAAUAUUAUUUUUUUGAAUUUCUGAAAAUUUAAAUAUCAAAAUAUGUUUUAAAUCUUUAUAUUCUUCUUAUAUUUUAAAUUUAAUCUCUAUUUAUUUUUAAGAAUUUAGUCUCUUUAUUUUUUGGAUUUAAAAAUUUAGGUCUAGUUAUUAAAAACAUUAAAAUUAUUUUGUUAAAUUCGCUGGUAGGACAAGUUAAAAUUAAAAAAAAAAAUUCUUAUUUGGUAGCCAUGUAAUAAAAAAUAAUGACAAUCCAAAUAACUUGAAUUUAACAGAGAAUUUUAACAAUGUUGUCAAUUCUUAAAAAUUUACAUCAAUAGUUUAAUUAGAUACGAUGUUUAGACUAAUUAAUGACAUUAAAAAAAUUGAAGUACCAAAUUAUGUCAAACAUUAAGACAUAGAGAUUAAAUUUCCAAUUUGGGCAUAUUAUAAGGACUAAAAUUGAAAACUAACUAUUGUUAUAUAAUUUCAAAAAGAAAAAUCAAUAAUUUAGUCGAAAUGAAGUAUUUAAAUUGACCAAAAAGUUGAGGUAUCACAUUAUGUUAAAAAUUAAAAUUAAAAUAUUAAAAUUUAAUUUUAAGCUGAAUAUAAGAAUCAAAACUAAAAUUUGAUAUAUAAUUUCGAAAAAGAAAUAAUAAAUUGUGUAUUUGGAUAUGUAUAUGUCAAUAAAUCCGAAUGAAACAUUUAAUGAUAUUAUAAAAAUUAAAGUACAAAAUUAUGUUAUAAAUUAGUAAUCUUAAAGUAAAUCUCUUAAAAUAUCAUACUUUACUCACUUUUAUUUCCCUCAGUAAAGAAGGUUAGAUGCAUAAAUUGUUUGACCAUUAAUUUUGUUCUUUUUUCCUUUUUGAAACAAAACAUAGUUUUCAAAUUUGUAAGCUUCAAGUAAAUAUCUUAAAAUGAUUUACUUCCCUCACUUAAAAGGUUAGAUGCAUGAAUUGUUUGACCAUUUUUAUUUUUAUUUUGUCCCUCAUUUAAAAUAUAUUAAAUUCUUUAUCACUCAAAUAACAGUAAGAGUAAACUAGAGGUGAUCAUGGGUUGGGCUACUCGGCCCGGCCCGACAGCCCGCCCGAAAAAUGGGAGGAUUCGGGUAAAAAUAUAGGCUCGAAAUAUGGAUUUGGGCAAAAUAAUAAGGCCGUUUUUACAGAAUAUUGGGAAUUUACCUCCAAUCUUCAUGCAUAAUUUCCUGUUCUUUCGCCAUCCUAAUAUCAAUCUUAUGGUUCUUCACCGAGCCCAUAUUGAUCUUCCUUCAACAAGACGCCGAAAUCUCGAAAAUGGCGGCGUUUUACAUCAAAUAUCUCAUCCCAGGCUUAUUUGCUUACGGAUUGGUACAAAACAUACUGAGAUUCCUUCAGUCGCAAAGUAUUUUAAUGCCUCUGGUGUGGUUUUCGGUUCUGCUAUUGGCACUUCAUUUAGGCAUCGUUUACACAUUGGUUAAUUGGACGGAUCUGGGUUUCAAAGGAGCUCCAUUGGCAGCUUCGAUUUCGCUGUGGAUUUCACUUGUUUUGUUAUCGUCUUAUGUGGUUUUGGCCCAGAGAUUUGAGGAAACAUGGCCGGGAUUGUCGUCGGAAACGUUUCGUUUGGUCUUCGCGAACCUGAAAUUUGGCAUCCCUUCUGCGGCAAUGGUUUGGUGAGUUCAUUUUUUCCAAAUUAAGUUAUAAAAUUUUGAAGAGUCAAACAAAAUUUGUCAUUGUAUUAUUUUAUAAUUUUGCAUUUUUUAAAGGACUAAACUUCUAAAUUUAUUAUUUUUGGGUUAAAGACUUAAGUCUAAUUAUUUUGAGUUGGGUUAAAUCUCAAAAUUAUACAUUGACUUUGAUUUAACGUGUAAUUGUAUAUAUGACCUUUAAUUUAGUACAAUUAUACGAGUGAAACUUUAAUUUUGGUUCAAAUAUAUAUUUGAAACUUUAAUUUUAAUUUAAUCAUACACAUUUAAAGAAAUAAACUUAUUUAUUUUUAUAUUGAAUAAAUAUAAUUAUUUAUGCAUGCGAUAUAUAAACAUAAAAUGAUGUUAUAUUAAUAAUGGUAUUAAUAAUUUACAAGAAUUGGAUCAAAUCAGAAUUUUAAAAUUUCAUGUAUACAAUUGCACAUUAAACCAUAGUUUGUGUAUAAUUUUGGUACAUAUCCUUUUUGAGUUUGAUUCAAAAGUAAGCAUUUGAUUAUUUUAAUCGGUAUAAUAUUUUUUUUUCUAAUUUAACCGACUUAAUUGGUCUUAAUAUAAAAUAACCGAACCGAUCGAUUAAGAUAUUGUUAACCGAUUUAAUGAAACUGACUAAGAUGUCAUUAAUUAGGUUUGGGUCGAUUUUCGGGUUGGGUUAGGUUAGAUAAUUGGAUUUUAAGUUUGGGUAAUUUAAAUUAUAUCAAAUAUUACAAAUAUAUUUAAAAUAAUUUAAAAAUAAUACAUAGAUAAAUAUAAGUCAGUUAAGUUGAUCAAUUCAAUAAAUUUAGUAAUCGGUACUCCACUGUCCAAAUCGACAAAACUGAAUUAAUUAAAAUUAAUUAAAUCAUCAAUUAAGUCGAUUAAAUCAAUCAUAACUGAAUAAUACUCUUUUCUAAUUUGAGUUAUUUGGAUUUUGUGGUCAAAUUUUAAGUCGGAACAAUUAGAAGUAAGUUCUUUUGAAUUCAAAUUAGUCUAAAUUAGAGCCAUUUUCAUUUCGGAUUUGAAUUUAACUUUUAAAAAUAAUAAUGCGAACUAAAUUAAAAUUUAGAUAAUUUUUUAAAAUUGUUUUGAGCAAUUUGGAAUAUUGGGCAUUCGAGCUUCUGGUACUCUUAGCAGGAUUGAUGCCUAAUUCAAAAGUAACUACUUCCUUGAUUGCCAUGUGGUAAGAUUGCCUUCAGGGGUGAAUCCAAAAAAUUUUGUUGAGGGGAUCGAAAUGAAAUUUUGAUUUUUAAUAGUCUAUAUCUUUAUAAUUUUUAAAGGAUUAAAUUAAUUUUUAUAAUUUUAGGGGAUUAAAGAAUAAUUUUAUCUUUAUUAAUUUAAAAUUUUAUUUUAGGGAGCCAAGCCGCCCAUGGAUUCUCAUCAGCUUCCACUUUUAUAAUUUUCACUGGAUCCAUUUAAAGAUUUUAAAAUUAAUGGGAUUUGAGUAAAAUAUUUUGUUUCAGUGUGAAUACAAAAUCAAUUGCUUACAUGAUUACUCACGGACUUAGUGCUGCAGCAAGGUGAGUUCAAUUUUAUUAUUAUCUUAAUUAGUUUACGGAUUUUAUGCUAAUUUUAUUGAAACAGCACUAGGGUUUCGAAUGAAUUGGGGGCUGAGAAUCCGAGGAAGGCAAAGACCGCCAUGGCUGUGUCACUCAAGCUUUCAAUCCUUCUGGCUUGCAUUAGCAUUUGGGCAUAACAGCUUCCUCAGAUUGAAUACAAGAAGGUGUCUUGUAUUGGUUGAUAGAAGCUCCCUUUGAUACAUAAAAGUCCAUAACCGCAUCAAAUGUUCCAUGCUUUACCACUCUUAACUCUAAUGCUGCAAUUUUAUUAGCCUCUCUAAGGCACUUAUAUGUGAAAUCCAAUGAUUCUUCUUCUAUGGAGCAGCAUUGUUCCAUUAUCUUGGCAUCAAGUUUUAGGCAUCUAUUCCUUUCUUUGAACUUGAGUUCCCAAAACAAUACAUACCGGCCUGGUAUCGAUGAAGUCUCCGCAUAGCUACUGAAUGUCAUCAGUACGAAACCAAGUGGUUCACGAUGGCGUUUUGCGUUCCUGAUGGCCUUCAAGAGGUCUGCCUCGCUUGGUUUGUCCAUAUCAAUACUCAAAACAGUAUUCCGUCGUUCGACAAAUUGGAACUGCAGAGAGUUGUUAUGGAAACCGGUUAACUUGAGAACGUCUCCAACUCGGUAUCGAUACAGGCCUGGAAAGACAAUUAAGACACUUUAUUACCAAAAGAAAUCUAAUAUUUCAAAUCUAAAACAGGAAAUGAGAAAUAUUACCCGUCAAAGUUGUGACGACAACCUCGUAAUAUUGACCAAGUUUCACAUUUGCAAAAUCAACAGGUUCAACAUUUCCAUUUACAUUUGUCAUUUCCGACAACCAUUGGCUUGAAACACCAUCAAGAUUGGAUUCUCGAGCCUUCUCUUCCCAAUCUUUAUCCACAGGGAGAAACUCAAAGUAUGCCAUGUUGAUAGAACAAGAUCCUCAUUCCACAUAUUCAUAUUUGUGUCAAUCAAAUCAACAACCUAAUUAAUACCGUUGACUCGUUGUGACUCCACCAGAAAUGGUCGAUCACUAGAGCGCCAUGACUUGUCACAAACUAAAAUCUCAUUCUUGUUCCCCAUCAACCAACUACAACCUUUGACAAGUAGGCCUUUUGUCGCCCAGAUGCUCCUCCUAAUAAAAGAAGGUUUGCUCCCUAAUGUCGACAGUAGGAAAUCAUCACGCAAAAAAUAUUUUUCCUUGAGAACCCUUGCCAUUCACAAAAAUGAUCCCCAUUUAAAUUUUUCUUAGUAAAAAUGUUAAUAAGAGGAUUAUAAGACAUAUUUGAACUGAAAAAAAUAAAGAUUCAUUAAUUACUAUCUUUGUAUUAAGUAAAUAUUUUCAUUUCAGCAACAUAUCAAGAAUGCAGUAUGAUGCAUGCGUCUUGUAUUAAAAUCUUGAUAAUAUUUUUUUUUAUUGCUACGAUCAUUCUCACACCCAUCAAUCAUGUCGCUUUGGGGUCUCAUGAUUAACUAGUAAGAACAUGGAAUCAGUUCAUGAAUCUUAAUUCUCAAGACUCCACAGGAACCAACGAUCGUUUAACGUUUAGCCAUUGCCUCUAGCUUAAAUAUCGUUUUUUGGGAAACUAUUUCAUAAGAAGUUCUUAAGUAUGUAACUAUUGACUCAACACCCAUCAUGAACAUGCUUUCAUUUGUGAGUCAUCUUGGGACAAUUUCACUAAGAUUCAUGCACAACUACUUAUCCUGAAAAGUAAAUCUCAUCUAGUGAACCCAAAUGAUAAAGUUUAUCUUGGGACAAUUUUUUUUUCUUUCAAUUAUCAUGUUACCAUUUAAGGGCCAUCAAUGGAGGUCGUAGGUCUUGUUAAAUGACCAUCUCCCACUCAAUAUUUUAAAAUAAUAUGAAAGGUUUUUUAUCUCAUAUUUAAAGAAUGAUCAUACAAUAGUCCUAGUGACAUUCUUAGAUUAUGACAAUUUUACAAUAUUCAAGAUUUUUGAAAAAGCGCCGCGAAUUCUUGGGGCUUUAGCAACAUUUUUGAAAAAGCGACGCUAAUUCUCUAUUUUUAGCGGCGUUUUUGAAGAAGCGCUGUGAAUGCUCUAUUUUUAGCGGCGUUUUUAAAAAAGCGUCGCAAUAAACAUUUUAUCUGUCUAUUUAUUAUUUAAUUGGUUUAUUUAUAUUAAUUAAAAUUAAAAUUAUUUUUAAUUGAAUAGUUAAAAUCUUCAGAAAAAAUAAUGACAUGUAGAAAUAAUUUAAAAUAAAAAACAUAGAAAAAUAUUUGUUAAAAAUGGAAAAAUUAAAAUACUAUUAUUUAAAAUAAUUUUAAAGUUUUUUGGGUACAUUACUAAUUUUUUUAAUUUAUAUAUUAAAUAAUUUCUUAUAUAAUCGUAAAAGAGAUAGUAUUUGUCAAAACCUUUUUUUUUGUGAAAAUGGGAUCGACUUGGAUUUUAAAAAUGAAUACGAACAUGGGAGUCACCACCGAUCUUUUAUUGAGUUGUAAUCGGAUCACCUUAAAAAUGAUUUUGGUCUACAAGUUUCAGAAAAAAUGAGUUCAGGAGUCAAUUACGUACGAUGAAGGAUUAGCACCCUCGUAACGCCCAAAAUUGGUACCGAAUUGAUUAUUUAAUGUCUUAAAUUCGAAUGUUGAAAAUUCGAAAAGAUUGAAAAGCGAUUCCCCUUUAAAAAAUCUUUAUUGAAAUUUAUUAUUUUGAAAACUAAAAAAAUCAGUCUUCUUGCUUCAAUGAAGAAAUCGAAACCCCGUAAGUUGGGGCACAACUCCUUGAAGUUUCAAAGACGACACACGAGUUUGCCUUUAUUUAAAAACCUGGUCUCGAGAUAACAGGAUGUUGUAUCCAAUAAGUUAGGACACAACAUUUUGAAUCUUCGAGAUAAGCUUUAAUUUGGAAUCUUUGCUUUAAUUGAAAAAGGAAUACUCGGUUACUUAAAUUCAACGAGGAAGAUUGAGGCCCAGUAAGUUAGGGCACAAUCUUCUCGAGAACCUUGGAUACCGAGUCUUAUUUUAUAAAUCCUUGAAUGAAAAAUGUAAGGUGAUUAAAUGACAAUAUGCAACGCGAAAGGAUAAUUUGUAAAUAAAUUAUACAUUAAUCAAAUGAAUGGUAGAUAAAUACAAGCAAGUAAUACACAUAGCAACAAUAAUCUCAUGUAAAUACCCACAUUGGCUAAUAAGUGGAAACUAAUUAAAAUCAAGCAAUUUUACAUAAACACUAACGAAAUAUACAAAUUUAAGCAUAAUUUAAGAAAUAAAUAUAAUAUAUAUAUUAAAAUAUUAAAAUAAAUUAACAAUAUUGAAAUAAGUUGAAAUGAAUUAAAGAUGUUAAAAUAUUUGAAAGAAAUAAAAUAUCUAUAUAAUAAUUAGAAUGAAACUCAAGGAAAAUUUUAUCAUAGAAUCUAACCUAUGAUUAAGAAGAAAAAUCAAGGUAAAGCUUGUGGUUUUUUUGUCUUUCCGUUCCUUCUCUAUCCACGGUACGGGUUUCAGAAAAAGAGCUUCGCUCGCUCUUGCUAUUAAAGUCGGGUUAGUUUCCUCUUUGAUCUUCUAAUUUUCCUUCUUUGAUUCGUGUUUUUUUUGUGUUAAACUGUCUGCAAUUUUGUUUGUUUUUGGAGAAAUCUGGGAUUAUUGUUGUACUUUCUGAAACUGAUCUAUUAUUGAUGGAAGUCAACCCUUACAGUUGUUAGUGAUAAACACAUAAAUUUGAAUGUUGAUAAAUUAUUGAAUUAUUAAUUUCUGUUAAUUUAUUGCAUAUAAUCAUUGAAUUAUUUAUUUUUACUAAUUAAUUAUAUAUAAAUAAUUAGAUAGUUGAUUUUCGAGCAAUAGUAUUUGAUUGGCUCAUUUUUGGUAUGGCAAUGUAAAGAGAUUAAUAAUUGUACUUUUUUUAAAAAGUUUUUCCCCUGACCAACUAUAAAAUUAAAGUUAAUCAAUUGAAAUAGAUGUAGAUCAGAAGGUAUUUAAGCUGCUGCAAUGAGUAGUAUGUUUAGUUUACUAGAGUUUCUUUGGACUUUGGUUUGAUUCAAUUAUCAAAUUUUUCGCUCAGCAUUUGAUUGGUCAGGACUCGAGUUUUCAAAGUUCCUCAAUCAUUUUCUUCCUUUUUUUCAGAAUCAUAUUUGCUUUUUUGCUUGAAUCUUGACUUUAUAGUCAAUUUGGUGGGUCGGGUUUCUUGAAGCUUUAAGGUUGUAUGGUCGUGGCUAGUGCCAAAUAGAAGGUAAGUGCGCAAUGAGUUGAACUGAUUUACUUAUCUUUGCCAUGUUCACUAUGGUUUGAACAAUUUAAGUUACUCUUAUUUUCAUGCAGAGCAUGUAGGCACUAAAUCUGCAAUUCAAAUUCGAAGCCAUGCUCAAAAGUUUUUCUCUAAGGCUCAUUGCUUUGAGUUCAUUACAAGAUUUCCUUGAUUAAGUAAAUGUAUUAUAUCUUUUAUUACCAAGAUUUACUUGAUUAAGAAAAUGCAUUGUAUGUUUUAUUACCUUGCAUAUGUAUUAUUUAUUUUAGUUUUGAUUCUAAAUUUUUAUUUUUACUUUAAUAUUUACGCUAACUUAGAGUUCUAACUUUUGGAUUUUAAUUGUGUUAUUAAUUUAUUAUUUUAAAUUCUAAAUUUAAAUUCAUUCAUUUUUAUAUUUAGUUUUAAAGUUAAAAUAUUUGUAGUAAAUUUAAUUUAAAUAAUAUUUUUUAUUUAUCCUUAAAACAUAAUAUAAUAUUUAUCAUAGAAAUAAAUAUUAUUUGAUAAAAAUGAUUUUUUUUAAAGAUAUGUUUUUAGCGGCGUUUGUGUGAAAAGCGUCGCUAAAGGUCUAUCCAUGUUCUUUAGCAGUGAUUGUGGUAAAGCGCCACUAAAAGUCAUGAUCUAUAGUGGCACUUAUAAUAAAAACGUCGCUAAAGGUCAUGUUCUUUAGUGGCGUUUGUGGUAAAAUGCCGCUAAAGGUCAUGCUCUUUAGCGGCGUUUUUGUCAAAAGUCCCGCUAAAGGUCAUGUUCUUUAGCAGCAUUUUUUCAUAUAAACGCCACUAAAACUAGCGACGUUACAAGCACGGCUAAAAGUCUGUUUUGCUGUAGUGGUCUCGAUUCCUUCUUAAUGCUACAUCGGUUUGAAGAUCUACGUUAAUAGUCGAUCAACAAUAAUGAAUGUCACUAACCAAGCUAAGAGGGUUCGAUCAAGGGGUGAGAAAUAAUGAUGACAAGAUGAGACUUAGAUGGGGCAGCAAUGCAGAAAUUAUGAAGGCAACAAAAACUUCAAUGUGCAACAACAGGAGAAGGAGAAAUGGACAUCAAUGGAAAAUAAAAAAUGGCAGAAGCUUCUAAACAAAAUAUUGAUAUUAAAAAGGCAAUGAUUCAGCCAAAUAAAUUGGAGAAGGGAUAGGCAAAGGGGCAACACAAAUAGAAAAUAAAACUUGUGUUUUAGGUUGCAAUAAUGGUGGGUUAUGAGAGAAAAUUGGAGAAUAAUGGAGAGGAAAAAUGAAGGGGACGACAAUAGCUUGAGAAAAAUAAAUAAAAUAGGCUAAACAUAAAAUAAAAUGCAAUUUAUACGUAGGUUAAAAAGGGCUUGGAAGGCAACAAGGUUUUAAGGAGCAGAAACGUUGAAAAAAUAAAAAUUUACAAGGGAAAGGAAUUAAACUCAAGUCUUAAGGUCAAUUUCACUAACUCUUUACCACUAGGCCAAUUAAUCAUUCUUUUCAUAAACGCUCAAACAAAACCUUAAAAAUUAGGGCAAGACAACUCUCAGUUCACUAAAUCUAUUUCUUCUGACCCAAUUUUUGGGACAUGACAAAACUAUUAGUAAGUUUAUGUUUAGUUUUAGUUACUUAACUUCAAAAGGUUACAAAAUGGUCAAUAAACUAUUCAAAAGUUUUCAUUUAAGUCAUUGGUUUGUUAAGGUUUUUUUUUUAAGUUUGACUAAUGAGCUCCAAGCGAUGAUUCGACGAUUGAUGUAGUGAAUCUAUACCCAUUAAUGAGUGGAACAUAUCUUAGAUCCAAGUUAACCUGCCAUUUAGUAUAGGAGAUUGGAGAAAAAAAGUCGUUCGAAUUUUGGUUCACAGAUUUGUGACAUUCAAAACUGUUUCAUGAAUAUAAAUUAUGUUGUAAAAGAGAAGGGAAAUGUGAGCUUUCAAUUGAUACAAACGGUGCAAACAAAGGUCAUAUAGUAACAAUUUUAAAAGUCUGAUGACUUAAAUGAAAAUUUUUGUAUAGUUCAGUGAUCAUUUUAUAAUUUUAAUAAGUAUACUUACAUUUGUCUUUAGAAUUUGCAAAACAAAUAGAAAAUUCACUUUAAAUGUAUAAAAAUGAAUAAAGAAAACUCACCUUCAUUUCUGAUAGCAAAUAAGAAAUAUGAAAAAAAAACUCUACCACUUUAAUAUUAAAUCUACCACUUUUCCCUUAGAUAUGCAAUUGCAAUGGGUGAUUUUGGGAAACUAAACCAAAGGCCUAUCUUAAGGCUUGCUAAACUUCAUCAGAUACUAUAAAUCAACUGUACAAGGAAAGAUUUCUUAUGUGGAAUUAAUUAAUCAUCUAUAAGAAUUAUCUCAACAUCUGUAGAAAAGAAAAUUAAAAUAUCUGAAUUUUUUUCUCAAGAAACAAAUAGAAAAAGUAAAUGGAAUAUAAGGGUUUUAAAGUUGAGGAAGGGAAAGAGUGGUGAAAAAAAUUGUUUACUGUUAGUGUCAAACAAGAAAAAGAAAAUUGGGUUGAAGGAAGAAGAAGAAAAAGAAAGAAGGAAAAGAAAAGGAACAUAAAAAAAAUGUUGUAAAUUUAACGGGGUUAAACUUAGGGAUCGGUUUAGUUGAUGGAAAAAAAGUUCGAGACAAAAAAACAUAAAUAUCAAUUUGAGAGAAGUGGAUAAGUUCAGAUACUAAUUUAAUAUUUAACUGUUAUAAAUAUUAUAGAUUAAGUUACCAGCAGUGGGCUUGACUUGCGAUUGAUAUAGAGGUGGCCCACUUUGUUUGUCGAAAACUUACAUUUUCAGCUAUAGCAAGUCUCAACCGCACAACCAAGUCCAAACGUAUUAAAAUUAAAAUUUGAAAAUUUAAUAAUAUUUUUUCUCCCAAUAAAAUAAUAAAUACAUGUAUCAUUCAAAAUGGAAGUAGGCAAUUGGAAAAAAAUAAGAGUGGGAACAUAUUUAUGAGAAAUGGGCAACCGCGUUUUGGGUUGGGUCCUAGACUUUUUCUUAAUUUGUUUGAACACUCCUAACAGGUAACAGCUCUUGAGGGGCCAAGCCGAUAGGCAUCGUGUUUGACCCAAUGAAAUUUCUGGCUUACAAAACUCAACCAAUUUUACAAUCACUCAACUAAAUGAAGUUUUUUGGUUUAAUCAUUUUUUUUAUAUGAUGAUCCAAGGCAUCGAAUUAGAGCCUUCGGUAAAAGUAAAGAAAAUUUCAAAGUAAAAAAUAAUUUUCAAGAAAUGGGGCCUUAAGAUGUGGACUGCAAAGCUGCGUAGGGGAUGGGAUAAUAAGGCAAAUUAGAGAGCAAAAGUUGGAAGCAAGGUUUAAUGGUGGUGGCCCCCCUCAUUUUGGGCAUAUGUUUCAGCACUUAUCCAUUUUCAGACAAGGAAAUUAUUUAAUAAAGAAAAAGAAAAAUGGUGCACAUGGGAGCAUUUUCAAGCCCACCUUUGAGUUAUGAAAGACUGGGGUAGGUGGAAGUAAUUAACGGGCAAAGUGGGGUUAAGAAGGGUAAUUAAGAAAUGGUGCAGUGGAUGGAGUUAGAAUGAAGAGGAUACUCACGGGCAAGACAGGGGGUUUGGUUUUCUCAGCAAAAACACGUGUGAAGAUGUGGAAUUGUCAAGCUUUUUGAAUUAUUUUACAUAAGGACAAAGCAGAUAGAGAUAAAUCUGCUCAUGAUGAAUCACCCACAUGAAAAAUGUCAAAUAUUAUUUGAUUGGCUGGAAGGACCACUUCACCCAUAUCUUCGUACUUGCUUGGUUGAUCAAAGGUUAAAAGGAGAGGAUGGCCCUGAAAUUCAGAAAAGAAUCGGUUCCCUUCCCCUUUCCCCUGCAAUUCCUAUUGUUUUGUUUUCUUGAUUUCCAAAUCCAUGUAGUAAUAAAUGAAAAAAAGAAGAUCCACACAGACAAUACCCUGUACAAUAUCUACUUUGCUUUUAAGCGCGUUCUAUCUUCGUCCUUAAUAACUCUUAUUUAUUCACAGUUUAAACCCCCAGAUUCUGGUUCGAUUUCAGUAUCAUUCUUAGUCCAUUUAUUUUAUUUUUUAUUUUAAAAACUCUUUUAUUAUUAUUUGUUUUAAGUUUUUUUAUUUAUCAUUUAUUGUAAACUGUUUUACAUGCUAUUUAUUUAAUUCUUUUAAUAUGUUAUUCAUUUUAAACCAUUAUAUGUACAUAAUCUUUUAAAUUCCUAUAUAUGUAUUUUUUUUUAAAAAUGUUGUAUGUCGUUUAUUUAUUUGUUUUAAACUAUUAUUAUUCACUUUAAGUUUUUAUAUACUGUUUAUUUGAAGCCUUUUAUUAUUUAUUUUUGAAUUGUUCUUGUAAAUUAUUUAUUUUAAAUUAUUAUUUGCUUUAAACUGUUUUGCAUAAUAUUUUGUUUUGUUUUCUUCAAUUGUUAAUGUUAGUAUUACAACUAACAUACAUUGUGUGAUUAUUGCCAUCAUGUGUACUAUAAUUAGCUUUUUCGUGUUUUAAUAUUAUUGUCUUUCAUCAAUGUAACAUUUUAUUCAUAAAUCGUUAUUUCAUGUUAUACAUUAUCAUUCCAUUUCAUUUCAUCACUUCGAAAGUUGCGUUCAAUUUUUAUAUACCCAUAAUAAACCGUUCUAUUUUAUACCAAAUAAAACAAAUGCACCUCGUUCAAGUAUUGUACUCACUAUGAUUCAAAAAAGGGAAAAGUUUUUUAAUAAGGCAAUAUUUCGCGUUUUGGAGAUUCGAGAAAUUGUACACUAAUUUACGGGGUUUCAAUUUUCUCGUUAAAUCUAAAUAGCAAAAUAUCUUUUUAAAUUUCAAGAUAUACAAUAAAAAUUAAAGGCAAGCUUAUUCUCUAAAGUUCCAAAUAUCGUGUCCUAACUUACGGGACAUGACAUUUCGUUACCUCGAGACAAGUGGGUCUUUAACUCUCUUUUCGAUUUAUUCAAGCGUUUUUUUUAUUAACAUUAAUAAAAAAGGGAUCGUAUUUUAAAAUAUUUUCAAAAUUUUAACUUUCGACAUUAAGACAUUAAUUAAUCAACUAGGUACCAAUUUUGGGAGUAUCGAGGUUGCUAUUCAUUCCUCGUGCGUAACCGACUCCCGAACCCAUUUUUUGGAUUUUGUAGACUAAAAAUUACCGUUUUAGUAAAUUUAACUUUUAUUAAAAUGAUUAAAUUAUAAGGUGAUCUGAUCACACCUAAAUAAAAAGGAUUGGUGGCGACUCCAUUUUCGUGAUGCAUUAUUCUAAAAAGUGAUGCAUUAAUUAUAUCUUUUAUCUUUUAUAUAUUGUUUCGAUUAAUACCUAAAUUAUUUGUACGAAAAAAAAUCAAAAUGAAAUGCAACAUGUUCUGAACUUUUAUUAAAGCUCAUCUUUUUGUUGAAGAUACCUCAAUCCAUGAUUUCAACAUUGGAAUUUUUGAAAGUCCCUAGUAAUAGUAUGAAUUAUGAAAUUUCAAAAAAGCAUAUUCUUAUUUAUUGUUAAUUUCAAGGUAUUUUUAAUAGCUAUACUUACAUUUGUCUUUAGAAAAUAGAAAAUUCACUUUAAAUGUAUAAAAAUGAAUAAAGAAAACUCAUCUUCAUUUCUGACAGAAAAUAAGAAACAUGAAAAAAAAACUAAAAAAGAAAUACAUAUUUUCUUGAAAGACGCUUCAAAUGAAACAAAUAUGAAAAACAUAGUUGUAAGAGUGUUCAAUUACUUUAUCGAUCGGUCAACCAAAUCAAAUUAGUAUUAACUAAAUCAAAAUUAUCAUGAAAAAGUGAAAAAGUCAUAAUUUAGGGGUGGUUGAUGCAAUUAACUCAUUUCUAAUGGUGCUAAUACUUAAGUCUGCUAUGGGACAAAGUGAAAAAGUGGAAAGCAGAGUUAAAAUAUGACCCAAACACUCACCUUUUUCUAAGUCGUCUCCUAUCAUAGUUGCAAAAUAAAUGGAUAGCAGUAAACCAAAUCCUUUGCUACUAAACCAAGAAAACCCAGUUGUCUUAAGAGUUCAUAUUUGUGAAGGUUUCUUAACAUUUUAGUGCAACCUUGAUUUUUAUUUUUAUUUAUUUCCUUUCCCUUAAAGAGAAAAAAAGAUCUUCAAGUUUUUUUUCUUUUUUAUUCUUCAGUUUUGCUUACUUUCUUUUGCUCCCAAAAACCAAAAAAAAAUAUCCCUUCAAAUCCCAUUUGAUGGUUUUGAAGUAGCAACGAUCUUCUCAGCACCUAGUCUAGUUUGAUUUUGAAGUUCCCAAGUGAGGUCAAUGUAUUUAUGUAUGCUUAAUUUCUAUAUUUUCGGUUUUUUUAUAUAUAAAUUUGUUAUAUAUUUCUUCAUCUAAUAUUAUGUUUUUAUGUUUUUCUUGAACUAAAUCAGAGCAAAAUAGACUGUUUGGAUUUGCUCUUUUUUUCCACACUCAAAUUCUUGGAAUCAUUACUUCAUUUUGAAGGGGUAAGUGGGUAUGUUUCUUAUGUUUUCCAUCAUUAUAUGCAUAAUAUUAAAUGGAUACCAAGCAGUACCAACAUCAAUAAUUUAGAUCCCCAUUUUGUAUAAAAUUAUUAAAAAAAACUCACAAUUAUUUAUAAAUAGAAAAAUGUAUAUAAAAAUUCUAGAAAAAUAAAAUCUAUGUUGUUUCAUAACUAAAUUGGAUGAGAAAUAAAGAAAAUCACCAUUCAAUAACAUCCGAUAACAAAUUAAAAUCAAAACAAAACAAAACAAAAAAUGUUAGAUUAUUAUAUGUUUCCUGAAUAUUUCUCGAAACCAAAUUAGUAGUAUUAUCAAGCUGAGUUUCAUGCCCUUGAAGAGUAUCUAGAACUGAUAUUACAAAUACUUAUGAAAUUGACCUUGAUGCCAUAUUUUUAGUCAAAAGAAUACAAAAUAUACCAUAAUUUUUCUUUUCCAAACUCAAUUCGAAAUUUCAUUACAUUUUAAUUGUUUUCAGAAUUUUAUCUUUUCUUAUAAAGUAAAAGCUGUCAAGUAAUGAAGAUGUAAAAAACAAAUGAAUUUGCUUAAUAUUUUUUCUGUGUUUGUUUUUAAAGAAUGAGUAUUGAAGUAAUAGAUAAUAUAGAGAAAUUUUCUUCCUUUUUUCUAUGUCAGGACUCGGGUCUUUAAAGUUCCUCAAUUAUUUUCUUCCUUCUUUUCAGAAUUAGAUUUUCUCUUUUUGCUUGAAUCUUGAUUUUAUAGUCAAUUUGGUGGGUUAGGUUUCUUGAAGCUUUAAGGUUGUAUGGUCUUGACUAGCGCCAAAUAAAAGGUAAAUGCACAAUGAGUUGAAUUGAUUUACUUAUCUUUACCAUGUUCACUAUGGUUUGAAUAUUUUAAGUUACUCUUAUUUUCAUGCAGAGUUUUUAUAUUUUUCUUUUCAAACUCAAUUCAAAAUUCCAUUACAUUUUAUUUUUUUUUUCAAAACCCAAAUUGUAAAAUGAAAAUAUAUUCAAAAAUUUAUCUUUUCUUAUAAUGUAAAAGCUAUGUCAAGUAAUUGAUGAGGUAAAAAAGUAUAGAACAAAUAAAUUUGCUUCAUAGUUUUUUCUAUAUGUUUGUUUUUAAAAUAAUGAGUAUUGAAUAUUUCAAUAUAGAUAAUAUAGAGAAAUUUUGUAGGGUUUAAAAAUAAUUAUCCCUAAUUUUCUCACUUUAUUUAUUUUUAAAAUUUUUAUUUUACUUUUAUUUAUUUUUUAAUUUUAUAAUGUUCUAAAAUUUUAAAAAUAAUUUCAACUUUUUAUCAUUUUAUAUAUUAUCAAAAUGAAAUUCACCGAAAGUAUAAAAAUUUAGGACUAAAAUUUUUAUUAAAUCAUUUAAAAAGUUCCACUUAAUAGUUGAGUGACAAAAAAAUAAUAAUUUCAAAAACAUUAGUGGUGAAAUUGUAAUUGUUUUUAAUUGAGUGAUUAAAACAAAAAUUAGUAAUAGUUUAAUGACUAAUAAUGUAGCUUUUUUUUUUUGGGUACAACGAUAACUCGAAAUUUGGUUAUUCCUAAAAAGGGUGAACAUCCGAUCAUAUUUAUUCACAUAUUACAAACAUCCAUAUGCAAGCUCAUCUUUUUAUCUUUUAUAUAUUAUUUCGAUUGAUACUUAAAUUAUUUGUACGAAAAAAAAAAUCAAAAUGAAAUGCAACAUGUUCUGAACUUUUAUUAAAGCUCAUCUUUUUGUUGAAGAUACCCCAAUCCAUGAUUUCAACAUUGGAAUUUUUGAAAGUCCCUAGUAAUAGUAUGAAUUAUGAAAUUUCAAAAAACCAUAUUCUUAUUUAUUGUUAAUUUCAAGCUAAUUUUAAUAGCUAUACUUACAUUUGUCUUUAAAAAAUAGAAAAUUCACUUUAAAUGUAUAAAAAUGAAUAAAGAAAACUCAUCUUCAUUUCUGACAGCAAAUAAGAAAUAUGAAAAAAAAAAACUAAAAAAGAGAUACAUAUUUUCUUGAUAGACGCUUCAAAUGAAACAAAUAUGAAAAACAUAGUUGUAGGAGUGUUCAAUUGCUUAAUCGAUCCGUUAACCAAAUCGAAUUAGUAUUAACUGAAUUAGUAUUAACUAAAUCGAAAUUAUCAUGAAAAAACUCAAACUUAUAAAUCCCUAUCCCCAAAAAAAAAAAAUUGAAGCAUCCAGAAAAUACAUCAAGCAUUGAACUAAAAAAGAACAUAUCACUAUUCAUAGUUGUAGAGGAGGAUUAGACACUGCUGCUAACGAUGGGUGAAGAAAUAUGCCAACCAAAGACAUAUUGUUGUGUCUGGUGGGGUUAUUCAACCUAUACCAAAAACAUGUUAUUUCAACAUUACAAUGAAAAUUUUGAUACAGUGAUAAUAUAAUGAAAUAAAUUUUAUCAUGUUAUGAAUAAGAAUUCAUAAGGGGAAUUUCUAUUGCAUUCUAUAUUUUUCAUAAUCUUUACAGGUAGUAUACUCCACUAUAUAUAGAAAGAUUAGACUCUUCAUAUUCUAAUACAUAAAUAAGAAAAAGGGGUUAUAAGGAGAUGAAAGUUUAAAAAUUAAAGAAAAUGAAAGAUUAAAGUCAAGAGAGAUGAAAGGUAAAAGGUUGAACAUCCACUUAAUAAUAUUAAUAAUAAAUAUUUUAAAUGUAGCAAAAGUCAUAAAAAUAAUAGAAACACCGCUCCAAAUGAACCAAUUCCACUCAAGCAAUUACUAAAACUUCAAGGAAAACAUGAGAGCAUAGAUUAAUUAUUUUUUAAUAAGUUAAUUGCACCAAAUAUUUUUAAAUUAUUACCUGCAUUCUAAAUUAAUUCACUUUCGAAAUAUUGUGAGUAAUUGCUCACUUUCGAAAUUGGUAGGGAUUAAAUUGUUUCGAUUUUUUUAAAGAGACCAAUUUACUGAAUAUCAAAAUUGAGAGGGACUAGAGAGGUCAUUUUAUCUAGUUUAGUAAUUAAAUGACAUGUUAAAUCUUAUGUGAUAUAAUUUAAAAUGACAAUUUUAAAAAUUGUGGAAAUAUUUGUUUUAAAAAUCUUGGUUUUGAAGUUUUUACAAAAUUUUUAUUGUUCAUUUUUUUUAAAAUUUCAAUUUUAUUUAAUUUUAGUUUCUUUAAAAUUUUCAUUUUAAAAUUAGCUAGAUAAUGAUUUUAAUAAUAAAUGGCCUGAUUAAUAUAACACCAACAGUUUAGAAAUGUAAUUAGAUAAGUUUGCAGUUUGAAAAUAGAUUUAAAAUAAUGGUCAUAAUUUAGGGGUGUUUGUUGCAAUUAACUCAUUUCUAAUGGUGCUAAUAAUUAAGUCUGCUAUAGGACAAAGUGAAAUAGUGGAAAGCAGAGUUAAAAUAUGACCCAAAGAUAUGGAUGGGGCCAUUACCAACAUCAAUAAUUUAGAUCCCGAUUUUGUAUAAAAUUAUUUAAAAAAAAACUCACAAUUAUUUAUAAAUAGAAAAAUGUAUACAAAAAUUCUAAAAAGUAAAAUCUUGAAUAUGUUGUUUCAUAACUAAAUUGUAUGAGAAAUAAAGAAAAUCAGCAUUUAAUAACACCCGAUAACAAAUUAAAAUCAAAACAAAACAAAACAAGUUAGAUUAUUAUAUGUCUCCUGAAUAUUUCUCGAAACUAAAUUAGUAGUGAGUUUCAUGCCCUUGAACAACAUCUAGAACUGAUAUUACAAAUACUUAUGAAAUUAACCUUGAUGCCAUAUUUUUAGUUAAAAGAGUACAAAAUAUAGCAUGAUUUUUCUUUUCAAACUCAAUUCAAAAUUUCAUUACAUUUUAAUUUUUUUUUUCAAAACCCAAAUUGUAAAAUGAAAAUAUAUUCAAAAAUUUAUCUUUUCUUAUAAUGUAAAAGCUAUGUCAAGUAAUUGAUGAGGUAAAAAAGCAUAGAACAAAUAAAUUUGCUUCAUAGUUUUUUCUAUGUUUGUUUUCAAAACAAUGAGUAUUGAAUAUUUCAAUAUAGAUAAUAUAGAGAAAUUUUGUAGGGUUUAAAAAUAAUUAUCCCUAAUUUUCUCACUUUAUUUAUUUUUAAAAUUUUUAUUUUACUUUUAUUUAUUUUUUAAUUUUAUAAUGUUCUAAAAUUUUAAAAAUAAUUUCAACUUUUUAUCAUUUUAUAUAUUAUCAAAAUGAAAUUCACCGAAAGUAUAAAAAUUUAGAACUAAAAUUUUUAUUAAAUCAUUUAAAAAGUUCCACUUAACAGUUGAGUGACAAAAAAAUAAUAAUUUCAAAAACAUUAGUGGUGAAAUUGUAAUUGUUUUUAAUUGAGUGAUUAAAACAAAAAUUAGCAAUAGUUUAAUGACUAAUAAUGUAGUUUUUUUUUUGGGUACAACGAUAACUCGGAAUUUGGUUAUUCCUAAAAAGGGUGAACAUCCGAUCAUAUUUAUUCACUUAUUACAAACAUCCAUAUGCAAGCAAUUCUCCCGAAUUAAAAUCAAAUUUUAAUAUCAACAACUUCAACAACUCAUAAAUAGGAAGAUAAUAUGUUUCGGUACACUUAAAACCACAUCCUUCUAUAUUGACAGCAAUUAUUAUGACAAUGAAGCUAAGACUUUAUUCACAAUACCUAUAUAUUUUUGUUAUACCUAAUUAAAGUCAUUUACCAGUAUAUUAGACAUUCUUAUACCCUACUUUCCCAUACUUUCCCAUUAUUAUCGUGAUGAUGAUGAUGUAACACCCCCUAACCCCAAACCGUCACCGGAACAGGGUUAUAGAGUAUUACCAGACAUAUCGGAUAACUUAUAACUAAUUCACAAAUAAAUAACAGACAUAGCAUACUUUAAUCAAAUAUGUCAUAUUAGUUCCAUUUCAUACUUAUAAUCAAUUUAAAACAUCGUUCUAAAACCACAAUCACAAAACUCUUAUACUUAACCUAUAUAUCACUUAGGUACAUGCCACAUUAUCAAAACAAAAGUACAUCACCAAAAUUUCUCUGAGGUCGGGAUUACUCUGGAUGCUGGACCGAGCACUGGCUUCCUACUAACCUGCGCACGGAAACAACCGUAUUGUCACUUUCGAACUGGNNNNNNNNNNNNNNNNNNNNNNNNNNNNNNNNNNNNNNNNNNNNNNNNNNNNNNNNNNNNNNNNNNNNNNNNNNNNNNNNNNNNNNNNNNNNNNNNNNNNAACUUUGAGAUAAAUCUGACGCGAUCUGCUCCACUACAACUUUAGAGAGAUGAGAUCUGCGGUUUUACUCCAUACCAUUACAACUUCAAGGAGAUAGGAAUUCUGGCUUCAAUGUACUCCACUGUAACCUCAAGGAGGUAAAAUCUGCCAUCCUCGAUCUACUCCACUACCGUCUAGGGAGAUAAGUUUUAUUAUCUUUAAUCUAUUCCACUGGUGCCCAGUGAGAUAGAAUUACUGGCUUCAAUAUACUCUAUUGUAACCUCAGGGAGGUAAAAUCCGCCAUCCUUGAUCUGCUUCAUUACUGCUUAGGGAGAUAAGAUCUGUUAUCUUUGAUCUACUUCACGCCAAUACAUGAAGACAAGAUCUGCUUUCUUCGAUCUGCUUCGCCACCAGUAUGGGAAGACAAGAUCUGGUAUCUUCGAUCUACUUCACGCCAAUACAUGAAGACAAGAUCUGCUUUCUUCGAUCUAUUUCACCACCAGUAUGGGAAGACAAGAUCUGCUAUCUUUGAUCUACUUCACUCCAAUACAUGAAGAUAAGAUCUGUUUUCUUCGAUCUACUUUGCCACCAGUAUGGGAAGACAAGAUCUACUAUCUUUGAUCUACUUCACGCCAAUACAUGAAGACAAGAUAUGUUUUCUUUGACCUACUUCGCCACCAGUAUGGGAAGACAAGAUCUGCUAUCUUUGAUCUACUUCACGCCAAUACAUGAAGACAAGAUCUGCUAUCUUUGAUCUACUUCACACCAAUACAUGAAGACAAGAUCCGUUUUCUUUGAUCUACUUCACGCCAAUACAUGAAGACAAGAUCUGCUAUCUUUGAUCUACCUCACGCCAAUUCAUAAAAAUAAGAUCUGCUGCUUUUCAACCUGCUCCACUGUUGCUCAAGGAGAUAAGGCUUUAUGAUUUCACCGAUCUGUUCUCUGUGGAACAUGGCCUGUAUCAUUCAAUUUAUGAACCUAAUUAUGUCUAGUGAAUAGGAUGUCAUGAUCAAAUGAAUCAAAUACUCCUAACUGGACAUGUAUGAAUGACAUUUGAAUGAAUGCAAAAUGUCAUUUUUCGAGAAUGAUCCCUCCUUAUCACUUAGGUUAUCAUUACUCAAAGUUUAUCAAAGUUUUAUUGCCAAUGUGCUAUAACGCCUCUUACUCGGCUGACGUCUCCAAAGAAACACUUGACCAGAUUGCCCCCACUGUAAACCUCCAAGUUUGAUCCACUAGGAUGCAAAAUUUACAUUAUCUUUCUCCCGUUGUAACCCAAGAGUAAAAGAUUUGGCCUUUUCUCAAUCCUCUGUUAUCACAAUUUAAGGAUAAAGGAUGUGAAACUUUUUGGUCUCUUACACCAUUCUCAGGGUGUCACACAAAAUGCUCAUGAAAAAAUGAAGAAUUUUCCUCUCCAAGAACAGCUUCUUCUUAUUAUUCGAUGAUCAUUGCUUGCUUGUUCAUUGAAGCUUUAUCACCAACACGGCAUCUUGCCAUUUUGUUUAAUCAAUACUUUAGACAAGAAAAUUCAAAGGGAUAGUCUUAAUUUAGACUCUUCUUUAUCAAAUUUCCAACCUUUGAACCUGGUACGUUUUAGAUAAUAGUUAUGUUUGAGGUUCCUAUAUUAUUUAGAAGCUUCUAGACUAAUAUGCAAAACUUCCCUUGUGAAGGUUUUAUUGGUCCAUUAAUUAUUAUUCUAAUGCAACACACUUGCAAAGAGAACAAAAUGAUGGAUAAAAUUGAAUUGGUUCUGAGCAUAGCUCGAAAUGAAAUAAAUUAUCAAAGAUAAUAAAGAUGGAUAACAAAGACAUUGAUUCAGGAAUGCGUAUUUUUGGAAAUAAAUGAAGCGUUCCAAGUAUAACAAAGUAUAAGGAUUAGGUACCUCAGAUAUCGCAGCUUGAACUUCUCUGUACAGACUUUCUGAAGACCAUUCUGAGUUUAACACGUGUUUAGGAGAUCGAUACCCCAGGAUGUCGCCUACACUUUCCUAUUGAUUCAGGUAUAGAAAGAUCAUUGCAUGCCCCAUUCUGGUCAUAUUUGAGCUGCUCUGAUAACUUCAAGCGCCAUUUUGAUCAACAUUUGAGCCGCCAUUUUCGGGUUUUCAACUCAAAUCCCCUUUGGUCUAAGGUGCCAUUUGCGGGUUUUCACCUUGGCCUCUCCAUUUCUUUUUCUCUUCUCUUUUUUGACUCAAGGCUCCCUUUGUAGGGUUUCACCCUGGGUUUUUUUUUAAGCGGAGUAUUUCCUGACUGAAUCCGAGUUUGCAGGACUUUGCAAGUUUAUUAUCUAUCUCCCUCAAAAUCAAAGCUCAUUUAGAAAAGACCUUCUCUAUAACACAAGGUUCUUCCCAAUUUGGCAUUCGUUAUAUUUUUUGUAGAGUGAGGAUCUUCUUCGGCAUUAGGUCACCAUCGUGGAAUUCUCUUGGACAAACCUUUUACUAUAGGCUCGCAUAAUUCAUUUCUUGGUACAUCUGACCCUGAUGAAUAGUUUCUAGCCUUUUUCUUUAACUAGGUUCAACUAAUUGUACCGGGAUUGGAUUUUCAUCCUACUUCAACUCAGCCAAAACUUAAAGAGAAAGAAUUUCAACUUCAAUGAAAAUCGUGAUAAACUGGAAAGAGUGGCAUUGCCCCGCUAGAGUUUUCAUUGCACCAUUCAUGAUAUUCACCUUGAACAUACUGUAAAAUUUUGAUAUCGUGCUAUUGUUCAGAUUGCAAUGACAUCACUUAAAACGGGCACAUCCUGGUAUGACCAUGCGAAGCCAUCUUUGAAUGCUUGAAGUAACUCAACAUCGUUUUGCUUUGUUUUUUCGGUCAUGCAUGUUCCCUCAAGGUCACAACCUCUAUUGUCUCAUUUAUUUCUCUUAUUGCUUUACCAUCAUCAACAAGUCAGGAGAUAAGCUACAAUUUAUGACAUCUUCAAAGUCAUAAGAUCCCUCUAAAUACAUGGCUCACUCAAAAAGGGAUUUUGAGUCCGUAGUAGCGUCACUCAUGUCAUUGAUAUCUAGGAACCCAUAGUAAAUACCAAAAAAUGUACAAAAGAAUGUAUGAAUAAUAUGAAUGAAUGAACAAAUGGUUUGGUAGAAAAAAAAUUCAUAAGAAUGAAAGAAGUGCAAAGAAUGAAAGAACAUUUACUCCAAGAUGAUUGCAAUAAUGUAUUUCAUUAAAAUAAUCAUGUUCGGACAUGAGCCAAUUUCACAAAGGCAUUCCUAUUGCUUUUAGGCUAAAAGCAACAAGCGUGUUCUGAAUAUUACUCUAACAGACCCUAAAUACUGUAGGGGUUUCCUCUGCAGUCCCAUUAUUUAUAACACCUCCCAGGCGAAUAUCUAACCAGAGCCCUUUUAAUUAUGUCUGCACAUAUGGCGUCGAUGUGAAAAUCUCACCACUUCCAUACAUUGUCCUCCCCCAUUAUCACUCGUGAUUAGGUAGCGGAUUUUCUGCACUAGACGAGUCACCAAACUUGACAAUACCCAUGUCGAUGAGUCUUUCAACUUGCUUCUUGAAGGUAGUGCAGUUCUCAAUCGAGUGUCCCAUAAUUUCUGCGUGGUAUUCACAUUGUGCAUUCGCAUCAUACCAUUUGGGAUACGGAGGUUGUAGAGGCUUCACAGGAAAAGGAGAAACAACACGUGCAUCAAACAAAUUCUAAUACAGUUCUCUAUAUGACACUGGAACUGGCGUAAAUUGGGGCCUCUCUGUGUUUUGUCCUGUACCAACUUCCUGUCUCAAUGGACCUUGUUGGUUAGCAGCCAUCUUUCUUGGCUGACUCACAGUAAAUGAUUUAAAGUAACCCGUGUUGUUCACCUCAUCUUCUCUUCUCCUUGAGACUGACCUCUUGUUACUCUCCUCUGCAUCAAUUUUCCCGCUUCUUAUAGCAUUUUCAAUCAUUUCACCAUUCAUAACUAUGUCAGAAAAAUUUUUGUGGCACUUCCUAACAUAUGUGAUGAACGGGGCUUUCAAUGUAUUUAUAAAAAGCAUCGUCAUUUCUUUCUCUAAGAGCAGUGGUUGAACUUGGACUGCGUCUUCCCUCCAUCUUUGUGUGUACUGCCUAAAGCUUUCGCUUGACUUCUUCUCCAUGUUUUGAAGGGUAAUUCUAUCAGGAGCCAUAUCUGUCACAUGACUAUACUGUUUCAUGAAUGCUUGUGCCAAGUCCUUCCAUGAACCAAUUGUGGUGCAGCUCAGUUGAUUGUACCACUUAGAUGCUGCCUCUGCUAGGCUAUCUUGGAAACAGUGUAUUAAUAGCUGGUCAUUAUUAACGUAUCCAGCCAUUCGCCUGUAGAACAUGGUGAUAUGAGCCUCUGGGCAAGUCGUCCCAUUGUACUUCUCGAUUUCCGGCAUCUUAAACUUAUGAGAGAGUACCAAAUCAGGAACUAAGUUCAGCUCUUUAGCGUCAAUCCCACGACAGCUUUCAGUGACUUCCAUUGCCCUGAAUUUCUCCUCGAGCCAUUUGCACAUUUCCUCUAGCUAUUUUGGUAACUCCUCCUUUAUUCUUUCCCUCUUGGCCACUUCAACAAAGUCAGGAAUGGUAGAGUUCACAGGGUUGUUUUCGGGAUUAGAACCCGAUCCAGCUUGAAAGUUCGAAAUACCAGCCCGAAACUGCUUAAGCAUGAUGGUGACAGUAGACUUACACGAGUAUUCAGCUUGAGUUCGCAUAUGUGGAGGGGUGAAACCUGGUGGAUAGAGAGGUUCAUCAUCAUUUCCCUCAUCGACAUUUGCCAUGGGGCCCUUUCCUUUAUCACUUCCCUUAGUUAUCAGUUGGGCUAACUUUGCCACUAUAUCUUCGUGGGAUUCUCACAUCUUCUCAGACAUCUCUUGUUUCAUCUUGUCUAACCGCUCCUGCACCUGUAGCUGAAGUCGGUCCUGCAUCUUCUUUUGACACUGUUCGAGUUUUUCCAAUCUCUGAUCCAUGUCUUUAAUCUUUGCUUGAGUGUUGUAACAAUGUUUGGUUGAUUGGUUGGUUUCCAGGUUAACUGAGCAGUGAUUUUAAUUAAUUAGGAUCAUUUAAAGGUGUCUAAUGCACAUGAUGUAAUGAAAUGCAAAUGCAUGAAAUGAAUGUAAAAAAAAACGUUGAUUCAGGUUCAAUUUUUUUACUAGAAAACUUCUUUAGAAAGUAAAUCUCUUUACACAAAGUGGAUAUAUAUAUACGGCUUCGUCCUCGAGCUCCAAGCGAAGACAACGACCAUUAAUAUGCAUCUUGCGAAUCUUCUAAUAAGCAUCUACUAGCUCUUUUUUACUUCAUCCAGGUUGCAACUCCUUGAUCCUAUGCUUGUGAGCUUCUUUAAAAAGGUUGGGAUGUUUGACGACUCUUGAAUAAUCUUUGCUAAUCUUGAAUCAACGCAGCAAAGUCGUAUACUCCUAUUGUUACACUUCUUGCAUCACGCUUUCUUGGACUAUAUUCGGAGAACCGUAUUAUCUUCCACUUUAUCAAGAAACCCGUUUUCCAUGACAAGCUCUCUAUUUAGCAACCGAACAUGAAUCAACACCUCUUUUCUAUGAUGAAAUGCAAUGCAGUCAAAAUGUCAUGCAACCAAAUCAAAACAUAACAAGUUAGUAUCAGGUAUAAACAUUAUAUCCAAUACAAUCAAGAAAUAAUAAAAACUCCUAGUCAGGAAUCUACUAAGGUUUAGAGUACUUCUACCUAGGGUAAGUUCCUAAAGCUCACUAUAUGAGGUUUAGUUUCUAGAGUAAGGGUACCCGAACCAGCAAAUUCCUCGAUCCUCACCCAUUAUAGGCUCAUGUGGAUCGAGUUCAGUUCAGGGGGAUGCAUUUUCCUAUGGCUGCACGGAGAUGAAAAUCUCACGAAGACAUAGGUACAGAUAUAUCCCGGAAGCGGUCCACUACCCUGCACGGAGGUGAAAACCUCACGAAGGACUAGUUUCUCGCUCCCACUUAAGGGGGUAACACUGACCAUGCAAUGCAAAAUGCAAAUACAGAUCACCCAACUUGAUUCAAUCAUGCAAAUGAUGAAAAUCAAUCAAUGCGAAAGGAAAUCAUGAUUUUUAAAAAACUUUUGACUUUCGAUAAAAAAGACAAAGCAUAAUCAAUUCAUGGCUCGACUCUCAAAUGUCCUCAGCGGAGUCGCCAAGCUGUCGAAACCGCUUUUUUGGAAACAAAAAAAUUUUAGUUUCGUCUUAAAAAUAAAAACUGGAGUCGCCACUGGUCCUUUAUUAAGGUGUGAUCGGCCCACCUUAAAAAUAAUUUUGGUCUGCGAAAUUUGAGAAAACAGGUUUAAUGGUGGUGGCCCCCCUCAUUUUGGGCAUAUGUUUCAGCACUUAUCCAUUUUCAGACAAGGAAAUUAUUUAAUAAAGAAAAAGAAAAAUGGUGCACAUGGGAGCAUUUUCAAGCCCACCUUUGAGUUAUGAAAGACUGGGGUAGAUGGAAGUAAUUAACGGGCAAAGUGGGGUUAAGAAGGGUAAUUAAGAAAUGGUGCAGUGGAUGGAGUUAGAAAGAAGAGGAUACUCACGGGCAAGAGACAGGGGGUUUGGUUUUCUCAGCAAAAACGCGUGUGAAGAUGUGGAAUUGUCAAGCUUUUUGAAUUAUUUGUCCCCAAAAAAUAUAGAUGUGAAGAAAACACAUGCACCUUGUCGAAACCGUUUUUUUAGAAACAAAAAAAUUUUAGUUUCGUCUUAAAAAUAAAAACUGGAGUCGCCACCGAUCCUUUAUUAAGGUGUGCGGCCCACCUUAAAAAUAAUUUUGGUCUGCGAAAUUUGAGAAAACAGGUUCGGGAGUUAGUUACGCACGAGGAAGGAUUAGCACCCUCGUAACGCCCAAAAUUGGUACCAAAUUGAUUUUUUUAAUGCCUUGGUNNNNNNNNNNNNNNNNNNNNNNNNNNNNNNNNNNNNNNNNNNNNNNNNNNNNNNNNNNNNNNNNNNNNNNNNNNNNNNNNNNNNNNNNNNNNNNNNNNNNCAUGGGAGCAUUUUCAAGCCCACCUUUGAGUUAUGAAAGACUGGGGUAGAUGGAAGUAAUUAACGGGCAAAGUGGGGUUAAGAAGGGUAAUUAAGAAAUGGUGCAGUGGAUGGAGUUAGAAAGAAGAGGAUACUCACGGGCAAGAGACAGGGGGUUUGGUUUUCUCAGCAAAAACGCGUGUGAAGAUGUGGAAUUGUCAAGCUUUUUGAAUUAUUUGUCCCCCAAAAAAUAUAGAUGUGAAGAAAACACAUGCACCUUGUCGAAACCGUUUUUUUAGAAACAAAAAAAUUUUAGUUUCGUCUUAAAAAUAAAAACUGGAGUCGCCACCGAUCCUUUAUUAAGGUGUGCGGCCCACCUUAAAAAUAAUUUUGGUCUGCGAAAUUUGAGAAAACAGGUUCGGGAGUUAGUUACGCACGAGGAAGGAUUAGCACCCUCGUAACGCCCAAAAUUGGUACCAAAUUGAUUUUUUUAAUGCCUUGGUGUCGAAAAUUUGAAAAGAUUUUAAAAUGAAACUUUUUAUUUCAUGAAUGAAUCAAAAUAAUAAGACAUUCUUAUUUCAAAGAAAUGAAACACCACACCCAGUGAGUUAGGGCACAAUGUUUUUAAAUUUUCAAAAUACCCGAAUAUUGCCUUUUGCUUUUGAAAAUUCUUAUUUCGAGAAAUCAAAAUAUAAGGACCAGUAAGUUAGGACCCAACAUUUUGAAUCCCCGAGAAUAAGCUUUUAUUUAAAAUUUGUGAAUUUAAUGCAAAAUGAAUACUUAGCGUUCUAAAUUCAUCGAAGAAUAAUCGCAAUCCAGUAAGUUAGGACACGGUCUUUCUUGAGAAUCAUGAACGCCAAAUACUUUGAAAAUUUAUAAAAUAUGAUGAUUUCAAUGUUUUGACAAAACCAAAAUAUGUCUUCUUUAAAAGCAAGAUAAAAUGUUAAUAAACAACAUGGAACACGUACUUUAAUUUAAAUUAUAAAUAUGCAUGUAUUUACAAAAUAUAUAUACAAAUACAAUACACAAGUAAAUUUGAAAAUAUGUGCAUGCGUAUGUUUAACACACAUAUACAAGUAUACAUAUAAAAAAACAUGUAUAGCAGAACUUAUAAUAAUCUCUAAAAAUAUGUACGUAUAUUUCAUAAAACAUGUAUAUGUACAAAAAAUAGGAAAAAUACAUAUGUAUUGUAAAAUAUAUAUAUUUAUUUAUUUAUAAAAACUAUGAAAACAAAAAAAAACAAAUAUAUAAAUUAUGCACGUAUUAAAAUAUGUAUAUGUAUGUGUACAUAUAUGAAUGCAAAUAACUAGAAGAACAAACUAAUAUAUGAAAAAAAAGAUAGGUAUAAAAGUAUGUGGAUAUGUAUGCAUUUUAAAAAAAUAAAAGAAAUGUAUAAGUAUAUAUAUAUAUAUAAUGUAAAAUAUAUGAGUAAAAAAAUAAAAAAAUAAAAGACGUAUGUAAAAUGCAUGCAUUUUAAGAAUAUAUAUAUAUUAUAUAAAGAAUUAUGCAUAUAUGUACUAUAUAUAAAAAAAUCGUAUAUGAAUAUAGAAAUAGUAAUAAAUGAUAAUAAAUAAUAUAGUAAUAAUUUUAAAAAUAAAAAUUUUAAAAAACGAAUUGCAACAAAAACAAAAUAGCCAAAAAAUGAAAUUAAAAUAGAACAUGGACCAAUUUGCAACACACGCAUUAUAUGAGGGGCCCAAAUGGAAACAAUCCGCCUCCUUAAAAUGCUGCGCUGCAAUGGGGACCGAUUUGAAAUGAGGAAAAAACAUUCGGGCCAAAUUAAAAAGAGAUAACUGGCUUAAUAAAACAUGGCGCAAAGGGGAAGGACUUAUUUCGAAAUUAUCCCAUUUAAGGUUGAUAUGCGUGAACCCCCAAAUAAACAGCGCCAUCCUUGCUCUGCUCUGUUUUAAGUUUAAAAAAAACAAAUUUAGGGAAAUAUUUUGCCUUUCCCUUUGAAGCAGAAACUGCUUCUUUUAGGGUUUCCUUAACCCUUUGGCCGCCGUUCAGCCCACGGCCUUCGUCGACGGAGAAGACGCCGGCCCGUCGACUCCGAUGACCAGGUAAGUUUCUUCCUCCUUUCUUUUUAUUUUCAAUGAAAAAUAAAACAAUAAAAAAGGCUAAAAGAAAAAAAAACAAAAUGAAACUCAAAAUGCUGAGAAAAUGAAAAAACACCUUUUGUAUUCGGAAAAGAAAAUUUGUUUGUUGAUAUUAAAUCUUUUUUAUUGAUUCUUCCCAAAAAUCUCCCCUUUUUACAGAUUUAAAUCACCCUUAUAUAGCCGAAAAUUAGAGAGGAAAAUAAUCAAAAAUCGAAUCUAUAUCUUUUCUGUUAUUUCCCCUUAUUUUCCUAUUAUUUUAUUGUUUCGUGGUUGUUUAUUGUUUGUUGCAGGAGCCAACUGGAGGAGAACGUGUGGGGAAGGCGCGCAAAGGGCGGCGAUGAACGUGGCUGCUGUUGAGGAUGGCGGCUGGUGGUUUUUUCUACUUAGGGCUUCUGUUAUUUUUGUUUUUGGGCUAGGUUUAGUUUAUUGGGUUUGGGCCCAGGCAUAUUUGGGACUAUUACACACCUCAUGAAAAAUGUCAAAUAUUAUUUGAUUGGCUGGAAGGACGCGGAUUGGCAAGGACCACUUCACCCAUAUCUUCAUACUUGCUUGGUUGAUCAAUGGUUAAAAGGAGAGGACGACCCUGAAAUUCAGAAAAGAAUCGGUUCCCUUCCCCUUUCCCCUGCAAUUCCUAUUGUUUUGUUUUCUUGAUUUCCAAAUCCUUGUAGUAAUAAAUGAAAAAAAGAAGAUCCACACAGACAAUACCCUGUACAAUAUCUACUUUGCUUUUAAGCGCGUUCUAUCUUCGUCCUUAAUAACUCUUAUUUAUUCACAGUUUAAACUCUCAGAUUCUGGUUCGAUUUCAGUAUCAUCCUUAGUCCAUUUAAUUUAUUUAUUAUUUUAGAAACUCUUUUAUUAUUAUUUGUUUUAAGUUUUUUUAUUUAUCAUUUAUUGUAAACUGUUUUACAUGCUAUUUAUUUAAUUCUUUUAAUAUGUUAUUCAUUUUAAACCAUUAUAUGUACAUAAUCUUUUAAAUUCCUAUAUAUGUAUUUUUUUUAAAUGUUGUAUGUCUUUUAUUUAUUUGUUUUAAACUAUUAUUAUUCACUUUAAGUUUUUAUAUACUGUUUAUUUUGAAGCCUUUUAUUAUUUAUUUUUGAAUUGUUCUUGUAAAUUAUUUAUUUUAAAUUAUUAUUUGCUUUAAACUGUUUUGCAUAAUAUUUUGUUUUGUUUUCUUCGAUUGUUAAUGUUAGUAUUAAAAACGAUAUACAUUGUGUGAUUAUUGCCGUCAUGUGUACUAUAAUUAGCUUCUUCGUGUUUUCAUAUUAUUGUCUUUCAUCAAUGUAACAUUUUAUUCAUAAAUCGUUAUUUCAUGUUAUACAUUAUCAUUCCAUUUCAUUUCAUCACUUCGAAAGUUGCGUUCAAUUUUUAUAUACCCAUAAUAAACCGUUCUAUUUUAUCACAAAUAAAACAAAUGCACCUCGUUCAAGAAUUGUACUCGCUAUGAUUCAAAAAAAGGGAAAAGUUUUUUAAUAACGCAAUAUUUCGCGUUUUGGAGAUUCGAAAAAUUGUACCCUAACUUACGGGGUUUCAAUUUUCUCGUUAAAUCUAAAUAGCAAAAUAUCUUUUUAAAUUUCAAGAUAUACGAGAUUUCAAUAAAAAUUAAAGGCAAGCUUAUUCUCUAAGGUUCCAAAUAUCGUGUCCUAACUUACGGGACAUGACAUUUCGUUACCUCGAGACAAGUGGGUCUUUAACUCUCUUUUCAAUUUAUUCAAGCGUUUUUUUAUUAGCAUUAACAAAAAAAGGAUCGUAUUUUAAAAUAUUUUCAAAAUUUUAACUUUUGACAUUAAGACAUUAAUUAAUCAACUAGGUACCAAUUUUGGGCGUAUCGAGGGUGCUAAUCAUUCCUCGUGCGUAACCGACUCCAGAACCCAUUUUCUGGAUUUUGUAGACUAAAAAUUACCGUUUUAGUAUAUUUAAAAUUUUAUUAAAAUGAUUAAAUUAUAAGGUGAUCUGAUCACACCUAAAUAAAAAGGAUUGGUGGCGACUCCAUUUUCGUUUUUAAAUAAAAAGUUGACCCUUUUUUCAAAAAAAUGGUUUCGACAACCCUUAUGUCCGUUUUCGGAUCACAAGAAUUCUAUGAAUUAAAAAAAUAAUCCUACAUGGAGAUGAUAGUCCAUGGUCUAUUUCCUAAGAACCACAACAUUAACAAAGCAAACAAUUAGAUAACAAAUAUAUAAUAUCGCAUUCAUUCCUACAUAUAACACAAAAAUAUGUAUAAGAUCUAAAGAAUGUCACUUUCUAUGUAAUCAAAUCAUUCAAGAAGUGAAUUUUAUUUUGAUUAUCUGUUUAUACUUAUCGAUAGAGCAAAACCUGGUUCUGAUACUAAUUGUUCAAAAAUGAGUUUUUGAAAAUGCAGCAAAAAUCAAUUUAGGGAAAAGCCUAAGUUUAAAAAAAUUCUAAAAUAAGAAUUUAGUUGUGAUAUCUAAAGUAAUAAACACUUAAUAAAAAUUGUACCUUUUCGAUUCGUCUAUGAUGAAUGCUUCAUUGAGUAGUCUUUUCUAUUAUCCUCAAACUCACGUUUGCCGAGUCACAAUAACAUUAAACAAGUGCAACAACUAAACCAAUGCUGAUAGCACUUAAAGGCAAUGGUUGAAGCAAACAACAAUUGAAAAAAAAAUGAAAGAAUCGGUGUUGCAAAUUUUUAAGAUUAGCACAAUGGCCACAAGGUAAUUGACGGCUAUAAUAAAGGGUUGAUCGACAAAUGCACAGCAGGCUAAAACAACAAGAAAUUGAAGCUAAUCAGCACCCAAAUAACAGGCAACACAUUUAGAUGGCAAACAGUAGAAGGUUAAGCAACAAAAUUGAAGCAAAUUAAAUAGCAAGUCAGUAACAAAAGGAACCAGUAGCAGCUAAUUGGAAGUUGAUUGAUAAGUAUUUGGUAAAACAACGUUAUUUGACCAACAUGCAAAAUAGUACACAUGCAUACACCACUCACAAUUGAUUUGAAUCCCACACCUCAAUUACAAUCCAUAGAACAUUAACAAUUGACCGGAGCACCACUACAACUCGGAUUCGUCUCGAUUCCUUCUUAACGCUACACCGGUUUGAAGAUUUGCGUUAAUAGUCGAUCAACAAUAAUGAAUGCUCACUAACCAAGCUAAGAGGGUUCGGUCAAGGGGUGAGAAAUAAUGAUGACAAGGGCAACAAAAACUUCAAUGUGCGACUACAGGAGAAGGAGAAAUGGACAUCAAUGGAGAAUCAAAAAUGGCAGAAAAUUCUAAACAAAAUAUUGAUAUUAAAAAGGCAAGGAUUCAGCCAAAUAAAUUGGAGAAGUGAUAGGCAAAAGGGCAGCACAAAUAGAAAAUAAAACUUGUGUUUUAGGUUGCAAUAAUGGUGGAUUAUGAGAGAAAAUUGAAGAAUAAUGGAGAGGAAAAAUGAAGGGGACGACAAUAGCUUGAGAAAAAUAAAUAAAAUAGGCUAAACAUAAAAUAAAAUGCAAUUUAUACCGAGGUUAAAAAGGGCUUGGAAGGCAACAAGGUUUUGGGGAGCAAAAACAUUGAAAAAAUAAAAGUUUGCAAGGGAAGGGAAUCAAACUCAAGUCUUAAGGUCAAUUUCACUAACUCUUUACCAGUAUGCCAAUUACUUAUCCUUUUUAUAAAUGCUCAAACAAAACCUUAAAAAUUAGGGCAAGACAACUUUCAGUUCACUAACCCGAUUUCUUCCGACUCAAUUCCUUCUGACCCAAUUUUUGGGACAUGACAAAACUAUUAGUAAGUUUAUGUUUCGUUUUAGUCACUUAACUUCAAAAUGCUACAAAAUGGUCAAUAAACUAUUCAAAAGUUUUCAUUUAAGUCAUUGGUUUGUUAAGUUUUUUUUUUUUUAAGUUUGAUUAAUGAGCUCCAAGCGAUGAUUCGACGAUUGAUGUAGAGAAUCUAUACCCAUUGACGAGUGGAACAUAUCUUAGAUCCAAGCUAACCUGCCAUUUAGUGUAGGAGAUUGGAGAAAAAAAGUUGUUCGAAUUUUGGUUCACAAAUUUGUGACGUUCAAAACUGUUUCAUGAAUAUAAAUUAUGUUGUAAAAGAGAAGAGAAAUGUAAGCUUUUAAUUGAUACAAACGGUGCAAACAAAGGUCAUAUAGUAACAAUUUUAAAAGCCUGAUGACUUAAAUGAAAAUUUUUGUAUAAUUCAGUAAUCAUUUUAUAAUUUUUUAAAAUUAACUAAAACAUAAACUUAUUAAUAAUUUAAUAACCUCAAUUGCCAUUUACCCAUAAAACUAUUGAGACCAUUCUAAAAAGUGAUGCAUUAAUUAUAUCUUUUAUCUUUUAUAUAUUGUUUCGAUUAAUACCUAAAUUAUUUGUACGAGAAAAAAAUCAAAAUGAAAUGCAACAUGUUCUGAACUUUUAUUAAAGCUCAUCUUUUUGUUGAAGAUACCCCAAUCCAUGAUUUCAACAUUGGAAUUUUUGAAAGUCCCUAGUAAUAGUAUGAAUUAUGAAAUUUCAAAAAACCAUAUUCUUAUUUAUUGUUAAUUUCAAGCUAAUUUUAAUAGCUAUACUUACAUCUGUCUUUAGAAUUUGCAAAACAAAUAGAAAGUUCACUUUAAAUGUAUAAAAAUGAAUAAACAAAACUCACCUUCAUUUCUGAUAGCAAAUAAGAAAUAUGAAAAAAAAAAACAAAAAAAGAAAUACAUAUUUUCUUUGAAGACGCUUCAAAUGAAACAAAUAUGAAAAACAUAGUUGUAGGAGUGUUUAAUUGCUUAAUCGAUCCGUUAACCAAAUCGAAUUAGUAUUAACUGAAUUAGUAUUAACUAAAUCGAAAUUAUCAUGAAAAAAUUCAAACUUAUAAAUCCCUAUCCCGAAAAAAAAAACUGAAGCAUCCAGAAAAUACAUCAAGCAUUGAACUAAAAAAGAACAUAUCACUAUUCAUAGUUGUAGAGGAGGAUUAGACACUGCUGCUAGUCAUGGGUGAAGAAAUAUGCCAACCAAAGACAUAUUGUUGUGUCUGGCGGGGUUAUUCUACCUAUACCAAAAACAUGUUAUUUCAGCAUUACAAUGAAAAUUUUGAUACAGUGACAAUUAAAUGAAAUAAAUUUUAUCAUGUUACGAAUAAAAAUUCAUAAGAGGAAUUUCUAUUGCAUUCUAUAUUUUUCAUAAUCUUUACAGGUAGUAUACUCUACUAUAUAUAGAAAGAUUAGACUCUUCAUAUUCUAAGACAUAAAUAAGAAAAAGGGGUUAUAAAGAGAUGAAAGUUUAAAGAUUAAAGAAAAUGAAAGAUUAAGGUCAAGAGAGAUGAAAGGUGAAAGGUUGAACAUCCACUUAAUAAUAUUAAUAAUAAAUAUUUUAAAUGUAACAAAAAUCAUAAAAAUAAUAGAAACACCGCUCCAAAUGAACCAAUUCUACUCAAGCAAUUACUGAAACUUAAAGGAAAACGUGAGAGCAUAGAUUAAUUAUUUUUUAAUAAGUUAAUUUCACCAAAUAUUUUAAAUUAUUACCCGCAUUCUAAAUUAAUUCACUUUUGAAAUAUUGUGAUUAAUUGCUCACUUUCGAAAUUAGUAGGGAUUAAAUUGUUUCGAUUUUUUAGAGGGACCAAUUUGCUGAAUAUCAAAAUUGAGAGGGACUAGAGAGGUUGUUUUACCUAGUUUAAUAAUUAAAUGACAUGUUAAAUCUUAUGUGACAUAAUUUAAAAUGAAAAUUUAAAAAAAAAUUGUAGAAAUAGUUGUUUUAAAAAUCUUGGUUUUGAAGUUUUUACAAAAAUUUUAUUGUUCAUUUUUUAAAAUUUUCAGUUUUAUUUAAUUUUAGUUUGUUUAAAAUUUUCAUUUUAAAAUUAGCUAUAUAAAAUUUAACAUGUCAUUUAAUAAUUUUAAUAAUAAAAUGAUCUGAUUAAUAUAACAUCAAUAAUUUAGAAAUGUAAUUAGAUCAGCUUGAAGUUUGAAAAUAGAUUUAAAAUAAUGGUCAAACUUUAGGGGUGGUUGAUGAAUUAACUCAUUUCUAAUGGAGCUAAUAAUUAAGACUGCUAUAGGACAAAGUGAGAAAGUGGAAAGCAGAGUGAAAAUAUGACCCAAAGACUCACCUUUUUCUAAGUCGUCUCCUAUCAUAAUUGCAUAAUAAAUGGAUGGGGCCAUUACCAACAUCAAUAAUUUAGAUCCCGAUUUUGUAUAAAAUUAUUAAAAAAAACUCACAAUUAUUCAUAAAUAGAAAAAUGUAUAUAAAAAUUCUAGAAAAAUAAAAUCUUGAACACGUUGUUUCCUAACUAAAUUGUAUGAGAAAUAAAGAAAAUUAUCAUUCAAUAACAUUCGAUAACAAAUUAAAAUCAAAACAAAACAAAACAAAAAAACGUUAGAUUAUUAUAUGUUUCCUGAAUAUUUCUCGAAACUAAAUUAGUAGUAUUAUCAAGUUGAGUUUCAUGCCCUUGAAGAACAUCUAAAACUGAUAUUACAAUUACUUAUGAAAUUGACCUUGAUGCCAUAUUUUUAGUUAAAAGAGUACAAAAUAUACCAUCAUUUUUCUUUUUCAAACUCAAUUCAAAAUUUCAUUACAUUUUAAUUUUUUUUUCAAAACCCAAAUUGUAAAAUGAAAAUAUAUUCAGAAAUUUAUCUUUUCUUAUAAUGUAAAAGCUAUGUCAAGUAAUUGAUGAGGUAAAAAAGCAUAGAACAAAUAAAUUUGCUUCAUAGUUUUUUCUAUGUUUGUUUUUAAAAUAAUGAGUAUUGAAUAUUUCAAUAUAGAUAACAUAGAGAAAUUUUGUAGGGUUUAAAAAUAAUUAUCCCCUAAUUUUCUCACUUUAUUUAUUUUUAAAAUUUUUAUUUUACUUUUAUUUAUUUUUUAAUUUUAUAAUGUUCUAAAAUUUUAAAAAUAAUUUCAACUUUUUAUCAUUUUAUAUAUUAUCAAAACAAAAUUCACCGAAAAAUUUUAGGACUAAAAUUUUUAUUAAAUCAUUUAAAAAGUUUCACUUAACAGUUGAGUGACAAAAAAAUAAUAAUUUCAAAAAAAUUAGUGGUGAAAUUGUAGUGAUUAAAACAAAAAUUAGCAAUAGCUUAGUGGCUAAUAGACCUGUCCAUGGGCCGGGCGGCCCGCCCAAAAUAUGGGAGGGUUUGGGUAAAAAUAUAGGCCCGAAAUAUGGGCUUGGGAAAAAUUUUAGGCCCGUUUAAAAAAUGGGCCGGGCCUCGGGUAAGAUUUUUUGGGCCCGGGCCCGGCCCGAAAAAUAUUAAAUAUAUAUUUUUUAUUUUUAAAAUAUAAUAGUUUUUUAUUUUAAGUUUAUUUACUUUCAUUUCCUUAACUAGUGUUACAAAAUAAUAAUAAUAAAACAUCAAGUUUGUUUUACUAAUCAAAUGUUAGAUUUUGUUACAACAAUUAAUACAAUUAAUACAAUUAAUAAUUUGAUAAAUUUAGUAAUCAAAUGUUAGAUUUUAUUACAACAAUUAAUACAAUUAAUACAAUUAAUAUUUUGAUAAAUUUACUAAUCAAAUGUUAGAUUUUAUUACAACAAUUAAUACAAUUAACAAUUAAUAAUUUGAUAAUUUUACUAACAAUUAAUUUUAAUAACAAUUAGUUUUAAUUUUAUUAAAAAAAUAAUUUUAAUUUUAAUUUUAAUUAAAAACGGGCCGGGCCGGGCCGGGCUCGGGCCCCAUAUUUUUUCUUCGGGCCGGGCCUGGGCAAAAUCUCAGGCCCAUAUUUCGGGCCGGGCCCGGGCCUAGUAAACGGGCUGAAAUUUUUUGUGGGCCCAGCCCGAACCCAGCCCGGCCCGGCCCAUGGACAGGUCUAGUGGCUAAUAAUGUAACUUUUUUUUGGUACAAUGAUAAUUCGAAAUUUGGCUAUUCCUAAAAAAGGUGAACAUCCAAUCAUAUUUAUUCACAUAUUACAAACAUCCAUAUGUAACCAAUUCUCCCAAAUUAAAAUCAAAUUUUAAUAUCAACAACUUUAACAACUCAUAAAUAGGAAGAUAAUAUGUUUCGGUACACUUGAAACCACAUCCUUCUACAUUAACAACAAUUACUAUGACAAUGAAGCUAAGACUCAAUUCAUAAUACCAAUAUAUUUUUGUUAUACCUAAUAAAGUUAUUUACCAGUAUAUUAGACAGUCUUAUACCCUAGUUUCCCAUACUUUCCCCUUAUUAUCGUGAUGAUGAUGAUGAUGAUGUUACAAUUGAGCACCAAGAUCACUGUAAUACUUGUUUUAAUUGGUAUAAUAAUAAUAAUUUAUUCCUAUUUUUUUUAUAUAUUUUCUAUCAAUUUGACUCUGAUUUUGUAUAAAAUUAUUAAAAAAAACUCAAAAUUUUAAAAAUAAAAAAAUGUUUAUAAAAAUUCUAGAAAAAUAAAAUCUUGAAUAUGUUGUUGAAUAACUAAAUUGUACGAGAAAUAAAGCAAAUUACCAUUCAAUAAAAUAUGAUAACAAAUUAAAAACAGAACAAAACCAAAAAAAGCUUCCUCAAUGUUUCUCGAAACCAAAUUAGUAAUAUUAUCAAGUUGAGUUUCAUGCCCUUGAAGAACAUCUAGAACUCAUAUUACCAAGGCUUAUGAAAUUGAUCCUAAUGCCAUUUUUUUAGUCAAGAUAUAUAACAAAAUUUCCUUUUUCAAACUUAAUUCAAUUUUUCAUUGCAUUUAAAUUAUUUUUCAAAACUCAAAUUAUAAAAUUAAAUUAUAUUUAGAGAACAAAUUUAUAAUGUAAAAACUAUGUCAAGGAACAGAGAACAAAUAAUUUUACUUAAUGUUUUUUCUACGUUUUUUACUAAAGAAUUUGUAUUGGAUAUUUCGAUACAAAUAAUAUAGAGAAAUUUUGUAGUGCCCAAAAACAAUUCUCUCUCAUUUUCUCACUUUAUUUAUUUUUGAAAUUUUUAUCUACUUUUAUUUAAUUUUUUAUUUUAUAAUGUUCUAAAAUUUUAAAAAUAAUUUUAAUUUUUUACCAUUUUAUAUAUUUUCAAAUUCAAAUUGACUGAAAGUAUAAAAUUUGAGGAUUAAAAUUGUUAUUAUAUCAAUUAAAAAAGUGUCACUUAACAUUUGAGUGACAAAAAAAAAACAAUUUCAAAAACAUUAGUGAUGAAAUUGUAACCUUUUUAAUUAAGUGACCAAAAAAAAAAUACCCAUAGUUUAGUGACUAAUAGUGUAGNNNNNNNNNNNNNNNNNNNNNNNNNNNNNNNNNNNNNNNNNNNNNNNNNNNNNNNNNNNNNNNNNNNNNNNNNNNNNNNNNNNNNNNNNNNNNNNNNNNNAAAACUCAAAAUUAUUUAUAAAAUAGAAAAAUGUAUAUUAUUCAACAUAGGGAUUCUUUACCCAAAUCAUAUAAAAAUAAUUAAUUAUGAAAAUGGUAUGGAAAAUAAAUUAAUUACAAAAAUAAGGCAUUUGGUACAAUGUUCUGCUGGUGUCGCCUAACAUAUUGGUAGCACCAGAUUAAAAUGUGAUGAUCUAAAAUAUUCAAAGACUUGAUAUGUAAAUUUCUCAUUUUGAUUGACUGUUGAAAAUAAGCUAUAAGAGUGAUGUGUGAUAGUGUCGCGGCACAAAAUCUUAAAUAAGAUUAAUUUCCUUGUAAACCCUCAUUAUUUAUUAUUUUAUUGUUAUUCUCCUUCAACACCAAAAUCAGAAAGGUUUCUUACCAAUUAAUCUAGGUCAAAUUAUAUUGGCAUAAAAGUUAACACUAUUGAUAGUAAUUUUCUUUGGCUCAUAUUAUAUCUAAGAAACUAUAAAUUUAACUAAUAAUUAUAAUUUAUAUAUAGUAAAUAUUNNNNNNNNNNNNNNNNNNNNNNNNNNNNNNNNNNNNNNNNNNNNNNNNNNNNNNNNNNNNNNNNNNNNNNNNNNNNNNNNNNNNNNNNNNNNNNNNNNNNNNNNNNNNNNNNNNNNNNNNNNNNNNNNNNNNNNNNNNNNNNNNNNNNNNNNNNNNNNNNNNNNNNNNNNNNNNNNNNNNNNNNNNNNNNNNNNNNNNNNNNNNNNNNNNNNNNNNNNNNNNNNNNNNNNNNNNNNNNNNNNNNNNNNNNNNNNNNNNNNNNNNNNNNNNNNNNNNNNNNNNNNNNNNNNNNNNNNNNNNNNNNNNNNNNNNNNNNNNNNNNNNNNNNNNNNNNNNNNNNNNNNNNNNNNNNNNNNNNNNNNNNNNNNNNNNNNNNNNNNNNNNNNNNNNNNNNNNNNNNNNNNNNNNNNNNNNNNNNNNNNNNNNNNNNNNNNNNNNNNNNNNNNNNNNNNNNNNNNNNNNNNNNNNNNNNNNNNNNNNNNNNNNNNNNNNNNNNNNNNNNNNNNNNNNNNNNNNNNNNNNNNNNNNNNNNNNNNNNNNNNNNNNNNNNNNNNNNNNNNNNNNNNNNNNNNNNNNNNNNNNNNNNNNNNNNNNNNNNNNNNNNNNNNNNNNNNNNNNNNNNNNNNNNNNNNNNNNNNNNNNNNNNNNNNNNNNNNNNNNNNNNNNNNNNNNNUUUCAUCAUGUUUCUGUCUGCCACCCAUCCAUAGCUCCAUCUAAUAAACGCCAUUGCUUGAAACUUGCAUUCAUGUUUCCUUUUCAUGGUUACACAGACAUAUCAAUACUUCAUCCAAUACAUUCAAAGAUUUUCAUUAUCUGCUACUGUUAUAUAUGAUUGCAUUGCAGGGACAUAGCAAUGGAGUACGUAGAGCCUGUUGCUGCCAUUGCAAAUUGUCUCGGAAGUCCUGUUUGUAAAUAUUUGCAAUAUCACAGAAAGCUGAACGAUUAUGUGAGAAACUUCAAGAGGAUCAGAGAUAAAUUGAAUUGCAAAAUGGAAGAUAUAGAGCUGCAAUUGAAAGCAGAGCUUCUUCGUCCUCUGGGGAAGAUACCGAAGAAGGGAGUUGAAAAUUGGUUGAAAGAUGUGAAAGAGAUGAUUAGGGAAACACAAGUUGUUGAAAACAAAGUCAGUAAUGGGAGAUAUCUCUGUCGUGCUUGCAACGGGAAGCUGGUUGAUAAAAAGUCUCGACAAAUGCAGGAAUAUCUUGAUAAAACUCCUAAAGCCUCUGAAGGUCUUGCCGUGGAUGGUCCAAGUUCUGGGUUGCCACUGGAAACAUCAGAACUAGUUGGAGAGGAAGCUGUCAGAAAAGAGAUUUGGGCAUGUUUGAUGCAGGAGGAGGUAAGCAAGAUUGGGGUUUGGGGGAUGGGCGGCGUGGGUAAAUCGACCAUCAUGAAGCACAUCCACAAUGAUCUUUUGAAAGAACAACGAUUUGAAAGGGUGGUUUGGGUUACUAUAUCAAAGGAGUUUAAUAUUGUGAAGUUACAAAAUGAUAUUGCAAGUGCAUNNNNNNNNNNNNNNNNNNNNNNNNNNNNNNNNNNNNNNNNNNNNNNNNNNNNNNNNNNNNNNNNNNNNNNNNNNNNNNNNNNNNNNNNNNNNNNNNNNNNNNNNNNNNNNNNNNNNNNNNNNNNNNNNNNNNNNNNNNNNNNNNNNNNNNNNNNNNNNNNNNNNNNNNNNNNNNNNNNNNNNNNNNNNNNNNNNNNNNNNNNNNNNNNNNNNNNNNNNNNNNNNNNNNNNNNNNNNNNNNNNNNNNNNNNNNNNNNNNNNNNNNNNNNNNNNNNNNNNNNNNNNNNNNNNNNNNNNNNNNNNNNNNNNNNNNNNNNNNNNNNNNNNNNNNNNNNNNNNNNNNNNNNNNNNNNNNNNNNNNNNNNNNNNNNNNNNNNNNNNNNNNNNNNNNNNNNNNNNNNNNNNNNNNNNNNNNNNNNNNNNNNNNNNNNNNNNNNNNNNNNNNNNNNNNNNNNNNNNNNNNNNNNNNNNNNNNNNNNNNNNNNNNNNNNNNNNNNNNNNNNNNNNNNNNNNNNNNNNNNNNNNNNNNNNNNNNNNNNNNNNNNNNNNNNNNNNNNNNNNNNNNNNNNNNNNNNNNNNNNNNNNNNNNNNNNNNNNNNNNNNNNNNNNNNNNNNNNNNNNNNNNNNNNNNNNNNNNNNNNNNNNNNNNNNNNNNNNNNNNNNNNNNNNNNNNNNNNNNNNNNNNNNNNNNNNNNNNNNNNNNNNNNNNNNNNNNNNNNNNNNNNNNNNNNNNNNNNNNNNNNNNNNNNNNNNNNNNNNNNNNNNNNNNNNNNNNNNNNNNNNNNNNNNNNNNNNNNNNNNNNNNNNNNNNNNNNNNNNNNNNNNNNNNNNNNNNNNNNNNNNNNNNNNNNNNNNNNNNNNNNNNNNNNNNNNNNNNNNNNNNNNNNNNNNNNNNNNNNNNNNNNNNNNNNNACCAUAAUUUCAUCAUGUUUCUGUCUGCCACCCAUCCAUAGCUCCAUCUAAUAAACGCCAUUGCUUGAAACUUGCAUUCAUGUUUCCUUUUCAUGCUUACACUCACAUAUCAAUACUUCAUCCAAUACAUUCACAAAUUUUCAUUGAUUUUAUUUGUUUUUUUUUUGUUUUUUUUAUUUUUAUUUUACUUUUUUUCCAUUUAUUAUCUUUUGAAUUAUAUUUUUAUUUUUAUGAUUAUUUCUAGUUGAGUUGUAACAUUUUAACCUUCUUCACUAUUUGUGUUUAUUUUCUUAUUAGUUUGGUCAAAACCAUGCAUUCCAUUUUCAAUUGCCUACAAUUCCGAUUUUCACUAUUAUGGUAAUUUCAUACAUAUUUAGGAUAGUUUCAAUUUUCUCCCUCUCUUAUGAUAUUUUAUCUUUUUAAUUAACCCUUAGUAAAUCCCAUUGAGCCUAACACACCAUUACUUGAUUUACCUAUUAAUGUUAACUUAUAACUCAUUUUUUCGUUGAGACUUUUUUCCGUUUUAUUCACUCCCUUUUUGUCGAGAUUUGAUUUGGUUAGUUUCUUAGCUAUGCUCUUUUGGUUGAUUUACUAAAUUAUUUCUUAUUGUUCUUGUAAAAAAAAGAUUGAAAAGAAAAAAAUAUAUUUAUUAUUAAUUAGUUUUAUUUGUUGAUUGAGAAUAAUUAAAUUCAUAUUUUGAGAAUAAGUUGGUUUUUGUUCAUGAAUAGUUUAAAUUACAUUGGUAAAAAACAAAACUUGCUUGUACAAGUGUCCAAGCUGUUAAAUCAGCUUAAUGACAACCUAAAUGACUACUAAAAACAGCUAAGUACAUCAUUAAACCUUAGCUGAACAAAAAAUGAAUACAAACAACUUGUAAAAGAGAGAGUCAACUAAUACAAAAGCUUUUCAAUCGAGUUACACCUUGGACAUUAGCAUGCAGCUACUGUAAUGUUUGGUUACUUGCAUGCUGCAGUUGUGUUGCUUGGUUUCUUGCAUGCUGCUGCUGUGUUGCCACCUUUUAACAGUAAUGAACUGUUGCACACUUGAAUUUAGCAUUUUAUAUACACCGAGAGCCUAAUUCUGGUGACCAGAAUUUCAUGAUCAUGUUUCUGUCUGCCACCCAUCCAUAGCUCCAUCUAAUAAACGCCAUUGCUUGAAACUUGCAUUCAUGUUUCCUUUUCAUGGUUACACAGACAUAUCAAUACUUCAUCCAAUACAUUCAAAGAUUUUCAUUAUCUGCUACUGUUAUAUAUGAUUGCAUUGCAGGGACAUAGCAAUGGAGUACGUAGAGCCUGUUGCUGCCAUUGCAAAUUGUCUCGGAAGUCCUGUUUGUAAAUAUUUGCAAUAUCACAGAAAGCUGAACGAUUAUGUGAGAAACUUCAAGAGGAUCAGAGAUAAAUUGAAUUGCAAAAUGGAAGAUAUAGAGCUGCAAUUGAAAGCAGAGCUUCUUCGUCCUCUGGGGAAGAUACCGAAGAAGGGAGUUGAAAAUUGGUUGAAAGAUNNNNNNNNNNNNNNNNNNNNNNNNNNNNNNNNNNNNNNNNNNNNNNNNNNNNNNNNNNNNNNNNNNNNNNNNNNNNNNNNNNNNNNNNNNNNNNNNNNNNUCCUAAUGCCAUUUUUUUAGUCAAGAUAUAUAACAAAAUUUCCUUUUUCAAACUUAAUUCAAUUUUUCAUUGCAUUUAAAUUAUUUUUCAAAACUCAAAUUAUAAAAUUAAAUUAUAUUUAGAGAACAAAUUUAUAAUGUAAAAACUAUGUCAAGGAACAGAGAACAAAUAAUUUUACUUAAUGUUUUUUCUACGUUUUUUACUAAAGAAUUUGUAUUGGAUAUUUCGAUACAAAUAAUAUAGAGAAAUUUUGUAGUGCCCAAAAACAAUUCUCUCUCAUUUUCUCACUUUAUUUAUUUUUGAAAUUUUUAUCUACUUUUAUUUAAUUUUUUAUUUUAUAAUGUUCUAAAAUUUUAAAAAUAAUUUUAAUUUUUUACCAUUUUAUAUAUUUUCAAAUUCAAAUUGACUGAAAGUAUAAAAUUUGAGGAUUAAAAUUGUUAUUAUAUCAAUUAAAAAAGUGUCACUUAACAUUUGAGUGACAAAAAAAAAACAAUUUCAAAAACAUUAGUGAUGAAAUUGUAACCUUUUUAAUUAAGUGACCAAAAAAAAAAUACCCAUAGUUUAGUGACUAAUAGUGUAGCCUUUUUUUGGUAAAAUGAAAAUUUGACCCUGAUUUUGUAUUAAAAAAACUCAAAAUUAUUUAUAAAAUAGAAAAAUGUAUAUUAUUCAACAUAGGGAUUCUUUACCCAAAUCAUAUAAAAAUAAUUAAUUAUGAAAAUGGUAUGGAAAAUAAAUUAAUUACAAAAAUAAGGCAUUUGGUACAAUGUUCUGCUGGUGUCGCCUAACAUAUUGGUAGCACCAGAUUAAAAUGUGAUGAUCUAAAAUAUUCAAAGACUUGAUAUGUAAAUUUCUCAUUUUGAUUGACUGUUGAAAAUAAGCUAUAAGAGUGAUGUGUGAUAGUGUCGCGGCACAAAAUCUUAAAUAAGAUUAAUUUCCUUGUAAACCCUCAUUAUUUAUUAUUUUAUUGUUAUUCUCCUUCAACACCAAAAUCAGAAAGGUUUCUUACCAAUUAAUCUAGGUCAAAUUAUAUUGGCAUAAAAGUUAACACUAUUGAUAGUAAUUUUCUUUGGCUCAUAUUAUAUCUAAGAAACUAUAAAUUUAACUAAUAAUUAUAAUUUAUAUAUAGUAAAUAUUUUUUAAAGUUUUUAUAAUUAUAAUUUUAUAUGGUGCCCUUAAAUUAAAUUGAUAAUAAGAAUAUGUGUAAUGGCAAAUAGCAAAGAAAAAAGCUAAAAGAAAAAGUAAUAAAAAUAGGAUUUCAUCCUAAUAAUUCUGCCUUUGUACGGAUCCUACCAGAGGCUUCAUAAUUUGCCUGUUUUUGUUGGAUCUUUCAGCAAGCAAAAAAAAGCAAAACCAAAAUGGAAGCAAAAGAAAACUAAAAAUGAAAAAAACUUCAAAAAAUUGUAACUGAAAAGUCAUUAUAAUUUCAUUCAAAUUUUGAAUAUAUGAGGGUUACAAACAAUUUGACAGUUACCUACUGAUUUUAACUGCUCCUACUUAAUACUUACUAAAAAUAUAGCAACUUGUAUACAAAAGAAAGUUGGCAUACCAGCUAUUACAUCAAUCAAUCUUUCCUACUAACUUAGCUAACACAUUACAAAGAUUUGGACUAAGUUCUGUAAGAACAAAAUAUUCAAAACAUAACUCUAUAACAGAACCAACUCAAUUUCUUUACUUCAAAACAGUAUGGCAGCUCAAUUGUCCAAUUUGCUACUACUGGUCUUUGAUCAGUUUGCUGCUGUUGGUUCUCUGUUGCACUGCAGGCCACGGUUUCAACACUCCUCCUUGGACUGUAUGCAACAGACACCAAUCUUUUCUUUCAAGGCAUUAAAUCGGUUAGCUCCCAAUGGUUUAGUUAAAAUGUCAGCUAACUGAAUCUCUGAACUACAAUGAACUAAGCUAACCUCCCUCAAUUGCUCAACUUCUCUAACAAAAUGGAAUUUGAUUUUGAAGUGUUUAGUCUUACCAUGGAAGACUGGAUUCUUGGCUAUGGCCACAGCUGAUUGAUUAUCCACACUAAUCUCAGUAGGCUGAGUUUGAUUUUCAUUCAAAUCAUCCAAAAUCUUCCUAAGCCAAAUGGCUUGAUUUACUGCUGCUGCAGCUGAGAUAUACUCAGCCUCUGCUGUAGACUGUGCAACAGUUUGUUGCUUCUUUGAACUCCAGUUGAAAACACUCGAGCCUAAAGUAAAGAAGUAACCUGAAGUGCUCCUCAUGUCAUCAACUGACCCUGCCCAAUCGCUAUCAGAAUAGCCUGCAAGUUUCAGCUCCUUUGUCCUCCAAAACUUUACACCAGCAUCGAUGGUUCCUUUGACAUACCUUAACACUCUUUUUGCUGCCUUCAGAUGUGCCACAUUACUGCAGUGCAUAAAUCUUGAAAGUAGACUAACAACAUAGACAAUGUCUGGUCUAGUUGCUGUUAAAUAAAGCAAGCAGCCAAUUAAGCUUCUAUAUGCUUUCUCAUCUACUCGAUCAUGCUCACUUGUACUUGACAAUUUUUCCCCCAAUGCAAUUGGUGUAGUGACUGAUUUGUAUAUAAAAUUUGACCCUGAUUUUGUAUUAAAAAAACCCAAAAUUAUUUAUAAAAUAGAAAAAUGUAUAUUAUUCAACAUAGGGAUUCUUUACCCAAAUCAUAUAAAAAAUAAUUAAUUAUGAAAAUGGUAUGGAAAAUAAAUUAAUUACAAAAAAAGGCAUUUGGUACAAUGUUCUGCUAGUGUCGCCUAACAUAUUGGUAGCACCAGAUUAAAAUGUGAUGACCUAAAAUAUUCAAAGACUUGAUAUGUAAAUUUCUCAUUUUGAUUGGCUGUUGAAAUUAAGCUAUAAGAGUGAUGUGUGAUAGUGCAGCGGCACAAAAUCUUAAAUAGGAUUAAUUUCUUUGUAAACCCUCAUUAUUUAUUAUUUUAUUGUUAUUCUCCUUCAACACCAAAAUCAAAAAGGUUUCUUACCAAUUAAUCUAGGUCAAAUUAUGUCUGGCAUAAAAGUUAACACUAUUGAUAGUAAUUUUCUUUGGCUCAUAUUAUAUCUAAGAAACUAUAAAUUUAACUAAUAAUUAUAAUUUAUAUAUAGUAAAUAUUUUUUAAAGUUUUUCUAAUUAUAAUUUUAUAUGGUGCCCUUAAAUUAAAUUGAUAAUAAGAAUAUGUGUAAUGGCAGACAGCAAAGAAAAAAGCUAAAAGAAAAAGUAAUAAAAAUAGGAUUUCAUGCUAAUAAUUCUGCCUUUGUACGGAUCCUACCAGAGACUUCAUAAUUUGCCUGUUUUUAUCUUCACUUUCUUCUUAUUUCUUCUUCNNNNNNNNNNNNNNNNNNNNNNNNNNNNNNNNNNNNNNNNNNNNNNNNNNNNNNNNNNNNNNNNNNNNNNNNNNNNNNNNNNNNNNNNNNNNNNNNNNNNNNNNNNNNNNNNNNNNNNNNNNNNNNNNNNNNNNNNNNNNNNNNNNNNNNNNNNNNNNNNNNNNNNNNNNNNNNNNNNNNNNNNNNNNNNNNNNNNNNNNNNNNNNNNNNNNNNNNNNNNNNNNNNNNNNNNNNNNNNNNNNNNNNNNNNNNNNNNNNNNNNNNNNNNNNNNNNNNNNNNNNNNNNNNNNNNNNNNNNNNNNNNNNNNNNNNNNNNNNNNNNNNNNNNNNNNNNNNNNNNNNNNNNNNNNNNNNNNNNNNNNNNNNNNNNNNNNNNNNNNNNNNNNNNNNNNNNNNNNNNNNNNNNNNNNNNNNNNNNNNNNNNNNNNNNNNNNNNNNNNNNNNNNNNNNNNNNNNNNNNNNNNNNNNNNNNNNNNNNNNNNNNNNNNNNNNNNNNNNNNNNNNNNNNNNNNNNNNNNNNNNNNNNNNNNNNNNNNNNNNNNNNNNNNNNNNNNNNNNNNNNNNNNNNNNNNNNNNNNNNNNNNNNNNNNNNNNNNNNNNNNNNNNNNNNNNNNNNNNNNNNNNNNNNNNNNNNNNNNNNNNNNNNNNNNNNNNNNNNNNNNNNNNNNNNNNNNNNNNNNNNNNNNNNNNNNNNNNNNNNNNNNNNNNNNNNNNNNNNNNNNNNNNNNNNNNNNNNNNNNNNNNNNNNNNNNNNNNNNNNNNNNNNNNNNNNNNNNNNNNNNNNNNNNNNNNNNNNNNNNNNNNNNNNNNNNNNNNNNNNNNNNNNNNNNNNNNNNNNNNNNNNNNNNNNNNNNNNNNNNNNNNNNNNNNNNNNNNNNNNNNNNNNNNNNNNNNNNNNNNNNNNNNNNNNNNNNNNNNNNNNNNNNNNNNNNNNNNNNNNNNNNNNNNNNNNNNNNNNNNNNNNNNNNNNNNNNNNNNNNNNNNNNNNNNNNNNNNNNNNNNNNNNNNNNNNNNNNNNNNNNNNNNNNNNNNNNNNNNNNNNNNNNNNNNNNNNNNNNNNNNNNNNNNNNNNNNNNNNNNNNNNNNNNNNNNNNNNNNNNNNNNNNNNNNNNNNNNNNNNNNNNNNNNNNNNNNNNNNNNNNNNNNNNNNNNNNNNNNNNNNNNNNNNNNNNNNNNNNNNNNNNNNNNNNNNNNNNNNNNNNNNNNNNNNNNNNNNNNNNNNNNNNNNNNNNNNNNNNNNNNNNNNNNNNNNNNNNNNNNNNNNNNNNNNNNNNNNNNNNNNNNNNNNNNNNNNNNNNNNNNNNNNNNNNNNNNNNNNNNNNNNNNNNNNNNNNNNNNNNNNNNNNNNNNNNNNNNNNNNNNNNNNNNNNNNNNNNNNNNNNNNNNNNNNNNNNNNNNNNNNNNNNNNNNNNNNNNNNNNNNNNNNNNNNNNNNNNNNNNNNNNNNNNNNNNNNNNNNNNNNNNNNNNNNNNNNNNNNNNNNNNNNNNNNNNNNNNNNNNNNNNNNNNNNNNNNNNNNNNNNNNNNNNNNNNNNNNNNNNNNNNNNNNNNNNNNNNNNNNNNNNNNNNNNNNNNNNNNNNNNNNNNNNNNNNNNNNNNNNNNNNNNNNNNNNNNNNNNNNNNNNNNNNNNNNNNNNNNNNNNNNNNNNNNNNNNNNNNNNNNNNNNNNNNNNNNNNNNNNNNNNNNNNNNNNNNNNNNNNNNNNNNNNNNNNNNNNNNNNNNNNNNNNNNNNNNNNNNNNNNNNNNNNNNNNNNNNNNNNNNNNNNNNNNNNNNNNNNNNNNNNNNNNNNNNNNNNNNNNNNNNNNNNNNNNNNNNNNNNNNNNNNNNNNNNNNNNNNNNNNNNNNNNNNNNNNNNNNNNNNNNNNNNNNNNNNNNNNNNNNNNNNNNNNNNNNNNNNNNNNNNNNNNNNNNNNNNNNNNNNNNNNNNNNNNNNNNNNNNNNNNNNNNNNNNNNNNNNNNNNNNNNNNNNNNNNNNNNNNNNNNNNNNNNNNNNNNNNNNNNNNNNNNNNNNNNNNNNNNNNNNNNNNNNNNNNNNNNNNNNNNNNNNNNNNNNNNNNNNNNNNNNNNNNNNNNNNNNNNNNNNNNNNNNNNNNNNNNNNNNNNNNNNNNNNNNNNNNNNNNNNNNNNNNNNNNNNNNNNNNNNNNNNNNNNNNNNNNNNNNNNNNNNNNNNNNNNNNNNNNNNNNNNNNNNNNNNNNNNNNNNNNNNNNNNNNNNNNNNNNNNNNNNNNNNNNNNNNNNNNNNNNNNNNNNNNNNNNNNNNNNNNNNNNNNNNNNNNNNNNNNNNNNNNNNNNNNNNNNNNNNNNNNNNNNNNNNNNNNNNNNNNNNNNNNNNNNNNNNNNNNNNNNNNNNNNNNNNNNNNNNNNNNNNNACAACAUUGUUGUUUUGUGGCUGUCGAGGAUUAAGAGAUCUGCCAAGUCUUUCGAUGCUUCAAGAAUUGAAGAAGUUGGAUCUAAGUCGGACUAAAAUUGAGGAAGUCCCUGAAGGAAUGGAUAUGCUGAUAAUGCUAAGAUAUCUUGAUCUUAGAGUGCGCACUCUGAAAGAGAUACCCGCUGGACUUAUAUCAAAACUCGUUCACCUUCAGCACUUGAGUUUUGAUGUGGACAGUGAAAAAACAAGUCUAAAAGCAGAGGAGAUGGAACCAUUGAAGAAGUUGGAGUACUUUACCGGACGUUUCGAAGACAUCAGUGAAUUCAAUAAGUUCAUCUCCUCAAUGCAACAAAGUAAAAAAAAUCUCAUCAACUACCAUUUACAGGUGGGCUCAGAUGAUGCGGGUGGUGCAAGAGAUAAAAGAGAUAAAAGAGUAACAAUUGCAGGAGUCCAGAAUUGGGAAGGUGAGUUAAUUAUGCACCCAAUUGAAAUUCAAGAGUUGUAUAUUUUAAAGUGCGACUAUUUGAGAAGCUUAGUCAAUGACAAUUCUUCCUUCAAAAAUGCGAUUGACUUGAGGGAUUGUAGGAUUCGGGGGUGUGAAGGGAUAGAGUGUGUUGUUUCCCUGUCCUUUUCUGCCUCUUCUUCCGCUCAUCCAUUUCAGAGCCUCCAGGUGUUGGAUCUUCAAUUUCUGCCAAAGUUGAGUGCCCUUAUUAUGAAAGAUGAAGGAAUUGGUUCAGCAACAACAUCAACAUUGGUUCCGUCUGCCACCUUUUCCCAUCUUAAGGAAAUUACGAUAUACAGCUGCUCAAGUAUGAAGACGUUGCUUCCACAUUGGUUGCUUCCAAACCUCCAAAACUUGGAAAAAAUACGCGUGGAGUAUUGUAGUCAGCUAGUAGAAAUAUUGGGAGCAGCAACAUCAGAAGUUGAAGAAAAAGGGAGUGAUGCAUUAAUCAAAUUCCAUCUUCCCAAAUUGAGGUAGUUGUUAUUCUGGGAUUUACCAAACUUGAAGAGCAUAUGCAGCAAAAGUGGAGUGAUGGUUUGUGAUUCUCUCCAACUUAUCCAAGUUGUUGGAGAUUGUGAUAAACUGAAGAGAAUUCCACCAUUUGUUCCCCUUGUUGGCAAUGGGCAGCCAUUUGCAUAUGCUCCACCUUCUCUUACCAUCUGGUCAUUGAAAAAAUGGUGGAAAUCGUUGGAGUGGGAUGACCAUCCAAACUUUAAAAAUGUUCUUCAACCCCUUUGGGAGCUUUUAAGGUAUGAACCAUUUAUAGUUUAGUUUAUUUUAUAAAGCUAAUUUCUCCAUUUUAAAACCAUUUCAUGUUAUAUUUUAUUUUUGUUUGAAGAUGAUGUGGCCUCCAUUGGUGCGAAAGAAGUAGAAGAGAGUAGCAGGGCGGAUGAUGGUGCAAAAGAGAGGAUAAAAAAGGUGGGAAUAAAAGGAAUGAUGGAGCAUUGAGGAAUUGAGCAGCCACCAUAAUAAUCGACUCCUUUUCCAUUUUAAUAACAAAUAAUUUUAUUGUAUUUUUAUAUAAAACAAUUAAAUUAUAGACUUAUUUUAAUAUGGCGUAGAAUCAAAUAUUAUUAUGGUCUAUUAUUUAAAAAAUCUUUAUAUGUUCUUAAAUGGAGAUGUUAUUUUUAAAAUUAUUUGUCUUUAAAAUUAUUAAACUUAUUAUUCUUCUAUCAAUCAUUUAUGCAUUUUUUUUUACUAACGAUUCUAAUAAAAGUUUUAACAUUCAAAAGCAUAUAAGUUGAAAUAAAUUUUUUUUCAAAUUUAAAAUAUGCAACUUAAAAAAGUACUCCAUUAUUUUCAUAAAAUAAUAUCAAAUUAUGACUACCUUUAAAGUAUAAUUUAUUGGAUAAACUACACCGUAGGUCAUUCUAAACUAGUAUUAUUUCUAUUUUGGUCACUCUAUAAUUGCUCAAAUUAGUCACUGACAUGACUUUUUUUUUUACUUUUGACUAAAGCCAGGGACUUUGCUAUAAUUAGCCCAAAACAUUUGUUUUUGUUUAUUUGCAACAUAAGAACCACAUAUCCUUGUCACCACUCAUCCCUUGCUUUCCAUCUCUAUUGCUCCUCACUGCACCAUAAAAACCACGUUUCAUCACUGUAUAGCCCAAAUUUCGCCCGGGCCCAAUAACAGUCCAGAUUACAAAAAACAAAAUAGCAGGCCCAAACCCGGAGCCCAAAACAAGGCCCAACUGGCCCAACCCGCUCAAAGCUAAGCUAGGGUUUCAGAAGAGAAACCCUAGCGCCGCACCUAAGGUCUUUAGACCUUUAGUCUUCCGGCGCCGCCUUCACCAGCACUGUCACGCCACCACCUCACGUCCCAUCGCCACUUGCCUGCAACACCAGAGAAGGAAAUGACAAGAAAAAAUAAUAAUAAUAGAAUACAAGUUGUAAAUGGCUAUAAAGCUAUAACAGAAAUCAAAAAAAGGGGGGACCGAACUUCAUUCUUGUAACGGGGGGGUUUCUUUUUUUGUUAACGUUUUCAGAAAUAAAAAGCAAAAAAAAAAGAGUUUAAAGGUGAUUGUCGGUUCCCUUUUAUUUUCGUUUUCUUCUCAGAUAUUUUAAUUUUUUUUGUUUAUUUAUUUAUAUAAACAUAUAAUAUAAAGAGAAAAGUGCAAAAAAAAAUACCUUUCUUGAAUUUUCUGGCCAACGUGUACGGUGGCAGGCGCGGCGGCGUCAACGGCGACCCUCCAUGCCGGAUUCUGGGCUGAGGGAGGGAGAGAGAAACUUGAGAGGUUUUUUUUCAGUUUUUUUUAGAAGGAGAAGAAGAAAAUGAAGAUUUUAAAAAAAUUUUGGGUUUAAAUCACCCUCACAAAACGACGCCGUUUUGGCCCUGACCCGCGUGGUGACCCGACCCAGGGGGAGGAUCCGCGCAUUUUCUUCAAAGGGAUUAUUUUCGCAAAUAGUCCCUUUGAUUUUGUAGCACUUUCAUGGAAGUUUUUCGCUUAUUUGCAAUUUGGCCAUAAAGUUUUAUUUUGGAUUCAUUUUAGUCCUCAUCUAAGCGCAGCGUUUUGNNNNNNNNNNNNNNNNNNNNNNNNNNNNNNNNNNNNNNNNNNNNNNNNNNNNNNNNNNNNNNNNNNNNNNNNNNNNNNNNNNNNNNNNNNNNNNNNNNNNNNNNNNNNNNNNNNNNNNNNNNNNNNNNNNNNNNNNNNNNNNNNNNNNNNNNNNNNNNNNNNNNNNNNNNNNNNNNNNNNNNNNNNNNNNNNNNNNNNNNNNNNNNNNNNNNNNNNNNNNNNNNNNNNNNNNNNNNNNCAUGAAAUUUUUAAAUAUAUUUGUUUUAAUAUAUUAUUAUUAUACAAUUGUUUUUAUAUACAUAUACGUAUAUAUAUAUAUUUAACUUAUUUAAUAUACCUACUCAAUUUUAUAUGCAUAUAUAUAUGUUUUUAUAUAUAUUAAAAUACGUAUGUUGUUUAUAUAUAUUAUGUCAUUUCAUUUUCCACAUAUGUAUAUAUCUUUUCAUCUAUAUGCAUAUAUUCCUAUAUUUUGCAAUAUUUAUGUAUACCUUUCUUAUAAUAUAUAUGUACAUAUUUUAAUUUAUGUCCAUAUACAUAUAUAUACACAUAUAUAUUUCUUUGUUUUUUUAUUGUAUUUACUCUUUAUUUAUUUCAUUUUCAUUAUUUAUUUUGAAUGAAUGAUUUAAUUUUAUUCGUUUUUAUGUUUUACUUGUUUGGAUGUUGUAGGUUCGAUCUUAUUUUAUAUUGUUGCUAUAAUACUUUUGCGUGCAUUAUAAUUUUACCAUGCAUAACAACAAUGUAAUUUGCUUUCGCAUUUCCGUUACGAUUUUCGUGUUUUAUUAUACUUUAUUUAACAAAAUUUGUUUUGAAUAAAUAAUAUUUCGUGUAUAGAUUCGAGAGGAUCGUACCCUAACUUACUGGGUUUCGAUUUUCACGAUAAAUCUAAAUGCACGAAUCUUUUUAAAUUCGAAUUUUAAAUGAUCUCGGGAUUAAAAAUCGCGUCCUAACUUACUGGUCGUGAUUUCGUUUUUUAAAUCCGAGAUGGAUAAAAUAUUUUUAAAAUAAGCAUUUUUUAUUCGCGUAUCGGGAACUCGAGACAUUGUGUCCUAACUCACUGGAUAUGAUUCUCUUUCUCGAACAACGUAAAAUAUGCUUCUUUUCUAUUUUUCUAUUAUUUUAAUACAAGGAUCGUAUUUUUAAAAUUCUUCAAAGUUCUCAAUUUUCGACAUUAAGACAUUAAGUAAUCAACUAGGUACCAAUUUUGGGCAUAUUGAGGGUGCUAAUCCUUCCUCGUGCGUAAUCGAUUCUCGAACCCGUUUUUUUGGAUUUCGUGGACCAAAAUCGUUGUUUUAAUAAAAAAAAUAAAAUUGUUUAUUAAAAACAACCAGUUUUCAAGGUGAUCCAAUCAUACCUCAUCAAAAAGGAUUAGUGGCGACUCCCGUUUUAUUCGUUUUCGUCAAAACCCAAGUCGACCCCGUUUUUCAUCCAAAAAAUGGUGUCAACAAUCACAAUGGUGUACAAAGAGUGUUGGUUGUGUUUUGACUAUCGUACAAAUUAGUGUAGAAAUACAACCGGACAAACUUCCGAGCGGAUACUAUUGGGAAACUGUAGGUGAAGCUGGAGCGAAAAACACAAGCCGUCAUGUAAGGACCUACAGCUAUCGUUGGAUCUUGCAUGGCGACUGGGGAUAUGACAGAUUUUUCCAACAUGGAACUUGGAUCCAAUAUCUGGAGUCCAUUUUCACUUGAUCACUUGAUCAAGUGAUUUUUUAUUUUUGGGGCUCUCCGGACUGUUGGUUUUUAUUUUGGUUUUGGAUGCGGUUUUUUAUUCUUUCAUUGCAUUGUAUUAGUCAUUCAACCAUGAGUAAGUUUUCAUUUUGAUCAUUUAACUAAAAAAAGUUACAAUUUAGUCACUAAUAUUUUGGAAAUUGUUUUUUUAUCACUUAAGGGGUACUUGUUUUAAUUGGAAUAAUAAUAAUUUUAGUCCUCUUUUUUUUAUAGUUUCUAUCAAUUUGACUCUGAUUUUGUAUAAAAUUAUUAAAAAAAACUCAAUAUUUUAAAAAUAGAAAAAUGUUUAUAAAAAUUCUAGAAAAAUAAAAUCUUGAAUAUGUUGUUGAAUAACUAAAUUGUAUGAGAAAUAAACCAAAUUACCAUUCAAUAAAAUCCGAUAACAAAUUAAAAACAGAACAAAACCAAAAAAAAGCUUCCUCAAUGUUUUUCGAAACCAAAUUAGUAAUAUUAUUAUCAAGUUAAGUUUCAUGCCCUUGAAGAACACCUAGAACUCAUAUUACCAAGGCUUAUGAAUGACCCUAAUGCCCUUUUUUUAGUCAAAAGAAUACAAAAUAUACAACAAAAUUUCUUUUUUCAAACUUAAUUCAAUUUUUCAUUACAUUUAAAUUAUUUUUCAAAACUCAAAUUAUAAAAAUUAAUUAUAUUAAAAAAAUUUAUAACGUAAAAGCUAUGUCAAGAAACAGAGAACAAAUAAUUUUGCUUAAUGUUUUUUUCUAUGUUUUUUUACUAAAGAAUGGAUAUUGGAUAUUUCGAUACAGAUAAUAUAGAGAAAUUUUGUACGGCUUAAAAAUAAUUAUCUCUCAUUUUCUCUCACUUUAUUUAUUUUUAAAAUUUUUAUCUACUUUUAUUUUUGAAGCUUUAAAAAUAAGUCAUUUACCAUCCAUAAAACUACAAAAGUGAAGUUCAUAUAAGACAAACGAAAGCACGAUUCAUCAAUAUACCAAGUAAAAAAAGUUAAGUCAAGAGUUAGAUUCAGUUCAAUGAUACCAUCCACAGUAUGACACUUAAAGGUAUCCAUCCACAGUAAAGGCACCCUUCUACCCAGAGGUGAAACUAGGAAACUUUUUUAGGGGACGAAAUUAAAUUGUAAUUUAAAAAAAAUAUAAUUUUACCAUUUUAAUAGCCUAUAUCUUUAUAAUUUUUAAAAUAUUAAAUCAAAUUUUUAUAUUUUUAAGGCGGCAAAGUGCAAUUUUACCUUUAUUCAUUUAAAAUGUUAAAAAUUUUAAAAGAGACUAAAUGAAAAUUUUUCUAUUUUAAGAGGCCGGCACCUGCCACCACCCAGGUUCGCCCUUGCUUUCACCAAGGGUUUAUUUUCAUUCCACUAAAGGUUCAUUGAUCGAGCGGUGGCUUGCCUUAUUACAUUAGCAUAAUCCUGAAUAGUUUCUAUCGCCUUUAAGGUGAACUUAAUUUCAAACGAUUGCUUUAUCUUCAAGGUUAACAUAAUUUUAAAUACUCAUAAACGAUUGCAAUGCCUACAAUACCAGCAAAAUUUUAAAUAUUUGUGAAUUACAACAAUUUUUGUAAAAAAAAAAAAUACAAGCAAAUUUUCCUAAAUCUAAUUGACCUGUUCAAGACACAAAGAUUCGAACAUGUAAGAUCUGAUAUUACAUCAGAUUUUCGAAAAACAAAGACUGGCUUAAACUAAAAGAAAAAAAACUCUAGAUAAUGAUUUUUUUUAAAAUUAAGAUGAGAGGAAGGAAUUAUCGACAACUUAACAACACAAGUCAUUUACUUACUAGAACACUAUAAUUAGUUAAUUAAAAAUUUAGCUAUAGCUAGUUGGCUGUUAGGAUUUGUUAAAUUAGUGCCAUUGUACAUCUUUUAAAUUAAUGUUAUCUUACAUCUAUUAAAUCUUUAACUUUUUCCACUUUCAUCUUACUCUAAUUUCAACAUUUCAUUACCACUCUCCAUUAUUUAUACCUCCUCUUGCAAGGGCAGCUGCAGGUUUCAGAGAUGCCAUAAAUAAGGAUUUCAUAGCUCAAGAACUUGACAAUGACAGGGAAGAUGACUAAGAAGAAGAAGGGGUUGCUAUGGGAAGAUAGGGUUCACUGAUGGGUUGUCACAGUCUUCUUCUCAAGUAAAGAAAUCCAAGCUCAGUUUGUCGGAUGCAUUUAACCGCAAUCAAAAGGGAGUCAUUGCAGACAUAAUCAGCUUAUGGUACCAAUCUUAAGAACCAAAACAUCAACUUACUAUACUAUGAUGAAGGAUUUUAUAACAACGUCAGAGGGAAUCUAAGGGAUAACAUCUGAAGGAAAUUCAGAUUGUUAAACACAAAAUUUGAAAUUCAUGGCAGAUUAGGUAUCUGAUCAGCUGAACCGCUAAAGCGAUUGAAAGCUUGGUAGAUUAUUAUGUUCCGAUGCUACAAAUUCAACUUUGGUUUCCUUACUUCAUUAGACAGUUUCAUUAUAGUUUGCCUAUGUGUAGAAAGCUUAGGAUACGACACAAAAUAUGCAUAACAUUCUAUCCAACAUUAGAACGGUACAAAAAAAAGUUAGUUAUUAUGAUGGAAAUGUCAUCCUUGUUCCUCUUAACAGCUUCCUUAGUUAGGUGCUUUGCUGCAGAUCGAGCAUCCUUAAUGCCUUUGAUAGCAUCGACAGCUUCUUGGUAACGGACCAUUAAAUCUCAGGUUCAACAUGUAGGUUCAAUAAAAGAAAAAUGUGAUUAGAUAGGGCUUACCUUCCAUAAACCAUCACUAGCCAAUAUUUUAAGGUCGGUAUCAUCGUCGGUUGUUUCAAUGCUCACAUCUGGCUCCGAAGUAAGAUGUUUCUUUAAACUCUUGUCACCAAAUGAUCUUGCCACCGCCAGCUGACCAUCAACACGCGCGACAUCCCCUGAAACAAAAACAAUAUCAGGAAAAGAUGGUGUAACCUUGAGCGUCAUCCCCAAAAGAUCAGGCACCCAUUACCUGGAAUCCAAUAUAUAUUUUUUUGGACCCAUAUCAUGGUUUCAAACAGGUCAUUAGAAAAUUUUGUAAAACCUUAAAAAGAAUAACCAGUACCACACUAAGGUAUCUCUUGUUCUUAAAAAGAAUAAACAGUUCAUUGAAUAACUAAAUUGUAUGAGAAAUAAAGCAAAUUACCAUUCAAUAAAAUCCGAGAACAAAUUAAAAACAGAAUAAAACCAAAAAAAGCUUCCUCAUUGUUUCUCGAAAUCAAAUUAGUAAUAUUAUCAAGUUGAGUUUCAUGCCCUUGAAGAACAUCUAGAACUUAUAUUACCAAGGCUUAUGAAAUUGAUCCUAAUGCCAUUUUUUUAGUCAAAAGAAUACAAGAUAUAUAACAAAAUUUCCUUUUUCAAACUUAAUUCAAGUUUUCAUUACAUUUAAAUUAUUUUUCAAAACUCAAAUUAUUAAAAUAAAUUAUAUUUAGAAACAAAAUUUUAUAACGUAAAAGCUAUGUCAAGAAACAUAGAACAAAUAAUUUUGCUUAAUGUUUUUCUACGUUUUUUAACUAAAGAACGUGUAUUGGAUAUUUCGAUACAGAUAAUAUAAAGAAAUUUUGUACGGCUUAAAAACAAUUAUCUCUCAUUUUCUCUCACUUUAUUUAUUUUUGAAUAUUUUAUCUACUUUUAUUUAAUUUUUUAUUUUAUAAUGUUCUAAAAUUUUUUUUAAAAAUUAAUUUUUACCACUUUAUAUAUUAUCAAGAUCAAAUUGACUGAAAGUAUAAAAUUUGAGGAUUAAAAUUGUUAUUAUAUCAAUUAAAAAAGUGUCACUUAACAUUUGAGUGACAAAAAAAAUAAUUUCAAAAACAUUAGUGAUGAAAUUGUAACUCUUUUAAUUAAGUGACCAAAACAAAAAUACCCAUAGUUUAGUGACUAAUAGUGUAGCCUUUUUUUGGUAAAAUGAAAAUUUGACCCUAAUUUUAUAUAAAAAAAACUCAAAAUUAUUUAUAAAAUAGAAAAAUGCAUAUUAUUCAACAUAGGGUUUUUUAUCCAAAUCAUACAAAAAUAAUAAUUAAUGACGAAAAUGAUAUGGAAAAUAAAUUAAUUACAAAAACAAGUCAUUUGUUACGAUGUUCUGCUGGUGUUGUCUGACAUAUUGGCAACACCAGACUAAAAUGUGAUGACCAAAAAUAUUCAAAGACUUGAUAUGUAAAUUUCUCAUUUUGAUUAUCUGUUGAAAAUAAGCUCUAAGGGUGUUGUGUGACAGUGUGACGGCACAAAAUCUUAAAUAGUUUUAAUACUUGCAAAAUCAAUACUUCAUCCAAUACAUUCACAAAUUUUCAUUGGUUUUAUUUGUUUUGUUUUAGCUUCUUCUUUUUUUAAUUGUUUUAUUUUUAUUUUACUUUUUUUCCAUUUAUUAUCUUUUGAAUUAUAAUUUUAUUUGUAUGGUUGUUUCUAAAGUUGUAACCUUUUAAUCUUCUUCACUAUUUGUGUUUAGUUUCUUGUUAGUUUGCUCAAAACUAUGCACUACACCUUCAAUUGCCUACAAUUCCAGUUUUGCAAUUAUAUAUAUAUUGAGGUAGUUUCAAUUUUCUCCCUCUCUUAUGAUAUUCUACUUAGUUUGUGUUUAUAUCUGGUUGUACAUUGAGCACAAUGUACAUUUUAAGUGUGGGGAGGUUAUUUAUAUAAUUAUUAGAAAAUUCUUGAAUUAUUUGUGGUACUUAAGUAAUUUUCUCAUGCUUCCAUUAGAAUGAAUUUUUAUCGAUUUGAGAUUUUUAUUGAUAUUGUUUUGGAUUAAUUUGUAGAUACUUGUGUAUUGGUUGAUUUAAACUUUAAGACAUAAGAGAAUCAAGCACGAUAAGUUAUUUUUUAAAAAACAAAUUUCAGUUGUUUCCCUAAAUUUAAUAUUAUUUUGAAGUUUGAGAUUUGCAAGUUUGACGUCAAAAACUAUGAUUUUUUUUUUUUUGAGAUUUUGAGAUUUUCAGCCACUAAGUCAGGUAAUAAGACUGAAGCUAUGAUUUCCUCUGCUGAUUAUCAACAGUUUUAGAUUUCAAGACUGGAUGAUCAGCAGACAUAAUCUACUUUAGAUAGAAAUUAAUACCAAAAGAGCUACCCAGAAGCAAUAUAAUGUUGAAAUCCCAAACUGUUGAACAUUUUACCUCUUUAAUGUUAAAACUCAUUGCUAAUACAACUCAUUGACUUGUAUAUUUAAUUUCAAGUUGUAUAUUCAAUACUGACAACUUCAACGAUGCAAAUGAUUUAGUAAUGGGGUGCGAAUAACUAUACCUAAUGCAACUCCUUUACUUGUAUAUUUAAUUUCAGGUUGUAACUUAUAAUUAUGCAUUUUUAUACCCUGCCAACUAUUAUUAUUAAAUAUUAUUUAUUGCCAUCUUCAAUGAUUUUGUUUUGAUGUCCAACGUCUAUCACAACAUUUCAAGCAUCCUGUCAAGGUAAUUUUCUUUCAUUUGCUUAAUCCAUCACAUGCUUUUCUUUGCUUGAUUCAUGACUUUGCAAUGAUUGUUUCUGAUUAUCUGCUACUCUUAGCCGCUAGCUUUGUAAGACAGUCAACUUCACUGCUUCAUUUUCAGUUCUAUUCUCUCGACACUUUUCAGCCACUAAGUCUGGUAAUAAGAUCUGAAGCUAUGAUUUCCUCUACUGAUUAUCAACAGUUUUAGAUUUCAAGACAAGAUGAUCAGCAGACAUAUUCUACUCUAGAUUGAAAUUAAUACAGAAAGAGCUACCCAGAAGCAAUAUAAUGUUGAAAUCUCAAACGGUUAACAUUUUAGCUCUUAAUAUUCUGUAAUGAACUGUUGCACACUUGAAUCUAGCAUUUUAUAUACAUCGAGAGCUUAAUUCUGGUGACCAGAAUUUCAUCAUGUUUCUGUCUGCCACCCAUCCAUAGCUCCAUCUAAUAAACGCCAUUGCUUGAAACUUGCAUUCAUGUUUUCCUUUUCAUGCUUACACUGACAUAUCAAUACCUCAUAAAUUAUUCAAUUCAUUCACAGAUUUUCAUUCUCUGCUACUGUUAUAUAUGAUUGCAUUGCAAGGACAUAGCAAUGGAGUACGUAGAGCCUGUUGUCGGCAUUGCAAAUUGUCUCGGAACUCCUGUUUGUAAAUAUUUGCAAUAUUACAGAAAGCUGAACGAUUAUGUUAGAAACUUCAAGAGGAUCAGAGAUGAAUUGAAUUGCAAAAUGGAAGAUAUAGAGCUGCAAUUGAAAGCAG
rnacentral:lncRNA from 1 species